rnacentral:lncRNA from 1 species
UUUUUUUUUUUUUUUUUUGUGUUUUUUGGAUUUUGUUCUUUGAAUUUUUCUUUAGAUGAUGGUGAGAUGAAGAGAGGACGAAAAGUGUAGGAAGGAGAAGAUGAACACACACUGUUUUAGAGUGGUUCGAUAAAUGCCUACGUUUACUGUUCUUUGGGAGCAAGGUAUUAUUUUUGUUCACUUUUUUUUUUGUUAUGUUUAAAUAUCAAGAUGAUACAAGGUAUUUAUAUUAUUUAUUAUGUCUCUUGAUUAAAACUCGUUAAAUUAAAAGUUAAAACUAACAAAUUUAGUUAUAUUUACAAGAAACAAUAACUAUUUUGGUAAAAAGUUUUGUAUGAUUAGCCUCUACAAGCUCCACGGAAAUCAACGGAAGCUCUCUUCCUACAAGCAAGAGCAAUGGUCUAAUAGUGAACUCUCGACACACCAUCUAUCAGACAUCAGUCAUCAAAUUGAUCGACAACAGUUACCUUGCAUGGAAACUGCAGAUUCUCAACACGGUAUAUGGGCAUUCUUUAGAAAAUCAUAUUCUGAGCGAAAGCCAACCAGAGAAGAAGCACUGCCGAAAGAAAUGUGGAAGCAACGGAAGGAAGUUCGAAAAGAAAUGUUGAGAGAUCGGAACUAAUUGACAAUCCUAAGUACUUUUCUUGGAUGGGGCAAGAUCGUUUUCAAGGGAAGUCUGAGUAAUGCUUGAACAAACAUACUCUACUUCAAACACUUUAAAGAUAAUGCAACUGAAAGGACAACUACAAAUAUAAAGAAAGGAGGUCAGUCCAUCAAAGAAUAUGUGCCGAAAGUAAAUAGUAUUCUUGUUGCCCUAAAUGAGGUUGGAUGCUUUAUCCUUUUACAAGAACACAAACAAAGUCUUUGCAAGAAAUUAUUUCAUUGCUGGUGAGCCAUGAAAGUAGAUUAGAAAGAAAUUCAGUAGAAACUCCAAUGGAACACAACCUAUAGCAAAUCUUGUUUCAGGACCUAAAGAAAGGAAACAAAUUUCUCUAAAUACUGAUCAACGUAACCAAGGUCAGUCUCAAUGGAAUAAUCAAGGGCAAAAUAACAAUAAUAAAAUAGGAGGAAGAGGUAAUGGUAAUGGAAACCGUGGUAGAGGAAGAAGAUUUUUUAAUAAUUCCAAACCACAACGUCAAAUCUGCAAUAAAUUUGGCCACACAAUGAUGAGAUAUUACUCACUAUAUGAUCCAAACUUUCAACGGGAGUUCACUGGUAAUUCAGCACCAAGUCAAGCAAACUUUAGCCAAAGGUUUAACAAUUUCAAUGAUCAAAAUCAAACUGGAAGCAAUCCCUUUCAAGCAUACAUGACUUCAUCAUCAUAGAACAACAAUAACUCCAGUGGAUGGUAUACGGAUAUUGGUGCUUCGAAUCCUGUCACCAAUGAUUUAGCUAAUCUAGCAUUCAGUCCAAACCACAAUGGGGUACAACAAGUUCACCUUGGUGAUGGAAGAGGUUUGAAAAUCCUUCAUUAUGGUCAUUUUUUUUAUUCCUACUAAAAUUUCAAUUUCACCCACCAAAGAUUUAUUAUCUUUUCUAUUCAAAACCUUCUUCAUGUCCCUCACAUAAAGAAAAAUCUAUUAAGUGUCAGCCAAUUUACCAAAGACAAUAAUUGCUUUAUUGAAUUUCACCCGAAUAUUUGUUUUGUUAAUGCUCAAGGAACUGCAUGUAAAAACUUUACUCCAAGGACAUCUUCAUGAAAGACUAUUGAUUUUCAUUAGUUAAAGCUCAUCCAAAUUCCAAUCAUGCUCAACUAGCAUACACAAAUCAACUGCUCUAAAGACAACUACUGCACCCUUCCUUAUGAAAUCCCUCCAUACAAAACUUGUGGCAUAGUUGUUUAGGUCACCUAUCUCUCCCUGUUGUAUAAAUAAAAUACUACAUUAUUAUUAUAUUUCAUUUUUCAAUACUAAUAAAACAUCUCAUACAAUUUCCCAUUCUUGUGCUCUUGGUAAAAUCCACAAACUACCAUUUUCUGAUUCUCCAUAUAUUCAAAAUCUUUUGAAUUAAUUGAAUCCGAUUUAUGGGGUCCCUCAUCAAGUUUCCAAAAAUGGUUUCGAUAUUAUAUAACCUUUGUUGAUAUGUUCUCUAGAUAUAUUUGGACAUAUUUCCUUCAAACCAAAUCGGAAGCUCUUCAAACGUUUAUAACCUUUAAAUCCCAAGUAGAAAAUCAAUUCACCACAAAGAUAACAACCUUACAAACAGACGGGAGCGAGGAAUUCAUGACAUUCACCCAUUUUCUUGAAACAAAUGGCAUUCUUCACCGUUUUACUUGUCGACAGCCAUGCGAAUAAAAUGGAAUAGUUGAAAGAAAACAUCGUCAUAUUGUAGAUAUAUAGGUCUUACGCUCCUAUCUCGCACCUCUUUACCAUUAAAAUUUUGGGAUGAUGCCUUUUGAAGUGUUGUCUUCUUGAUAAAUAGACAAAUGUCCAUGGAAAAAGUCUAUGGAGUUACUUUUUGAAAUAAAAUUACCAGAUUGUUCUAUCCUAAAAGUCUUUGGAUGCUCGUGUUUCCCAUACCUAAGACCAUAUAGUCACCAUAGAUUACAACUUAGAUCCACUCCAUGUACAAAAUCCACUCAUCACACCAACUGCCAUUUAAACUCCAGAUGUUGAUCCGACUCCAACUCAAACUAAUGUCUCUGUUCCAUUACCACAAACUUGUACUGCCACCAACGUUUAUAAUAUGAUUACUAGAUCAAAGAAUGACAUACUAAAGACAAGAGUGUUCCUAACAAAAUUCACUGAUAAAGAGUCGACUUCAGCUAAAGAAGCCUUAAACUAUCCUUACUGGAAAAUGGUUAUAAGGCCCUGAUCGAAACUCACCAAUGCGAUGAAGGCCUUGUGAUAAGAAUAAUGUGCGAAUAGACUCUUGUUAGUAAAAUGCAAGUUUAUGAAUGAGUUAUGUGACAAGGAUCAUUACAUAGAGAGGGUGUGUGAUGAUCAAAUGGACAAGUUAACCUACUUCAUCUAGAAACAGUGAUGUCAUGCAGAUAUCAGUAGUUCGACGAUUGAUGGGACCCGACCGCCCAAUUUGAGUUCAGGAUAACGGUUGACAGAGGCAUGCAACAUUUCAGGCUUGGGCCAUUUUCCGCCACCUGCUAGAGAUAUCAUUUCGGUUUGAAAAAACUGGCCGAAAAGGUCAUAAAUAAAGAGAGUUCAAGCCAUUUGAGGUUGCUUUUUACCUUGAUUCUAUGAGAAAUAACUGAAAAAUGUUAAGGAUUUGAGAAGAGGAAUGAGCUCAUUCGAUCAAGAUUUCAAAACGAGUAGGAAGACCUUGGCCUGGGGAGCUAAAUUAGGAAACAGGUCAAUUGUAACAGUGAGUGGUUUUCUUUACCAAGUGUUUCCCAAUAACGAAAUGAGUUUCUAAAUUGUGUUUAAAAUUUUAAUGUUUCUCUAUCCGAAUCCAUGAACCGUAUGAUUUUCAACAUACUUUUCACUCACCAACGAAAGUGAUUUUACCAAUGAAAAGAAAGUAUUUCAUGAAUGACUUCGAGUAGAAGAAAUGUUGUGAUUGUGUACUCUCCUUAUACUGUAUUGCUUUAUGUUUAAAAUGUUGAUAUUUGAUGUUAUGUUCGAAGUGGGUCGACCUUGUACCCAUGAUGAUAUGUCACCUUAUUCUUGUUGUGUGAUCUUGGAUAAAAUGCUAUAUUCUUGUUGUGUGAUCUGAAAUAGAAUGUCUCAUACUUGUUGUGUGAUCUGGUAUGAGAUGCCUCAUACCUGUUGUGUGAUUUAGUAUGAGAUGUCCUUUGCUUGCUGUGUGAUUUGGCAUGGGAAGACACGUUAUGCAUAGAGAAUUGAAAUAGCAGGAUGACUUUGCAAAAUGACUAUCCAAUAUAGGAGAGGCAUACGAUCUGAUAAACUGUGAAAUAUGAAAUCAUGUUUGCUAUAACGCCCAUCCUGAUAAUUGAUUUUGAAACAAUACGACAAACUGAUUUAUUAUAAAGUGUGUUAAAAGAUCCUACUCACUAGACAUUUUUGUCUAACAUUUCAAAUGUUAUUUUAUUUCUCCCAUAGGUAGCAAAGGACAUCCAACGUUGAACUUGCAGCCUUGACAACCUUCUAUGCGUUGUACUCACAUCAUUUUGGUAGUAGCCACUGUCAUUCAACAUAACAUGUAGGAGUUAGGUGAGUAAAGUUGAGUCAUUCUUGAGUAUGUCUUUUGUCCCUUUUUGGAGGACUUGAGUACCAAUAAUCAAAUGUACCCUUAUAGUUGUUCAUUAAUGAAGUGUUCUUUUUCUCAAACUCAACUUCCGCGUAUAAAAUUGUAAUUUAUGAAGUUGUUCUGCUUACUAGGCAUUGGUGUGUCAUCUCUCAAGAGAUAUGCAUUCAAUGUCUUAGGCAAGGUUGACUAUGGUCUUAUUGCAAUCAUUGCUCCACAUGGGCACUCUAAAUGCUUUCUCUCUUAAAUGUCUUUAAUCAUUUGUUGCACGACUCUCUACUACACGAUUGCUCACCAUAAUAAGUCUAUGCUCGUAAUCGCUCACUGUACUGUCACAAAUGAUCUUUUGGUCCUCUCAAUGCAUAGUCAGUUAAAACAAGGUGUCUUACUGAACUUAUCACACAAACUCUUUCUUUGACGCCUUUGUAAAGUUUAUUUUCUAUAAGAAAUUAGACAUUUCCUUACUCAAGGCGUUUGAGGUACUUAACUUCAUUUGCGUUCAAUCACAUUAACUAAGGUUCCUCUUGUUACUACUAAAAGAUGCACUCAAUCUCUGGGGUUAGUCCGUACAUCAAAAAUUGCUUUGGUAUCACAGACAUCUUCACGCGAUCUUCGACUAAAUGCAUGAUUCACCAGAAUAAAGUGUUUGACUAAAAUCAAAGUAAAACCUUAUCUCUAAUUUUGAAAAAUCAAACGUGGUAACGACGCCAAAAGCUUAUCUUGAUUUUAGAGUUUGUAUACGAAAUGCUCAUUAUGUCUAUAAGCUAUGCGUAAAUAUCACAUCCUCGUUAAGUACAAGUUUUCUUAUUGCUUGCCUAAGUGUAUGUAAGUGAAACGAUAGGUUUCCUAGGUAAGCUAGGAUCAAACAUAGGGACUUGAUAUCAAGUCUUAGUUAUAAAGAUUACUUCUUCAUCUAAGCGGUAGAAAGUAUAUAUUUAUACGGAAUAAAGUAAAUGUAUGUCUAACCUAAUAUCUGAACUAGAGAUUUUGUAAAGGGUCGAAGAAUGAUGGGGAGAGAGAUGAACUAACUUGUAUUUAAGAUAAAAUGAAGGAAUGUCUUCGCGUUAUUAGGCAAUUGAACCGUGUGGAUGUCCUUGAUGUGAUAGAAAUCAAAUAAUUGGCUUUUAAUUAAGGUGAGCACCUCUUAGUGCCUUGAACGUCGCACUUGCUCUCCUCUCGGGAUACAAAUUGUAAAGCUUUGUUAAGCGAUUGCUAUCUAUAAGUGGUUACUUAUAAAGCUCAUAUUACCUUUCUUUUAAGGGUGGUGACCUCUUGGCGCCAGUCACUCACACUUGUUCUCCUUCCAGGACACAAAAUGAUGAAGGUUAAACGUCAUGGUGAAGUUUGUCUCAAAACUCCUCCUUGCGCGUAUUAAAUAUAUCCUUGCUACUGCUCUCUCGAGUAGUUGGCAACAAACGCUGGCCAAGCAACGAAGUAAAUUCAACUAACACAAAAAUCUUAUAAGUUAAACUUCUUAUCAAUAACUUAUCACAAGCCUAAGCUACUUAUAACACUUUGACAGAUGAACAAUAAAGGAAUGAUGGAUUGAAAUGGGAUAAAUAUGCAAUGUAUUAAAGAAUGUAAGCCUUCAACCACUGUACAAUAUAAACAUGAUACAUUACAAUGAAAUACAAAAAUUGGGAGUAAAGAGAAUGACGAAUAAUACAAGUUAAGGGAGAAGAAGUUGAUUGAUCUUUCCCUAAUCUCUCUCUAAGCUCACACUUACAAGAUUGACUAGAGAAGAAGGUGGAAAAGCUAGUCUUUUCCGCCAAAUCCAAUGGAGCUCUCUAGGUUUUGGCCCUUUUAGCUCAACCUUGGAUUGGUCCAUUAAGACGUCUUGUCCCCCUUUUGAUUUGGUGUAGAAUGAGGCUUUAUGUAAGCAACUUCGACGGGAAACUUCUAUUCUUCUGAUCAUGUCAGUGCCGAUUGCAGUCUUUUCAUCAUUCUUCUAAUUUAGUUUGUACCGAUUGUCAGCGUGACUGGCAGCCUUGUGAAGUCAAAUCGGUGUUUAGCUAAACAAAACUUAUAAGACAUACAUUCUUGUUUUCUAGUAUUAAUUAUAACACAUUGCAUUGCUCAUAAACUAAUUAAAUAGAUUGAGCAUGAAUAUCAAUAGAAAGAUGGGAGAAUGGUAUAAGAAAUGCAAUAAUUUUAUAAAUAUAACUUUAGGUAUUUUGGCUAUGGAUUUUAUUUUACAAAUUAAUACAACAAAAUCAUAAAAUGGUAUACAGAUAAAUGCGUCAAGCCUCAAAGUAUGAUUUCUCAUACUCCUUGGCUCUAAUUUUUGCCUAUUUGUUGUGGGGGAAAUGGUAAGGGACAAACUCUCCCUCUUAUUGUUCUCAGUUCUCACCUAAAACUCAAGAAAGAAAGGAUGGAAGAUGAGCUUACUCUCCGAUCCAAAAUUUUCACACAACGUUCUGAAGUAGAGUCUUCUAUUAUAGGUGGGGAGUGAUGUUGACAGGACAUUUCAUGAUUCAUUAAACUUCUUAUUAAAGUUGUAUCAACGUCGCGCAUACGUCUUUUUGUCCUUUUCCUAACAUUUGUGCCAACCAAAAUUAUUUUCUAGUGCAUCAGACCGCGUAGAUUUUUUGUUCGUCGCCUUGUUGGUUGAACACGUCUCCCCACGUGACGUUCUAUUGUCAAAUUCUACUUCUUUUGGCCUAUUAUUCUGCGAUAAAACAUAUAAACGCAAUAAAAUGAGGAUAAAGUUCUUUUGUAAUAUGCGAUACAUAAGUUAAUCAAAUUUUCUACUUUUUCCCAUGUUUUCUUCUACUGUUAUGCAAUAAGGCUUCGUUUUUUUAUAUAAAAGGCUACAUUAACUUGUAUUUCUACAAGUUAUAGUUUAUUCAAAUAAUUAUAGACCCAAAGGAAGAUAAUUAUUUGGCCAAAUUAGGGUAUGCAUGUGGUAAUGAGUGGUUGUGCUCAAUUCAAUGCUAGGACUUAAGAGUUUCAAUUUUAAUUAGUGCAAUUGCAAUACAUCAUCCAAGUCAUGUCAUUGCGCGUAAUGCUCAUUGUAACUUUUUGUAUCACAUGCUUCCAUUGUAGGCGAUGGGUCAUAAGGUAUGAUCAUAGCAUAUGAGGAGCUCACAAUGUACCUCUUCAUUGCUUGAUUCUUAAGUCCUCGUUGAGUACAAGUGUUCCUACUGGUUGUCCAAGUGCAAGCGAAAUAAUAAGUUUACCUAGGUGAUCCAAGGUCGAACAUUGAAAAUUGUUUUAGGUAUUAGUUCUAGGUUCCACUCUUCAUUUAGAAAAGUUGUAAAAAUUAAAGAAUAACAAAUGUAAGAAUUAGCUAAUUACACAACGAAAGUCUGUAAUGCGAUAUAAGGCCUACAUUCUUUAAUAAAUUACAUGUUUAUACCUUUUUAAUCUGUCAAUGUAUUAUCUAUAGCUUAGUCUUGUGAUAAGUUCUUGAUAAUUAAGAAGUUUAGCUUAUAAAGCUUAUCACAUUAGUUUAGCUAUAAUAAUCACUUGACUAGUGUAUAUUACCAACUACUAGAGAAAGCAAGUAGCAGGGAUAUGGCUAACGCGCACAAGGAGGAGUUUGUACAAACUCCACCUUGGCGAGAUAACUUUCAUCAGUUAUGUCCUAGAAGGAGAACAAGUGUGGGUACUUGCUGUUGAGAGGUUGUCACCCUUAAAAGAGAAAUGCUAUAAGUCUUGUAAGUAAACACUUUUAGAUAAUCUCGCUUAACCAAGCUUUAUCACUUGAUUCUCGAGAGGGGAGCAAAUGUGGCGUUUAAGGCACUGAGAUGUGCUGGCCUUAAUCAUAAGCUUGUUGACUGAUCUCUAUCGAGUCAAGGCUACUGCAUGGCUUAAUCGCCUAAUAAAGCAGAGACUUUCCUUCACUCUUUCUUUGCACAAGUUAAUUCACUUAUCCAUCUCUCCACCAUUCAUAUCCCUUUUUAAAAAUUCUCUAGUGUAGAUAGUAGAUUUAGCUUAGACUCACACUUUUACUAAUGAAGAUAGGGAAAGAUAUAUGUUACUGAAAUCUUAAAUGUCUCAUCUGUUGAAGAAAAGAACUUUUACUAAGGCAUCAAAGAAAGUGUCCACGCGAUAGGUUUAGUAAGGCAUCUGUCUUAACUAACGAUGAGAUAAAAGAAUCAUUUGAACAUUGCAAUGAACGGUUGGUAGCAGAGACUUAUUGCGGUGAAUAAUUGUGAGGCAGAGAGUCAUGCAUCAAAUGAUCAAAGGCGUUCAGGAGAAGACAAUGCGGUUAGGAUGGCUAUGCAUAAUACUAUGCAAUAAGAGCACAGUUUUUCUUUGCCAAAGAACUUGAACGUGAGGAUGCUUUUGUAACAUAUAUCUUUACCUAUCUUCAUUAUAAUUGCAUUGAAAAUUUUGUGCAUAUUAAUCGUGAUAUAUAACAUACUUAUAAUUAUUUUAUAGUUUUAGUUUUGUGCUUUUUGGUUUAGAAUUUUUGACAAGUUAGGAAACACGAGUUGUAUCGCGUAAAUAUUAGGCGAUUAGAAUAGGGUUUUGUGCAAUGAAGCUACUUCGCGAAAUGGAUUGCAUUGUAAAAUGCAUUAGGCAUUAAAACCUUCUCAUGAAGCUUGUUGAGCAAAAGGGAAGUCAUAACGGUUAGGAUUUCGGGGCAUGCCUACAAUCACAUUUUGAAUUUCCAAUUUAUUGCAAUGAUUAUGUUGUGCAUCAAGAAUCCAAACGUCAUGUUAGAAGGGUCAACUUCACAUUUAAAACGUGUGACAUUAAGUACGCGGUAACUUGACCCUAACCACAGUUAAGCAUAUCUUUAUAAACCCCUUUUAAGCCCUAAUAUCAACUUUUUGCUGCACCAAUAAACUCAAGAAACCCAAACCUCUCCAAAUUUUUGGUCACCUUCUCUAGCAAAUCAAGUAAUUCCUCUUUUUCUCUUACCUUUUACUUUUCUUUUCUUUUCUUUCCUUAUUCCUGAUGAUAAAUGAUUGAAAACCAAGCCCUCGAAAAAUCCAUGAGGAAAUUGAUGAAUUCUAAGGCCAGAAACCCUAAGGAUGAUAUUAAAAUUGUGCAUUUUGAUGGUCCUAUGUCGAAGCAAACUCAACCCAACCCAAUGACAAUAAUAAUUGGAUUGACCUCUUUUGAGAUUAUUACAUGGACAUGUGUCAUAAAUAGUCUCAAAUAAUUGUUUUUUUUUACCUUAGACUUGUUUUAUCAUAGUGUCAAACAUAAGAAUUAAUCUAUUAUGAUGCAAUCAAACGUUAUCUUUAACCGUAUAAUUAUAAAGGUUGUACUCGAAUACGUUAUGAAUUAUGUAGUUGACAAUGAUUAAUCAAGAUGGAAUAUAUCCCUUUUGUUAUGAAGAUAUAUGUCUGGGCCCCUUAGUUAAGUGUGACUGUGGAAAUUGUUAACUCAUAAAAAUAUAAGUUAUUGUGGCCUUUUGUAUAAAAUAAUGAGGCUAAAAUGCAUUGUAAAAGUGUUAAAACGCCUGUCUUAUGUUAAAAGUCCAUAAAUAUUCAGAAAUGCAUUUUACAUAAGGCCUCCAUGCCUUUUUUACCAUAUUUAUAGUGUCUUAACACAGGUUUAUCAAUAAAAGAAGAAACUAGCGAAUCACACAAGAAGAGAAUCGUUAGAAGAUAAAAGUAGUAGUUGGAGUUGAUGUGACUCAAUGACAGAGGUUGCUUUCGGCACCGACACAUCUAGAAGAAUAGUUUCCAGUUCAAAAGUUGUCUAUAAAAAGUCUCAUUCUACACCAUUUAAAGAGGCCUAUAAAAAGACUCCACUAGGAGCUUGCCUUAAUCAUAAACUAGUUAAGAAAGUUAUAUCGCAUCAAAACUUUCAUGGCUUAAUCAUCUAAUAAUACUUAGAUGUUCCUUCGCUCCUUCCUUUAAUACAAGUUAGUUCUUAUUUCCAUCUCAUUCCCGUUUAUAGAAUCUCUAGUGUACAUAAGAAGCUUUAGUGUAGCACCAUAUUCUUUGGUGUUGUAUAGUUUAUUCUUUUAUACGGUUUGAUUGAUAAGUAGACUCUAGAACUAAGCUUUGAUAUCAAUUCCCCGUGUUUGGCCCUAGAUCACCCCAAAAAAUCUAUUAUUUCACUUAUACUUGGACAAACAGUAGGAAAACUUGUACUCAAUGAUGACUUAACUAUUACGGAUUGAAGAGGUACAUAGUGAGUAUUUGCAUGCAAUGAUCGUGACUAAUGACUUAUCGUAUAGAAUUAACUAUGCAUAUAAACAACCUUGAGUCUGAAUCCUUCCUUAAAAAAAAUGCAUGAUCGUGCUAUAAAUGAAUUAAUACGGGUACUAAUGUCAUUUAUUAUUUCAGUAUGCUUAUUGAUCGAGAAAGCAGUUGAAUUAGAUUAUGUGACUUUGUCCAUGCCUUAUAUUCAAUUAUAGAUAUCACAUGAUAAAAAGAUUAAAGCAACAAUUAUAUUAGGUUGUGUUGGAUCACCUAUUUAAUUUAAUGUGAGUACAUAGCCAUAAUGUCUUGCUAGAGACCAAUUAUGACUUAUGGGCCAUAAAACGAAUUAUGAGCCCAUUGUCAUAGUAAUUUAACCUAAAGGGUCGCACAUGAAAGAAGGGGGUCGAAUUUGUCUUUAGAUUGAGUAAUUAAUAAGUCCAAUUGGAGAAUUGGAAUCCUAUUUAGGAAACAUAAUUAAUAAGUUCAAUUGGAAAAUUAGAAACUUAUUAGAAAACAUAUAUAAUUAAUAAACUCGGCGAAUUGUGAGGUUAUUAGAAAUCUUAAGCUUAUUAGGAAACUCCAUGAAGCCUAUAAAUAAGACCUUAAGAGUCCUAUUUUACAAACAAGAAAAGACAUAAGAUUCAUUCUACAUAAAGAGAGAAUAUAGAGUUGAAAUUCUCACUUUGUGAGGUUCUAAUUUCGAGUUCGUGUGUGGAUACUAUCAGAGAACACUUAUGAUUUCACAACGUUUUGGUGAUACGAAUUGGAGGAUCAUUUUUAUUGAGGACAAAGACAAUUUGAUUUGGAUAAGUUUGGCACAAAGGUAUGUUAUAUGUGAUUUAAUUGUUUAUGAACGAUCUGUUUAUGUUCUAGGAUUAGAGUUUUUUUUUAUGUUAAUUAUGUUGUUUCUAGCUAUAAAUCAAUGCUAGUAAAUUAUAAAAUGGGUUACAAGAGAAUGAGGCAAGAUGCAAAGUACGACGUUGUGUCUAAACGUUGAAAGUCUAAAGUUUAUUGUUUUAAGCUUUGUUAUAGACAUAGCACGUUCAUUGUAUUUAGAACGUUGGUUGUUAAGUAAAUAAAGAGAAGUUGUUUAUUAUAUUCCGUUGUGUUCUGCUUAUUCUUAUCGCUUAGAAGUUAAAGAGUUUAAGUUGAACUAGGUGAUAAAACUAAGGUUCAAGGUACGUUAAGAUUGGUGGUUGAAGUAAUUCUGCUAACUAAGCAUUCAACAUGCUAUCUCGCAGGAAGAUACACAUUGAGUGUCUAGGCGGUCAUGCCUCCUUUUGGUCACAUGUAGUGACCUUUGGGGACGGGGCGUGACAAAGACUUGAGAAAUAAAUAGCUAAAUAAAAUAUUUCAUUUUGAAAAAUAUAAAAAAUUAAAUUAAAUGAGAAGAAUGACAGAGUGAUUUAUAUGAUUAUUAAUUAUGAGUUAAUAUUUUACCAAAAUAUCCCUACUUCAAAUCCUAACCACCAAGAUUUCAUUGGAAUUAAAACUCAUAUAUUUUAAAAUCUAUUAAAAUCCCAAGUAUGUUGUUAAAUAAUCAUGAUUAAAAAAUCUAUUAACUAUGAAAAGCAUAAUACUUUUUAAAAAUAAACUUAAAUUACGUUUUAAAAUAAUAUAUAACACAACAUUUAAAAUAAUUAUUAGUCACAUCCUACAUAUACAGAAUCCUAAAAAAUGUGCAUUUCAUAAAAUUUGGACAACUAAUUUUCAAAAUAUCAACACACCUUAUAUUUUCACUCUAAAAUAGUCAAAAGAAUAAAAACUAUUAGUAAUAGACUUAAUACCCACAUAUAUCUUAAUUUAAAAAAAUAACUAAACACAUUACACUCUAUUCUUAAAAUAUACUAUAUUUGAAAAAAAAAAUUAACAAAUGUUAAGAAUAAAGUCAAUUGAUUAGUGUAAAAUACAUUAGUUAUCCAUUUUGCUGGUUCAUGAUUCGUUGUCAAAUUAAGAGGUAGGCACAUCUUUCAUGAACUAAAAUUGAGAGCCAAAUGAUGGACGAAUGAAUUAAUCCACGUAGAAAGAGAAAAAUAGCUUAGGGCAUGAGAAGCUUGUUACAAAAUCAUUAUUGGGAGUAAAUUUCAUAUACCACUACUUUAGAACCCUUAAUCAAAAAAAAAAAGAAACAAAUUUGUUGAUGAAAAAAUUCACUCUAGGAGCUCUAAAAUCAUGAGAAUGAUAAAUGGUUUAUUUUAAGAAAUUAUCUUUCAAUUUGCAUAAUUGGAUUUACUUGAACAUGUUCAACAACAAUUUAGAAAAUACCUUGUAUGGAAGGGAUUUGAAAUUCUAUGGCCUUCCCACUCAACCCCAACAUAAAUGGAUGAUAAGUUUCAUAUCUUUCCAUCCAUUGAUAAUAUUGUAGAAACUUCAUAUCUCUUAAUCAUCAGCUUGAUUUCUUUCUCAAAUAUUCACUCACAAUUGGAACUGCACAUUGAGCUUUAUGUGACAACUGACACUUUUUUUCGUCUACUCUAUGAAUAUGAACUCAUAUCUUGCUUCAGCUCAAAUUUUUCAAUGCUUAGAUAAUAAAUUUACAAACUCACACUUAUGCUCAUACCUUGUUAGGAUCAUUUGCAAACACAAUUUAGCUUUACCCAUAAAAUUUUCUUAUCGAUUCUGCCCAACUUUUGACUCAAUCUUUGCAUUCCACAAGUGUCUUCACGUUUUGAACCAAUCAAAUUUUUACUUAAUUGAUUUAUACGAAAAAAUAUGAUUAGAUAUGAAUUCAAAUCAUAAAUUAUAAGACGGUGAAAACGGUUUGAAUUUUAAAUUUUAAAUCUAAUAAGAUUUAUAGGGAUUUAAUUAUAAGGUAGAUGGAUAAUAAGUUUAUUCUCUCCGAUUUUAAAUUAUAAAUUUUUAAAAAUGCAUUUGAGACAGAAAAUAGCAUAAUUAAACAACCAAUUACUAAAAAAAGAAAACAUCAUUCCUACAAUUGAGGGCAUUUUUUUAACUACUAAAGACAUCAUUUAUAAAAAACAAUGGGUUUUUUUAAAAAAAUAUAACAAAUAGGCAACAUAUUUACACUAUAUAAAACAAUUUCAAUAAUGAAAAAAGACCACAUGUUCACAAUGAAAAAUACCAAAAUUGCUCCAGUCAACAUGCGAUUAAUUGAGCACAAUCGUACACCAAAAUCUAAACGAUAUUUUUUCAAGAUUGUUGUUACACUAUCGUUUAAGUUUAACUACACGAUCGACGAUCGUUCAGAUUUGGCUACACUAUUAUUUAGAUUGGCUAUCCAAAUUUAAAUAAUUUUUUUAAUAUUAUUUGUACACGAUCAUCUAGAUUUGACUACCCAAAUUUAAACGAUUAUUUUUCGUGCACGACUAUCUAGAUUUACUAAUAUCAGAAUGAUUUUUUUUUCAAGUUCUUUAAUUUGUAUUCAAUAUGUAUUUUUACUCUAAAAUUUGUGCCUAAAUUUUAAAUUUUGGUUGUAAUAGAUAUUUUAAUUGUUUAAUAGUUUUUAAAAAACUUUUGAUUUAGUGUUUAUUAGCCCAUGUACACACUCUAAAAUUAGUUUAAAAUAUAAUUUUAAAUAUUGAAAUUUAGGUUAGGUUGUUUAAUAAGAUUCUAAACUUUAAAAUUUAAAUAGAUAAAUUUUAAAAUUAAAUCUAAUUAAUUUUUAUUAAUUUGGAAAGAAAAGGUAAUAUAGAGAAGGGUUAAAAGUUGAAAAUGUAUGAUGCAAUUUGAAAGUAGUACAACAUUUUUGUGUAAAUAAAACACUCAUCAUCUUUAUGGAUGUUGAAAGUUCAAGCAUUCCGAAGCAGAGAAAAAGAGAGGAAGUGGUGACAGGCUGUUAGUUACCAGGCCAAAAAAUAUUCAUCUCGUCACAGUAAAAAUGCAAAUCUCAUCAUCUCGUAUGAAGGAUAGUUUGAGAAUACGAUAGAGUUGGAAUGAGGAAGGGGUGGUGGUCGGUGAGAAAUGGAGAGGAGGGCAAAGGGGUAAUUUCAGGAAAAGGAAGGUGUCAGAGUGUCAGGAGACUAGAGGGGGGAAAAUGGAGGGGCCCAGAGGGAAGGGUAAAAUAGGGAAAUGAUUUUAAAAACACACACACAGAUAUAUAUAUAUAUAUAUAUAUAGUUGGUAUUGGCGUUGGCGUUGGCGUUGGUGUUAGUGGUGGUGGUGGUGGUGGGGCGCAGAAGGGAUUGUGGUCAAAAAUGGAAUUGACAAGCUUUGACCAGUCCUUGUGACUGACUCUGCCAAAAGACUGCCACCUUCCAAUAUUUAGUCCGUGGUACUCUGCCACACCCACAAAAUAUCAUUCACUUUCUUUUCUUUAAUUAUUAUUAUUGUUGGUGUUCUAACAAAGUAACAAAUACCCCCAUUCUAAAUAUUGUCCUUACUUUCUUAAAUUUUAAUCCUAAAAACUACCCCAACUAUUCUUUUCAAAUUAUUUCCAUCUUAAUUUUACCAUCUUCACUUUACUUAUGUAUAAUUUAAAAUAUCAUUGUUUGGAAAAUAAAAAUUAACAUUCAAACAUAAAAAUGAAAAUUUAUAAGUUUGUGGUGUUAUUUGUGGUUUCUUACUACAAUCAAAUUAGCUUUGGGAUUAAUGACAUUCUCUUAUUCCCUACCAACAAUAGAGUGGAUAGAAUCAUCAUUUAAUUUGAAAACACCUUUUAAGUAAAAUAAAGUCGAGGUUUAGUGAAAAAUUAGGAUUGUUUUAAAAAAUAUUUGUUAAAAGGGAUUUUUUUUUAUAAUAAUAUUACUAUUCAAGUGCGUCUCUUUCACAUUCACUUAGAGAACAUUUGGGACGAGGACGACUUAUAAUAGUCUGAAGAUUAUAAUAGUAUGACAUUACGAUAGUCUGCAAAUUAUAAUAGUCUGCGUUUGGGGUGCAGACUUAAGAGGAGUGCAGUGAGCUAUUUUAGCUCAACUCCACGCUUGAGACAUGGAUUAAACAAAAUGGGGAUUAGUGUUAUUUUACUCUCCUUAUUUUACACUGAUAUCCCUACCGCCUAGUGUUUUAUUCUCUAGAUCAGCUGUAUCUUGGGACAACUAUUUUUUCUUCUCGGAGUCAAUCUCGGUCGAGAUAGACCCUGAGAUUUUUCCUAAAUUUUAAAAACUCUUUGAGGGAAAUUUCUGUCUUUCUCAGGGACAUCUCGGGGCAACCUUAACCCGAAAUCAUUCUACAAAAUACUUAUGUUCUAACUUGAGGCUAUCCCAGGACAACUUUGGACCGGGAUCAUUGACAUAAUUUCUUUUGUUUUUCAACUCGGUGCAUCUCAAAGCCACGAUGGCUUGGGAACAAUUAACCUAAAUGCUUAUGUUUUCAACUCAGGGAUUGUCGUGGCAUGUUUUGGCCGAGAAGAGUUAACCUCAAUUUCAUAUUUUUAAUAGAAAAACACACUAUCUCAAUGACACACACUUGGAAGAAAUUAUACUGCACAACAGCUUGCUUGUCUUGGAUUUAUGUUUCGUAUUGUUCAUGGAUUUAUUGUUGUGUUUCAUCUAUAGUCUUAUUGCAUGAGUUUGCAAGAGUGAGAUCUCUAGAUUAAAUUCUUUUCGCAAACCUCUUUGCGAGGAGAGACAUUGUAAUUGCAUGCGAGAUGCUCACUAUGUCUCUAAGUUAUAGCUAUGCAAUAAAAGGUAGAAGCCCUUGUCCUUGUGUAGUUACUAAAUUCUCAUUGAGUACAAGUUUUCCUAUCGCUUGUCCAAGUGUAAGCAGAAUGAUAGGUUUUCUCGUAAGCUAGGGUCGAACACAGAGAAUUGAUAUCAAAUCUUAGUUAUAAAGCAUGCUUCUUCAUGUAGGUGGUAUACAAUAAAAAAACAAAUGUGUAUCUUAACACUAAACCUACUAUCUACACUAGAGAUUCUGUAAAAUAUGGUAAAAGGGGUAAAAAGAUGGAGAACGAACUAACUUGCAUUAAGAAAAUGUGAAGGAAGGUCUCUAUAUUGUGAGUGACUAAGUUACAUGAUAAGCCUUGAUGCGAUAGAUUUCAAUUAACUAGCUUGUAAUUAAGGUGAACACCUCUCAGUGCCUUAAACACCACACUUGCUUACCUCUCGAGGUGUAAAUAAUAAAGCUUUGUUCGAUGGCUAUCUAAAAAUGGUUACUUAUAAAACUUAUAUUACCUCUCAUUUAAGGUUGACAACCUCUCAUUGUCAAGAAUAACUCAACUAACACAAUAAACCUUAUAAGUUAAACGUUUCAUAAAAAACUUAUCAUAAACCUAAACUACUUAUAACACUUUGACAGAUGAAUAGUAAAGACAAUAUGAUAGAUUGAAAAGGAAUAAUUAUGGAAUGUAUUAAAGAAUGUAGGUUUUCGACCAUUGUGCAAUAUAAACAUCAUACAUUACAAUGAAAUACCAAAAAUGGACAGUAAAGAGUUUAAAGACAUUACAAGUUAGGGGGAAGAAGAAAAAGAGUUUAUUAAAGUGGAUCUUUCUCUAGUUUUCUCUUUAAGCUCUCACUUACAAGAUUGACUAGAGAAGAAGGUGGGAACUUAUAUAGAAGGUGAAAAGGCUAGUCCUUUCCACUGGUUCCACUGGAGCUCUCUAUGUUUUGGCUCAUUCAGACCAAAUUUUAAUCGGGCCUUUCAGACAUCUGGCCUCCUCUUCCUUGUAGGAGGUGGAGGCUUUAUAUAGGCUACUUCCAUUAAAAAAUUUCUAUUCUUUCUGUGCAUUCCAGCUCCAUUGAAGCCUUCUCAUUACUCUUCUAAUGUAGUCGACACUGAUUGUCAGCAUUACUGGCAACCUUGUUAAGUCACAUUGGCUCUAACUACCAUUCUUGUCUGUUAGUUAAUCUUCAUCGUGUGUUGAUGUGGUUCCUCACCUAAAAUUGUUUAGUUGCCAGACAAGCUUCUUAUCGUGUAGAACGCGCUCCUUUUCAAUUUAUGAUCUUUAUUUUUUUCUCUAUAUUUUCGCAAUUAAACACUAAAAAAACAAGGUAAAACAGACAAAAAGACUUGUAUAAGUUGUAUUUACUUAAAUUCAUGAAUUUGCGAUAUAAGCUACAUUUUUUACCACAUUAUUAUCUGUUUUGGUUUCAUUGUUCUACCUAAAAGACUAUAAUAACUUGUAUUUAUACAAGUUAUCAACGCACCCGAUCGAGAAAGAUCAAGACAUUUCCCUCAAGUUUUUGAAAAUUUGAAAAGACUCUUGAGGUCGAGGUUUAUCUCGAUCAAGAUUGACCCCGAGAAAAAAAUUCAGUAGUCUCAAGAUGAACCAGAUCAAGAGAAUGAGAGUGGAACAAUGUGUGGUAAGUAGUAAAAUAAUCAUAAUCCCCGUUUUACUUAAUCUGCCCCAAACAUGGAGUAGGUUCCCCUCAAGUCUGAGGGCCAAACAUGACUUUAGUUUUUUUUGUUUUUUUUAUUCCUUAACUGUCAUGUAAAAAGAUGGGCUUGGAAAUGUGAUAAAAAAUUAAAGCCCAUGAAGGCACCCUUGUUUUUUCAUAAAUUUUAGAUUUGCCCCGUGUUGGAUUUGAAUAUUGUGGGACCAUUCUUCACUUUAAUUCUUUUUCUUCUUUUUUGUGAUUUAUUCUUCUCAUCUUCAUAUUAUUAAUUUCAUUAUAUUAUUAAUUUUCCUUUUUCAUAUUUCCACUUCUUCUUAUUCGUGAUUUCUUCAUUUUCUAUUCCAGAAUUUAAUCAUUCUUCUUCAUCUCUCAUCUUCUUUUUUUCUUCUUGGUACAAGAUCUAAACAAUAUUGGUACAUGAUCUAAAUUAUUGUGUACCAAUAUCUAAACGAUCAAUUGUCUAUUCCAAAUAGAUAGAGAUAAAUGACUAUAACUAUCAAAUCUAAACGAUGUGGUACAAGAUUGUUUCGACUAGGUAUAAAAUCAUUUAGAUUUGAUACAAGAUUACUUAGACUAUGUACAAGGGUACAAGAUCGUUUAGGAUGGGUACAAGGGUACAAGUUCAUUUAGAUUUGAUACAAGAUUGUUUAGACUGGGUACAAGAUCGUUUAGAUUAGGUACAAGGGUAUAAGAUCGUUUUGACUUAAUAUAGAAGAGUACAUGAUAGUUUAAAUUUGGUAUAAGAUUGUUUAGACUGGGUACAAGAUCAUUUAGACUAGGUACAAGGGUAUAAGAUCAUUUAGACUUGAUACAAGAUCGUUUAGACUGAGCACAAGAUUGUCUAGAUUGGAUACAAAAUUAAUUUUUCACACGUGUGACCGAUUAAUCGUGAGGGUGUUUUUGUUAUUUCAUGUUGUGGGCUUGUGAGUUUUUCCAUUUUCAAAAUUUUUUUAUACGAUAUAAAUAUUUUUAUGUUUUAUUUUAUUCUUGAAAAACCCCUUAUUAUUAUGUUUUUUUUUAUUAUUAUUAUUAUUAUUAUUAUUAUUAUGUUAUUAUAAAUAAUAAUAUAAUAAUGUAGAUGUCCAUUGGAUUAGGAUGGUUUUUGUUAUUGUAAUCUAUGUGAUAAGUCAUUAGUCAUGAUCACUGUAUACGAAGUACUCACUAUAUACCUCCUCAUCCCAUAACUAUUGAAUCCUCGUUGAGAACAAGUUUUCCUACUGCUUGUCCAGGUGCAAGCGAAACAAUAGGUUUACCUGGAUGAUCUAGGGUCAAAUAACAUAGGAAAUUGAUUUAAGACAUUAGUUAUCAUCUAAGCGGUGUAAAAGAAUUAAUUAAAUAAAGUAUAAAAUAAUCCAAACCAGGAAUAAAACUACUUAUGCAUGCCAAGAGGGUCUGUAACAGGGAAUGAAUGGAUGCAAAAUGAAAUUGUGGACUAACAUGUAUAUGAAAAAAAUGUGAAUAAGGUCUAUGCAUUAUUAGGCGAUUAAGAAAUGCGAGAGGUUUGAUGCGAUAUAACUCGCGUAAUCAACUAAUGAUUAAGGCGACCUUCUCUUGAAGUGUUUAGACGCCACACUUGCUCACCUUUCAAGAUCCAAAUGACUGUGCUUGAUUAGACGAGAUAUAUCUAGGAGAAUUCACUUAUAAUACUUAUAGAACUCCUCAUUUAAGGACAGCAACCUCUCGGCGCCUAAUGUCAACACUUGUUAGCCUUUUAGGAUACAAAUGUUGGAAGUUAUCUUGCUAAAGUGGAGUUCGUUGUCAAACUCCUCCUUGCGCACAUUAGCCUUAUCCUUGCUACUUGUCCUCUCUGGUAGUUGGCGAUUGACACUGACCAAGUGAAGAAUAUAACUCAACUAAUUCGAUAAGACUUAUUAAGCUAGACUCUUUAUCAAGAACUUAUCACAAACCUAACUACUAAUAACACAUUGACAAGUCAGAAGUCAAGAAAUGAUGGAUUGAAAAGGUAUAAACGUGUAAUAUAUAUAAAGAAUGGACGCCUCAAGCCAUUGUACAAUAUGAACAACAUAUAUUACAAAGAAGUGUAAAAAUGCAAAGAAGGAAGAGUGGAAAAAUAUUAUAAGUUAGGGGAUAACAGAAGUAUGGAUUUUUCCCUACUCAGUAGCUAAGCUCUCGUUUUUGCAACUGAUAGGAGAAGAAGAAUAAAACGUUACAAACGACAGAAAGACUAUUCAUUUCCACCACUCUCUCUAGGAAUUGAACUAUUCAGGCCUUUGUCCCAUAUAGGCGUCAACCUGACCCAUGCAGGUCCCCCUUGAGUCCACAGACCAACCUGCUUUUGGUGGGGAUGAAUUCUUUUUAUAGGCAGCUUUUUGUGGGAAACUUCUGUUCUUCUGAGAUUUUCAGUGCCAGUUGCAGCCUUAUGAAGGCACACUAACUCUAACUACCAUUCUUGUCCUCUAAUGAGCCUUCCUCGCAUGAUGACGUGGUUCCUCGCCUGGAAAUGUUAUUCGCUAGUCGAGUUUUCAUCACGUGGCCUUUGUACGAUAUGUCUCCUUCGAUUCGCUAGCUUCUUCCUUCCUACUUAUCCAACUUUUAGACAUUGUAAUCAUGUACAACAGACAUGGUGCUUAUGCAAAAUGUAUUUCUAAAUACUUAUAAAUUUACAAUAUAAGUUACGCAUUUUGAUCUUCUUCUUAUUCAAAUAAAAGGAACUAUAAUAAUGGAUAUUUAUACACAUUAUCACACUUCAAAUUUAGAAUAAUGGUUGUCCUCAAGCAUCAUUCCGUAUUAUGCUUAUCUUCAAGCACCAUUCCUCUUUAAGGACUCACCUUCCCCUUUUGCAUUUCUAUACUUCUCAAAACGCAAGCAAGUUUUAUUCGUUAUUCAGAGUUGACUCUCAUCGCGUACUUCUUGCUAUGAAAAUAUAUUCAAGUUUAGAAUGCGGCAAGCUUAAUACUCAAAAUAUUCUUGUUCAUUUUCCACAGUAAAUCUUGUUUUCUGAUUCAAAAACGACUAAAGUUUCUAAACUUUUUUUAUACUUUUAUUUGGUGAAAGAAUGCUUUUUAUUAUAAUAUAUACUUCUGGUUUGGCGUUGAGUGGAAAAUCAUAGGCACUUUAUGAGUUUGUUUCUCUCCUCAACUGUAACUCUUAUCGCCUCUUAUUACUCACUCUCUAAAUUUUUACUUUUGAAGCUUUGCUUCUUUAUUUUGCAAGAAGAGGCAACAUAGGAGUUGUUAUUUUUAAUUGAAUACAAAAUUUUAAAUUUUUUUAGAUUUCUGGUGAAGAUUUAACGUUUGUUUAAGCACCUUGUUUUUUGAUGCCUUAAGAGGAUUUUCAAAAGGUUUCAAAACUUUUAACGCGAAACUCGCACACCCCCAAAUUUAGAAGAAGCUCCUCAUUGCUAAAAGUUAAUGAUAAGAUUAUUUUAGAAAAAGUUUUACAAAAGAGGUUUGAGAUAAAGCUUGCUUGCCUAAUAAAUUAGAGAAUAUUUUCUAAGUAAAGUUCCUGAACAAGUUAAACGCCUAAAUAAGAAAUGAAACUUUAUUUCACAUAAUUUAUUUCAUUGAAGUGUUAUUGAAUUGCGAAGAAAAAUUAGAAUACUACAAAGUGGGGAGCCAAGCUCGUGACAAGAAAGACUAAUCACAAAAGAAUUAUAUCAUGAGUUGUGACUUGUACUAAAAAGAACAUAAGUAAAAAGAAAAAAAAAAGUACAUAACACAUUGUUAAAAUACCACACAAUUGAUGACACUUAGCAAAUCCUUUUAAGAUUACUACCGUAAAUGAGGUUUCUACGAUGAUAGUUCUGAUGGAGUUAUCCUCACUUUUGUUAUCGGGUCAUAACGCAUCAUUAAAUUUGCCAAGGUCGGGGGUAGGUGAUUAGGGUUUUGGUGGGGAGUGUUGGCGUUUUGGAUUUGCGAGGAGUUUGAGUGAUUUGUCUUUGGAGGGUCCAAUUGUAGCAUAGAGGUCAAGGCGGUGGGCAUGCGACAAGAUGUCAUUGGAUUCCUCAGCCUUAAAGGUUUUUCCUCUCUCUGAUCCUAAGGCAGCUUCCUCCUCUUCUUGUCUUUAACUUCAUCACAUCGUUUUAUUCAACCCCUUCAUGCUCUUAGUUAGUGUUAAGGUAUUUUGAUUUAUCCUUUGUCGUAUGGAUGGUGAUGAGAUCCCUUUUUCCUUCUCUCAUUUACCUUUACUAGCGCUCGCAAGAACUUUUUAAUUGUAUUUGUCUUCUUCUCUUCUUGCGAUUAACACUUUCUCCUUCGACAUGUAGCUUCUUUCAACCCAUUUCUCAAACUCUUUUGGGGUUUCUUCCCCCACUUUCGAUUUUCUUCUUCCUCUUUCUUUAAGGGCCCACAUUUCCUUUGUUGACCUUUCUUGCAGUCCUUUUCGCUAAACCUUUAAAAUCAGCAUCAAGCAGCGAGGUGUCCUUCAUUGGAAGUUCAAGAUCACCUUCCCUCACCUCGCUGAUUCACCUCUUUUCCCUUCUUCUCCUAUUUGUAUUAUUACAUUUUCUUUUAUUCCUAUAUAUCUUUUCACUUUCUCUUGCUUCAUUCCUUACAUUUCCUUUUAUUCCCACAUUUUCUCCCUCAGUCCUCCCUAACCUAUCGCGUUGUCCUUCAUCUUUUGUGAAAUUAUUGCAUAAUGAGGCUAGAAGGUGGGUUAUUUGGUUUUCAGAACCUUGUAGUCUUAUGAGAGGUUUUGUAAGGGAGGUAUUUCUUGGUGAAAGAUAAGAAGAAUAACUUGUUGAAUUAGGAGAAGAAUUUUUUGAAUGGUAGUGAUUUGAAGGAUAUGGUAAUUUAUGGAUUUGUGACAUGUUAUGUUCGGUUAAGUGCUGAGAUUUUGGGUUUUGGAAGGUUUAAAUAGGUGCUAUUAACUAGAGUUAAAAGUUUGUAAUCGUACGAUUAGUUUUUUGUCAUAUUAAAUAUGAAUUUGAAACACUGACAUAUAACUCGUGUCUCGAGGUACAACACACUCAUUUUGGCUUGGGAGUUUAAGAACUUUAGGAGUGACAAUACAUUCCCUAUUUUCUAAAAAUCCUAAUGCUUCCUUAUGAACCCUACAUUCAACUUUAUCGUACAAGAAGGUCAGAAUACCUAAUGUGUUUGACUUAGUCCUUCUUGUAAACUGACUUCAUCUUAAUUGUCUUAUCCCACCAGCUUAUAACUUCGCGGUUUAUCAUGCAAUCCCCCACUGUAAGACUAAAGGAUAUACAAAACUUAAAUACAAAAAUGAUUUACAAGUAUACGAGCACUUUCAUAUGUAUAAAAGUAUAUGUAUGUACACGAAAAUAGAGGUGCAAUUCUAAAAAACUGGAAGAGUUAUACAUUACAGAUGCACCCAUGCGUUCAAGUUCUUCGACGAGAAAAAGCUGGUAUCAUCGUUGCUUCUCUACAUAGCUUUCCUAACAAAGAUGUAAUCGAACAUGCAAAAUUUAUGCGGAAAAGACUGUGUUAUUUGAAACACAUACUAUUGGAUUUGAUGAAUAAUGAAAGAAGUGAAUUUCCCUGUGAUUUACGAAUUGUUGAUAAAAUUGAGAUGUUGAAAGACGCCUAACGCUUUGAAUGACUAUUCUAAAAUCACAGAGAUAAUGAUUGACUUACAUAUUAUUUAUAUCGCUUGAUUUGGCAAAAUGUUUAUUAAAGCAAACUUGGUUUAUAGAAGAUGUUGAUAAAAGAUCUGACUCAUUAGACAUUUUUUUCUAACCUUUCAAAUAUUUUAUUUUAUCCCCUUCCAAGUAGAGAAGGAAAUCUAGAGUUGAGCUAGCAGCCUUGAUAACCUAUUGUGCCUUUUGAGAAUGCAUCAUUUUGGUAGUGGCCACUAUCAACUCACAUAGUAUAUAGUAGCUAGGCGAGGAGAGUCUAAGUGUUGUUUUAAGUUGUGUUUAGUGGUUUUGUCAAAAAUAUUUUACAAAGUAUUGAAUGUACCUUAUUAUUUGAAAUACCAAUGAAGUUUUCACGUUGUAUCUAAGUCCACAUUUCGCAUAAAAAAAUUAUGUGGUUAUCUUUAUUUUUGCUUACUAGGCGUUCUACGCAUUUCUUCAUGGAGAAUCUUGGUUGUUUUUACCAAAAACUUGCUUGUUAGAAUUUGGCUCUAUCAGACUAGAGUAUGUAAUGUUCUGUAUGUGUAUCUCUAAAUCUACGUGUGAGUCAUUGAUCAUGAUCAUUGCGUGCCUAAUGCUCACUAUGUAUCUCAUCUUCACGUAAAUGUUAAGUCCUUGUUAAAUAAAGUUUUCCUAUUGCUUGCCCAAGUAUAAGUGAAACAAUAGGUUUCUUGGGUAAGCUAGGGUCAAAAAUAGGGAAUUGAUAUCAAAGCUUAGUUCUAGAGCUCACUUUUCAUUCAGAAGGUAUAUCUUUUCUAUCUAUACAAAGUAAUGAAGUGUGAGUUUAAACUAUAUCUACCUAUUUACACUAGAGAAUCUAUAAAGAUGGAUUAAAGUAGAAGUGAAAUGGACAUGCAAAUUAACUUGUACAUAAGAAAGGGUGAAAGGUCUUUGAGUUAUUAGCGAUUAAGCUAUACGUUAGGUCUGAUGUGAGCACCUCUCAGUGUCGUAAACGCCACACUUGCUCGCAUCUCAGGAUGCAAAUGAUCAAGUUUGAUUAAGUGAGAUAUAUCUAGAAGAUUUUACUUACAAGACUUAUAGAAUUUCUCUUUUAAGAGUGACAACCUCUCAAUGCCAAGGUGGAGUUUGUUUUCAAACUCCCCUUUUUCCCUUGUUACCUAUAUCUUUGUUGCUUGGUCUCCCGAGUAGUUGGUGAGUUACACUGGCCAAUUGAUGACUAUAACUUAACUAACACAAUAAGUAUUAUAAGUUAAGUUUCUUAUCAAGGACUUAUCACAGAACUCAACUAUGGAUAACACAUUAAAGGAUGAAUAUCAAAGACAUGAUGGAUUAAAAAUGUAUAAACAUGCAAUACAUUUAAGAACGUAGGCCUUAAGUCAUUGUACAAUAUGACCAAAUACAUUGAAAGUAAAUACAAAAGUGAAAAGUACAGAAAUGAACAUUGCAAGUUAGGGAAAGUGAAAAAUGGACUCUUCCCUACUCAGACCUUAAGCUUUCACCUACAGACUGACCGGAGAAGAAGAAGAAAGACGUUUACAAAUGGUGGAAAGGCUACUCCUUUCAAGCUAUUUCUAUGGUUUGGCCCAUUCAGGCAUUCGACCAGUCCAUUCAGACAUCCGACUUCUCUUGAAGUCGGCCUCCUUCAACUUGGUAAAGAUAAAGGCUUUUUAUAGGCAACUUUCAGCGAAAAACUUCCAUCCUUUUAAACAUAUCAACACAGAACGUAGCCAUUGUCAAGUUACAUCAACUCCAUCUACCACUCUUGUCUUCUAGAGAACCUUUCUCGCAUGCUGAUGUCGAUCUCACCUAGAAGUUGUACUUGCCAAGCAAGGUCUUCUCGUAGCUUUGGUGCAAUUUCCUCUACGAUUCACUAGCUUCUUCUUUUGCUCAUAAUCUUGCGUUAAGACACUAACAACAUGGUGAAACAGACAUAAAGACUUAUGUAGAGUGUAUUUCCAAAUAUUUACGAAUUUUCAACAUAAGUUAUGCUUUUUGGUCUCAUUAGUCUAUCAAAAAGGCUAUAAUAACUUGUAUUUCUACAAGUUAUCAAAUCUUGCGUAGAAUGUCUAGGUGAUCAUGUCUUCACUUUAUCGUAUAGAGUGAUUUGGAGCAGAGCGUAACACAUACACCCUUAUUGUCCAAGUAAAUCCACAUCCUACUUGCCACUUUGUAUUUCUUCCUUUAUUUUAUUUAAUUUCCAUAUUUUUUCUUAUUUAUUUAUAUAUAUUUUAAUAUUAUAUUUCUCAAUAUUUGUGUUUUGGUUGUGUCUCAUUCAUUUUAAUAAUAUAUGUUUAUUAUUAAUAUUAUUAUUAUUAUUAUUAGGAUAAUUUACAUAAAUGUAACAAAGAAAAAAAAUAUUUACGCCUUGUGUAACAAAAAACAAAAGCACAUGAAGUCGGUAAGGUUGCCGACUUUCUUGUUUGCGGGAAAGCGCUGAAGAUUGGUGGAACCUAUAUGCAACAAGCACAUGAGGCUCUGAGUUUGUCACAUGGGAAGGGUUUUGUUUAAAAGGCCCAUCAUUUAAAAAGAAUUACACAAUUGUGUUGAUAUGAUCUAGACGAUCGUUUAGCAUGAUCAACACGAUUAUUAGAUUUGAAGUUUUUAACGAUUAUUUAUAUUGGACUACAUGGUCGCUUACCAUAAUCAACACAAUCGUUUUCCAUGAUAAACACGAUUAUUUAGCUUGGUCAACAUGAUCCUUAAAUUUGAAGCAUUUUUUCCUUUUGUUAAAGAAGAACUACAUAAUCGUGUAUCAUAACUAUAGUACACAAUCAUUUAGAAGAAGAUUACUUGAGUGUGCAUGUGGUCGAUUAAUCACAUGUUGAUUGGGGCAUUUUUUUAUUUCCACUUGUGGGCUUGUAGACUUUUUUUGUGUUCAAAAUUGUUCUAUAUGGUGUAAAAAUUUUACUGGUUUGUUAUUUGUAACGUGUAGUAAUGACCAUUAUUAUAGUCCUUUUUGUUAGAAUAAUGAGGUCAAAACGCAUAAGAAGAUGAUUAUAAUGCGUGACUUAUGUUGUAAAUGCAUAAGUAUUUAGAAAUACAGCUUACAUAAAUGUCAUUCUUGUUUUACGCAAUUAUCAUGUUUAAAACGCAGGAUAAGUGGGAAAGGAAGAAAGGAGCAGUUGAUAUAUGGCAUCUCGCGCAAGGAUAAUGUGAUAGAUCUCGCUGGGCGAUUAACAACUCCAGACAAUGAACCAAAACAUCAAGCAAGGAAAACUCACAAGAAGACAAGAAUGGUAGUUGGAAUGAUGUGACCGCACAAGGCCCAAGGACAGUACUGACACACUCAGAGGAAUAAAGUUUUCCGCUGAAAAGCAGCCUAUACAAGCACUUUGUCUCCACCAAGAAAAGAAGGCCCGAAUAGGUAGAAGAAAGUUUAUCUAGAGAGAGAGAGAACUUGAUAAAGCUACCUGGAGAAGAUGCAACCAUGAAGAACAAAAAAAUUAUUUGUCAUUGAUUUCCUAACUUGCAAUAGCAAUCCCUUUUCUCUUCUUUCCAUCUAUGUUAUUUUCAUUUGUAUUUUAUACUUCAUACUGUACAUACUCUUUAUAAACCCAUACUCUCAUUCUUUGAUAAAUGUACAUAAACAUAGUUGUUCAAUCCAUUAUCUCUCUUCUUCUUCAAGUUAAUGUGUUAUCAAUUGUUUGAGUAGAUAAUAACUCUUAAUAAGAAGAGUGCUUAUACAUUUUAUCAUGUUAAUUGUGUUGGAAUUUUUGUCCUAAAACUCGUAGUUUGUAGUAAUAUUCUAUUCAAUAAAGUCGUUAUUGAGAAAUUGAAUAUUAUAAUCUUAAACUAAGUCUCAAGGCUAUUUUUUGAGUAAACUUGAUCUUUUUGUGGAGACAUAAACAUGGAUCAAGUUCGAGUAUAUAACAUAAAUAGUCUAUAGUAUAUGAAUAAUGGUUGGGCACCUUAUUUAGAGAAACUAUGGAUGCGGCCCGCUUUGUAGUAAGUACAAACGAGAUUAUCCUGAAUCGUUCAUAUAGAGACAUGAAAGUGGGGGCAUCCUAUGUAAAGUACUUACAUAAGACUGAACUAUAAAACUAAAGUUGUGAGCAGUAGGUCAGUGUUAUGCAUGCUAGGCGGCAAGGCAUAGAGGUUAUAAUGUGUUAUUGAGAUGUUUAUGACAAGGUCAUGACAUAGCUGAGCGGCAAGGCAUAUGCUCAGGCUGCACGCAUGGCUUGCGAAAAGAGGUUAGUAGGUGGCAAACUAAGCGCACAACACCAUGCGAACAAUGACACACAGUGGGCGCUGAUGUAUAGCCUUGUGCAUGUGUUGCCCCUCAUUACGAAGUUAGCACGCAGUGUACACCCCUCACUGUGAGAUUAGCACGUGACAAGGCCCAAGGCCAUGCGCGUGCGGCCAACCCCGUCCAUCAUGUCAAUAGCACCGUUGGGCUGUUUUCGAGUUGGUUUGGAUUGUUUUGAUAUUUUUUAGAAUUUCAAGUAAAAUUUUGAUAUUCAAGGGAUUAAUUAAAGAUAAAAUAUGAAUUUUUCAUUACAAGGAAGAUUGGGAGAAAUUUUCAGUCAAGGAUCUGUACAAGAAUUGUGAGUAACACCAUGAUUUCUAGAAAUAUUUAAUAAACAUGUUUUCAAGCUUACAAACAAUAGCUUGUGUGUUACAAAAUGUUUUAAAUGUUAUUUAUUAAAGUUAUUAUGCUCUAUAAGCAAUAGCUUGUGGAAUGAUUUAGAAUAUAAUUUUCAUGUUAUUAUUUCAAGUUAUGUUUUAUGAUAAGUUUCAAAAGUAUUUAAGCAUUUUUUAGACUAUAUUGUACGAUUUGUAUAGCAACCCUUUGGGGGUAUUACCUAUGCACAAAGGUUCCUUUGGUGAAGAUAUUCAAUAGAUACUUAGAUUCUUAUCAUUAAGACUGACUAAUGAGACGAGGGUUCUACAGAUGGCUUUCCAUCUCUUGAGAUGAUGAUCUGUAGGUUCCCACUUGAAGUAGCUAUAACGAGAUGGGGCACUACUGAUGCUUGGAUUCUGCUGCGUUAGCAAGAUGAGGGCCAUCAGAUGGACCACCUUAUAAACAAGAUGAGGGCCAUCAGAGGGACCACCUUAUAAAUAAGAUGAGGGACAAUGUUUGCUACUUAUAUGGUAUAACAAGAUGUUGUUACUUAUAUGGUAUAACAAGUGAAAGAUAGAAAAUGUUUGCUAAAAAGGGUAUUUAAAUGUUAUGUUCAUGUUUUGUUUAUGGAAAGAACCAAGUUUUAAGUUAAAUCAUUUUUGGAAACUAUUUUCUAAAAUUUUUUCUCACUAAAUCAAUCUACUUAUACUUUAAAAAAUGUUCUCCCACUUUCUAGGUACAGAUUGUGGAUCUUCGUGUGCUAAACAUACUGCUAGCAGGCUAACUUAGUUUUGAACCAUAAAAGGAACUGUUUUACUUUAAAGCAUUAUUGUAUUAUACAAGAGUUUAUUCUUCUAUGUUUGAUAUAUUUUUCACUUGGUUUCGAUAAAAAGAAUAUUAAAUGAGUCACAUUAUGGUUUUAAGUAUUUCAAGGUAGAAGACUUUCGUUGUUGAUUAUUUCACGUUUCCAUGUCAUGUGUCAAUUGAGGUUAUUUCGGAGGUGAACAACUUCAGUUGACAUUACGCCACGUCUCAGGAUGACCAAAUAGGUGCUCGGGGUGGGAUGUGACAGAGAACCUUCAAAAGUGGGCCUUUUGAUGUAGGUGCUAGACGACAAAGCAUUGAAUAACCUCCAAAAGUACAUAUCUAGGCAUUUUGGAUGCUUGACAAUGUAAACUUGAUAGGCAUAAAGAAUGAUUUAGAGGUUAUAUGGCUUGGAAAUCUUGGAAAAUACUAGGCAAGAAGGAAGAACUAGAGGUUAGUCAUGUGCUUGGCGAGAAGACCUAAGAGGUUAGCAAGCUUAAAUUGGGCGGCUAAGGCAUGAAAGAAAUACACUAGGCAAGAAGAGAACCUCUAAAGAAGUGUCAUUGGACGUGUAAGGUUGUCCCUUAGAGCUUAGUAAGGGUCUUGAGAGGUUAGGCGAGAAAGUUGGUAGUCUGGUGUUAGGUGAGAAGCAUGUCAUGCCAGGAAGUCAUAGAGGUUAGCUAGCCGUUUUGGACAAUUACGUGGUUGAUUAAGGGCAUUUAGUUUAAAGUUAAUCCAAGUGUCCUAAUCAUUUUACAUGCAUUUUUGCAGCCAAGGAGGAGGUGGAUUAGAAGCAAGAGGUGUAACAAGGAGAUUAAGAGGUGGAACAGAAAGAAGGAGGUGUCAAUUCAUGUUCAUACAAAGCUCUCUUAUAAAUAGACAACUUCAGCCAAGGGUUUCUCACAACUUACUCGUGUUAAUUAUUUCAAAUCACUCCCAAAAGUUUCAUAGUUGUGUCUAGUUUAUUGAAGAGGGCUGUUGAGAAAUUUAAAGGAUGGAAGAUUGGUAUUCUGAUCAAAAUUAGGCAAGAAGGUCAUUCUAAAAGAGAAAAAUGAGCAAGGUGCGUUUCUGGAAAGCUAUAGAACUCGUUUAUUGGAGUUUGAUUUUGAAAGUUCGAAGUAAGAUAGUUAGGAAAUUUUAAAGAAACUUUCCAGAAGCAAGUUUUGUCAAAAGAGUUAUGGAUUUGAAGUUACGAUUUUUUAAAGUUGGGUCAUGUUUCUAGACGAAAAAUAAAGUUUUGGACAAUAGGUCAGUGCCAUGCAUGUUUAGGCGAGAUGGAUGUGGUUUUAUUUCAUUACGGUUAUUUUGGAUUGUUUUGAGGCACAUGGAAAGGCCAUGGCAUAACCGAUCAACAAGGUCAUGCGGGCAACCAGCAAGGCAUGCGCUCAGGUUGCCCGCAUGACCUUGCGAGAAGAGGUUAGCGUAUAGGCUAUACGUGUAACACAAAGCGUGCAAGGCGUGCGAUGAGCGCACUAGGUAGGCAGCCAGGAUGCAUGCAACAUCCCUCACUAUAAAGUUAGCACGUGGUCGCGGCUCACCUCAGCAAGGUUAGCAUGCACUAAAGCCCUAGGCCAUGCACGCAUGCUAAAUUCCAUCCACCAUUUCAAUUAGCACUGAAGGGCCAUUUUUGGGUUGUUUUGUUAUUUUUGGAAAUAUUAAGGAAAAUGUUGGAUAUUUUCAAGACCAGAGGAUUAAUUAAGGGUUAAAUGUGGGUUUUUCAAACCAAGGAGAUUUUAGUGGAAUUUUCUGACAAUGGAUCCAUUCAAGUAUCGUGAGUAACACAAUGAUUUAAAAGUUGAUUUAUAAAGCAUGGUUUCAAAGGUAUUGUUCAAAUAUAUGAUUUAUGAUAAAUGAUUAUGGAAAUAAUGUUUCAAGUUAUAUUAUUUUUGAAUGAUAUGGUGAUGAAAGCAAAGAAAAUGUUUCAAUGUUUUCAAUAUGUUUUCUCCUAGCCUAAAUAUUCCAUGAGACCUAUUGUAUACAUGUGCUUAACUGCAUACUGGUGGUAGGGUUGACGAACCUAUAAUUUAUGGGCCAUCAAGAAUGGUAUAUAUUUAUGCCUUAAAGGAGGAGAAUUACAAUGUAAAGUAUUUCCUAACGACAGUUCGUCUUCGGGCGAAGAGGUUUAACACUGCAUGUGACUAUCGAUCAUUGUCUUCCAAAAACAAGCAUUGAUAAAUGUUAUGAAAUGACUAUUAUUGAUAAAUGUAUUUAAGUUUACAUUUUAUGUUAAAUUGUUUAUGAGACUUGUUUUUAUAAAACCGUUGCUCACUAAGUUUUUCGACUUACUCUUUCAAAAUGUUUUCCCUCUUUCCAGGUACAGAUUGUGACUCUCGCGUGUUGAACAUAUUGUUACCACGUUAAGUUAAUUUUCAGUCAUGAAAAUACAUUUUAGUAGAAAUAUCGUUAUGUUUUAUUAAAGAUUUAAACUUUCAUGUUUUAUACAAAUUACUUAGUAUUUAUUAAAGACAUUUCAAAUAGGUUACAUUACAACUUUUCAAUUAUUUCAAAGUUUAAAGUCUUUCGCUGGCAAGUGUUUCAUGUUUUCAUGUCAAGGUUCAGUUGAAGUUGUUUUAGAGGUGAAUGGCUCUAAUUGAUAUCAUGCCACAUCUCGAACCAAGCAAGCAGGUGCACAGGGUUGGGUAUGACAUCUUAACUGUCUUUUUUCAAUUAAACUUAGACAUAUAGUGUGGAAAAAAUGUUUAAACAUAACAAGAAUAAUUUAAAUCUUUUACAAAACAUCUUCAGGUGUGUACCCAACCUUUGGACAUCCCGCUCAACUGUCUUAUAUAGACCAAAUGAAAUUUAGAGUUCCAACUAAAGCAAAACCAUAACAAAACUCAACAAUCUCAACCCUUAUACUAGUUUAUUAUAUACAACGACAACUAAGUCUUCUAUUAGUUUAACUAAAAAUUAUCAUGCAUGCAUAGAAUCAGUCAUACAAAAUCUAAUCAAACUUCUAGUAGAGUGAGAAGAGCUUCAACAAGUGUCAGAACCACGAUCUUUACCUGUAAGGGAAGUAAAUAUUGGAAGGAUGAACUAUAAUGCCUCGUGAGUAACAACUUUUAAAACAAAGCAUCUUUACUAAAAGAAGUAUGCACUUAUAAAAGAAAUCUUUAUAUAAUGCUUUUCUAGGCAAACAUUUAUGACAAAACAACUCAUGGCUUAGAAGCAACUAGUUUAACUUUACCAUGUUGUGGUAGGGCGUGCCCGAUACCCUCAACAUCUUUUCUAACCUUAACUCUACGAUGUAGUAGGGCACACGCCCAAUACUCCCAUCGUCUUUAUCGUAGUGGGGCACGCCUAACACUCAUGACCACAUCGUUGUCAUUGAGUACACUUAACAUCGACAACAAAAUAACCUUCUAUGUGCACAUAAUAUCAUUAUAAUCUUAGUCAUGUAUCUAAUAUCGCUCUUAGAAAUAUAAAAACAUUUAAUCAUGCUUUUCUCUUAAGAUUUUCUCACUUAAGUGUCAACUUAGCUUAACUCGUACUUAGUUACUAGAGCUCUUUAACUUGAUGCCACUCUUGCAUCCUGCCUUGCCUAAACUUAUCCAUCACUUGGAUAUAUUUUCAUAAACUCAACAUUCAAAUAAUCAGCUCAAAAAUCUUUAACUAGAAUGCUUUUAUACUUAAAUCAUGCAUACUUAUUUAUCAAUCUCAUAAAAACUCUUUCAAAACUUUAAAGUCAUGCUUGGUAAUACAUUUAUAACUCAAGUGUAAAUCAAAUACUUUAACUCAAAGCAUGCUAUAAAUAAACUUAAUUAAACAAUUUAGAAAUUUAUUUGAAACUUAUUUUUGUCACUCACAACUUUUGACUAGAUUCUUGGUUUCGAGAUUGGCCCUAUUUCCUCUUGCCUUGAAAAUAACGAGAAAACUCCAGUAAAUCUUGGGUUCCAACUAAAGAACCUUAUUCGCCUUCUUACCUUUUUUCCUUUUUCUUCUCAAGAAAAUUAUUUUCUUACUAACUUUGAUCCCUUUGAGCUCUUUGGUGGCCUUGGCUUGUUCAAGACUAGUUCUUCAAUUUUUCCCUAGCUCCACACGAGCUCCCAACUGAUUUAGUGCCUAAAAUAACUAGCCCUAACUUAGCAAACUUGCUCUUAAGCUUCUUAAACAAGGAAGAAAAAACUUUGACUUACUUGGAUCUAACCUCAAGCUCUACUCUUCCUUCUCGAAUGUCUCUUGCUCAAACACCCCUAGUUGAAGCUUGGCCAAACUACCCUCUUGCUUGACUUCAACACUUGCAAGCAAAUCUCAGCUUCUUUCUACUUCUCUUUACUUUGCUCUUGAAGAGGAAAUGGUGAGAAAUGAGAGUUUGUUGUUCUUAAAGUGCUUUUUGCGUCUGUAAAACGCUAGUCUUCGUGAGAUAUAAUAUUCCCUAAUUUUAAUCCUGGUCGAACACAGCCCUGAGAUGGCCCAAGAUCCAUCUCUGAAACCCUUUUAUCUUUGGAUUUUGGUUUACCACAACCUUAAGGUGUAUCAGGAUUUUCUUUAUAUAUUUCUCUACCUUUUCUCUUGGUCGAACAAGGUCUGAGAUUCUCAUUUCUAUCUUGAGAUUCCACUUUAGGUACUUGCUUUGAUUUAAUUUGCUCAGAGAUGCUAUUUCGAGAUCUUUAGUUUAACUUGAGACUCUUGGACAACUAAAAAACUUAACUUCUUAACUUUUUAGCAAGAAAAUGGGAUAGAAGAUAUAUAUUAUAACCCUCCUCUAUUUUGGAAAUUUUGUCCUUGACAUUUAAAAUCCUUAAGUGAAAAGUGAGGGAUACUUGCUCUUCAUCUUAUCUUAUGUCUCCCAAGUUGGUUAUCCUACCUUGUGGUGCCUCCAAAGGACUUUCAAUAAUGGGAUAGUCUUAUUUCUUUGCAGCUGCUCUUUCCUAUUAAUAACUUGUAGAAAUACAAAUUAUUGUUAGCCUUUUAUAUAAAAUAAUGAGGUCUAAACGCAUGAGUAGAAAGAACUAAAGGAAAAAGUAGGCCAUUUGGCUAACUUGUGAUAACUUAGCGUAAAAGAGCCUUAUUCCUGUUUUAUCAUGUUUAUGUGAUUAAAUUACACUAUUCCUAGAUAAAAGAAGUGAAGCUCAACGAUUCAACGUUUAGGCAAAAGUGCCACUGUAGCUUUUCAAAGCAUUGAAUGGUGUGUGACCUUUUGUUAACAUCAACUUUUGCCUAUAAAUAGAGUCUCUCACUUCAGAACUCCGAGUGCAUAAUUUAUGGCCGAAGAGCAAGCUCAAACAUCAUCCAUCCUUUGUUUCGCUAAAGUUUCUAGGUGAGAGCCUGAAACAAAAGAGAGAGAGAGAGAGAGAGUUCAUUCCCACCAUUUCCCCCCAGUAUUAGGCAAACAUCCUAGCCAAGGAGGAUGAGAAAUCAUACUUUGAGUUGUAGUCCUUUCUUCUUUCUUUCAUUUUCUUUUUAUGUUGUACUGUAUUGUAUUAUGUAUUUGAUGGCCAAAAAUCCUAAAGUUAUUAGCUUAAAUACAUUACAUUUUAUAUUUCAUUCACUCAUACUCUUGUUUUUUUGCUCCUCUAUUAUGUUUAAUUAGCUUGUGUUGAUAAAAUGUAUUUUUGAAGUCUUAAGGACAUUGUGAAUGUCAAAGAACAUUAAUGCCGAUAGGUUGCCCACUUUAAUCAAGAUGUAUUUACUCAAGUUUCACUGAGUUAAGUGUGAAUGUCAAAGAACAUUGUAUAUUUGAAAGAAGAAUAAUGUGUUUGAUCGUAAUCAUCUGACAAAUGAAAACACACAUUUAACUAAGCGUUUUGUAAGAAGAGUACAACAAUGUAUUUUUCUUGCUAAGUUCAUUCUUUACAUACAUUGCAGAAAUUACAAUGUGUGUAGUGAAAGCACCGAGAGAUUGCCCACAAUCAAGAAAAAACAACUUAGAAUAUUUAUAACAUGAUUAGACAUAAAUCAUAAGUCACUCUGAGUAUUUAAAUCUCAAAAGGAGAGCAAGUAUGGUAGAACGUUGAGAAGCAUGUCGCCUUAAUGCCGAGUUAAAGUAUGCUUUAUGUUGCCUAGAACCUUCAAGUUCAUCCUAACACAUUUAGAUAGUUGAACCAUUCCUUCCUUGACAUGUCUAUAAUGAGUUCACUAUUCAUCUCUUUUCAUCUUUCCAUGUCAUCUUGCACUGCCAGAAGCACCACGUGUAUAUAAUAGAGUAGAAUAGAUAACAUAUUGUUCAUAUAUAACAUUGUAUAACUUAUACCACAUAGUUUUAGUAGCAUGAUAAGGUAAAAUAGGAACUCAAGCUCCCUGUGUUCGACUCUAGACUUACUAGGAAACCUCUUUUCACUUGCACUUGGGCGAAUGAGAAGAAAACUUGUAUGACAAUAUUUACAUUUUGCGAUUUAGCAACGCAUGGAUAGGAUUGCACCUUUUAAUACAUAUUAUUAUCUAGUCGUCACAUAGCCACUUUAUUAGAGCUCUUAACGCCACAUCUAUGGCAACCUUGCAUGCGCACAAACAAUCAAAAGACAAACUCACAUGCACACAAAUAAACACAAACAAGUUUUUGUCGCUAUUGUUGGGGAGAUUAAUGUUUUUCCUGUAUAACUUAAUAGUGCGCUAAAAUUGUGUAGAAAGAUCUAUUUUAGUUGAAUCACGUCCUUUAGCCAACAAGAAUGUGAACUAGUUUAUGAGCGAUAAAGAAUGACCAAGAUUUUAACUCAACCCUAUAAUAGAACAAAAUUUUUGAAGGAACAUGGUUGUCUAUUUCGUGCUUGAACUUAAUAAUUUCAUGUGCAUAUAAUGCAAUUGCAAUACACCACCAAGUUUGGUUAUUGCGCGUAAGGCGCUUACUGUAACUCUAUGUACGUUAUGCUUCAAUUCUAGGCGAUCAGUCAUGAGUCAUAAUUAUAGCAUGUGAAAUGCUUGCCAUCUACCUCUUCAUCGUGUAAUUCCUAAGUCAUCACUGAGUAUAAGUUUUUCUACUGCUUGCCUAAGUGCAAGCGAAAUAGUAGGUUUACCUAGGUAAUCUAGGGUCGAACACAUGGAAUUGUUUAGCUCCUAACUCAUUCUAAUAUGUGGAAAAUCAUGCGAUAAAGAUUAAACAGUAAUUUGUAUAAACAAUGUAUGAAAAUUUUCGUAACUAUUUACACUACGGUGCUCAGUGGUGCAAGGUGACUAUGGGUUAUGACGUGGUUAAGUAUGUUCUCAUCUUAGGCAAAAUAAGAAAGGAAACAGAAUUAAAUUACUAAACAAACUAGUUGCUGCCUUGAUACUUUGAGGCAAUUUAAUUGUAUCAACUACGAAUUAAGGCAUACACAUCUCAGUCCAUUACCGUACUUGCUCACCUUUCGGGAUGCAAAUACACGAGAUUAAUGACAUUAUCUCGUGACUCAUUGUGCAUGCAAUAAUAGUAGCUAAUCCUUAAUUAAGGCUCAUGCCUCCAAACAUAUUUUACCCCACACAUCAUCCUCUCAUAGAUGUAUGAUAAGGACAAACUUAGCGAUGAGAAUGCAUUACUAUAUUCUUUUCACUACUUGCUUAGUUCAUUGUAAAUUACGCAAAUUCAAUGAUUUUGUUCUCUAUUCUUGGGAAAGGUGACUUACCGUAUUUAAUACUACACUUUCCCCAAUGUCCCUCUGCCACACGUCGGAGAAAGUUAACGUUUGAAAUUAAUAUUUAUGUUUCCGUGACAUCCAUCUACCACACGUCGGGGAAAGGUCAAAUAUUCAUUUUAUAUUUGACCUUUUCCCAACGUCCAUUUACCUCACGUCAGGGAAAGUUCAUUAUUAAAUUAAUAUUUAUACGUUCUCCGACACCUAUUCUCCAUACGUUGAGGAACAUAACUUAUGCUGACACGACUAUACGUGUGUCGGCGUUGGUUGGUCAAUAUCGACACACUGUUCACCUACACCUUACACAACGUUGAAAUUUCUCUGAUUUCUUGUAAUGUAUAUUACAAUGAAGUGUAAAGAUGGAGAGAAAGAAGAGUGGAAAAAUUACUACAAAUUAGGGGGGAACGGGGGAAUAAUUCUUCUCUUGCUUGAACUCUAAGCUUCAAAUGGCCUAUUCGAGCCUUGCACCCACUCAGGCGCUCUUUCUUCUUGGUUAAGAUGAAGUACUUAUAUAGGCAUCUUUUCGGUGGAAAACUUCUAUGCCUCUAAACGUGUCAGCACUGACUUUAGCACUGUAAAGUCAUGUCAUUCCAACUACCAUUCUUGUCUUGUAGUUAGCUUUCCUUACAUGAUGACAUGUUUCCUUGCCUAGGUUGUUCGCCAAGCGAGCUUUCAUUGUGUGGCCUUCUGUGCAAGAUGUUGUCUGUUAUUUGCUCAUUUCUUCUUUUCCCACUUAUCUUGCGUUUAGACUUGUUAAUCGUGUAAAACAGGCAUGGUGCUUAUGUAAGCUGCAUUUCUAAAUAUUUAUAAAUUUAUAACACGAGUCACGCACUUUAAUCAUUUUCAUAUGCAUUUUAAGCUUAUUAUUAUAAUAAAAGAGAGUAUAAUAACGGAUUUUUAUACGCGUUAUCACUACUCCUCACAUAUUAUUUGAUAGACUAGAACUUAGUGACAUGGCAUGCACCAUUCCUUGAGAGUCUUAUUUUUUCGUUCUACUAUGUCAUUUUGUUGUGUGAGUAAGGAGCAGUAAAAUCAUGAAUAAUAUCAUUUAAUUCAUAAAUUUUUUUUAAAUGUUUUAUCAGAGUACUCACCACCUCUAUCUAAUCUUAAUCUUUUUAUCUAAUUCAUUUUUAGUUUCUACCAUAAAUUUCAAAAGCAUGCUAUUAGAUUCAUCUUUUAUUUUUAUCAAACAGAUCUUAGUAAAUCUGAAGAAAUCAUCAAGAAAAGAUAUAUAAUAGGUUUUACCACCUCUACUUGUAGUGUUUUCGAAAUCACCUAGAUUAGAGUGAAUUAAUACUAAUAGUUCGAUACUUCUAAUCACAACUGGUUUGAAAGGUUUCUUAAAGUAUUUACUUUCUACACAAACAUAGUAUAUACUAGUUUCAUGUGUGUUCGCACGAGAUUUUCGGAGAAAUUUGAUUCGUGGAUUUGAACUUGAGUUGAUGUUGUAUCUUUGUUGAUUUUGUUGCGAAUGCGGUUCAAUUUCUAGAAUUUGAUCCUCUGAUUCUCUCUCGACUGGAUGCUUACGUUUGAUUUGGAGGAAGCAGAGCACGUGAUGUUCUUGAAGUUUCUUGAACGUCUACGCUUGAUUUGGAGAAGCAGAGCAUGUGAUCUUCUUCAAGUUGGUUGAACGUCUACGCUUGAGUUAGGGAAGCGGAGCACACGAUGUUCUUCAAGUUAGUUGAAUGCCUACGUUUGAUUUGAGGAAGCGGAGCACGUGAUGUUCUUGAAGUUGGAGUCUUGGAAGAAAGUUUGUAUCUUCAAAGGAGUUUUAACCUUCAAAGGAAGUUGGAGUCUUAGAAGAAAAGUUGGAGUCAAGCUCUUGCUUUUACAACUGAUCGGAGAAAAAGAAGAAAACGUUUACAGAUGGGGGAAAGCCUAUUCCUUUCUGCCACUCUCUAGGGUUUUGGCCUAUUCAGGCACUGCAUCUAUUCAGGCGUCUUCUGUCUAGGUUGAAGGUGAUGGCUUUCUAUAGGAAACAUUUGGGAGGGAAACUUCUAUUCUUCUUAGUGUCAGCACCAUACGUUGAAAAUUUUUUGUUGCACGUCACAUCAGCUUCAACUACCACUCUUUGUCUUCCAGUGACCCUUCCUCACGUGAUAACGUUGUUCCUCAUCUAAAGAUGUUCAUCGCUAGAUGUGUUCUCUAUCGCGUAGUCCUUGCACGAGAUGUUUCUUGUGGUUCACUAGUUUCUUUCUUUCUUCAUUAUCCUACGUUCAAACACUUAUGCGUUUGCAACAUAAGUUACGCAUUGUGAUCAUCAUCUUAUACAUUUUGACCUUAUUAUUCUAAUAAAAGGAGCUAUAAUAACAGAUAUUUGUACAUGUUAUAAUGUUGCGCACGUGCUUGCACCUACCCAGUGCCUCUCGCAUACAUGGCAUGCAUGUUGGUGCUCCCCGCACACCGUGUGUCGUUCUAACAUCUAAGGUAGUGUUAUGCGUGCAGCCUGAGCGUACACCUUGCCACUUGGUUGUACCAUGACCUUGUCAUGUGCGUGCAGCCUGACCCAAAAUAACCUCUAUAACCAAAACACCAACCUUGUCUCGCCUACACAUGCAUGACUCACAACCACUACCCAGACGUUGUUUAACUUUUAGAAUAAUCACCCAUCUUUGAAAACUCAUAACUUAAAAUUCAUAACUCUUUAAGUUAUUUUUGUUGUUUUCUUCCCUUUUCUUUUAGUUUCAAACGCUUGAAAAUGAAAAAUUCUGUCAUUUUUAAAACGCUUUAGCUCAAACCUCCCACAACCUCAAAUUUAUAGUGCAGGAAAAUCCUUAUUCCAAAAAAGUGAACGAUAAGAUGAACUUUGAGAACUUUACAAAAGAGGUUUGAGGUAAAGCUUGCUUACCUAAAGAUUACCAGAAGUACUUACUAAGUUCAUUUCGCUAAGGAGAGUUGUCAUCGCCAGAGACACGUUAAAUUAAAGUUUGUAUAAUUCUCAUCAUGGAAGUUAUCCUUGCAAACAACAAAAGAUACAAUGCGGAGAAUACAAAAAUGAAACAUGCAACAAGAACAGUAAAAAGCGUAGCAUGAAAGAAAUAUGGACUCGUAUAAAUUUGAUUAAAGAAGUUUAUAAACAUAUUACAAAAGAAUAGAACUAAUGCCGAAGCAAAAUACAAAAUUACAUGAUAACACCCCCAAAUUUAGUUGUCGUGGCGAGGAGCAUGUUCAUCAGGGGCUUGAUGGAUUGGCGGGAAUGGUGCUACCAAGUCAGGUAGAAUGACAGGCUGAGGCACACGUUGAACAAAUACUGCGUGAGUAUAUUCCUAUUAAGCUUGAACAAAUAUAAGAGAUUAAGUAUCUUAGAACUGACAAUGGUUUAAAGCUUUGUAGAGAGGUUUUCAAUGUUUUUUGUAGGGAAAAUGGUAUCACAAGACAUAAGACUGUGAGAUACACACCUCAACAAAAUGGGGUGUUAAAAGACUUAAUAGAACAAUCAUGGAAAGAGUAAGAUGCCUAUUGUCUGAUAUCCUCGAAGAAAAAUUUAGGGCUGAAGUUGCUGCCUGUGUUAUAUGUACACACUAAACAGAAGCCCUCAUACCUCUUUAAGGUUCUUAACACCUAAAGAUAAAUUGUCCAAACACCCUCCAAAUCUAAAUAAUCUCAAGAUGUUUGGAUGUGUAAGAUAUGUUCAUCAAAACCAAGGGAAGCUAAAGGAAAGAGCUACUACAUGCAUGUUCGUUGGCUUCACAUAAGAGGUCAAGGGUUUCAAGAUGUGGCACCCCACUUACAAGAAUUUUAUAAAUUAGUAGGGAUGUUCGUUUCAAAGAAAAUGAGAUGUUUAUGCAAGAAAAAGAUAAACUUGACGAAAAUCCUAAAGCAACACAAACCUAUAUUACUCAGUUUAAGGAGGAGAAUACUAGAAAUGAAGCUCAAUCUACUGAGGGAACUACUGCUACCGAUGAAGAACAAGUAGAGAACACAAGUGGUGAACAAACAGAAACAGUUGAAGAAUAACCUGACUUGAGUUAAUACUCCCUAGCAAGAAACAAAUAAAGAAGAAUAAUUGUUUCUUCUGCUAAGUAUGCUUAAACUAACUAUAUGAACUUUUUUCUAAAUGCUACUGCAACUCCAAAUGAUCAUAAACCAAGUUCCUUUGAGAAAGCUGUAAAUGGUAGUGAUGCUAGACAGUGGAUUGAAGCUAUGAGUGAAGAAAUAAAUUCACUAAAUGUGAAUGAUACUUGGACCCUAGCUUCUCUACCUAAUGGAUGCAAACCAAUAGCAUCAAAGUGGAUCUAUAAAUUCAAGGAGUGAAUUACAAAAGACUUACCGCCUAGGUACAAGGCAAGGCUAGUAGCAAAAGGUUUAACUCAGAGAAAAGGUAUAGACUAUUCUAAAAUUUUCUCUCUUGUUGUUAAACAGACUUCUUCUAUCCUUAGUUACCUAAAACAAUUUUGAGUUGGACCAAUGUGAUGUCAAGACAACCUUUCUUCAUGGCUAUCUAGAUGAAACCAUAUACAUUGAACAACCGAAAGGUUUUGAGGUACAAGGAAAGGAAGAUCUCUACUGCUUAUUAAAGAAGUCAAUCUAUGGGUUGCAGCAAUCACCUAGGUGUUGGUAUAUAAGAUUUAAUGACUUUAUAGUUGGUUUGGGUUUUCAAAUAAGCACAUAUGAUAUGUGUGUCUACAUAAACUCAACAACCUAUAAAGACAAGGUCUACUUGUUACUUUAUGUUGAUACAUGCUCCUUGCCAGAAGCUCUAAUGAUGACUUCGUUCAUGUCAAACAUCUUUUGAGUAAGAAUUUUACAUGAAAGACUUGGGAGAAUCAAAGAAAAUCAUAGGGAUUGACAUCAUUAAAUAUAGAGACCAAUUUAUACUAAGUAUCAGUCAAUCAACCUAUUUUGAGAAGGUAAUUAUCAUGAGGCUUAACUUAACAAAUGCAAUAUCUGUAGCUCUUCCUAUUGCACAACAUUUUGAACUAUCAGCUGCAAAUUCUCCUAAUGAUACUAACUUGAACACAAACAACAAAUAGAGAAUGUGUCUUAUAGCCAAGCAGUGGGAAGUCUAAUGUACCUAAAAUAGAAGUGAUAUUCUAAAAGAGAUGAGUCGUAAGAAAGAAAGAUGAAUAAAAAAUAGAUGAAUAAAAAUAGAAAAAAGAAAAUCUUGAAAAUGAGCUAAAGAAAUCUUGCAUAGAAGAUGAAUAAAUCGCAAAAAAAAAAAAAAAGAAGAAAGAGAAGUGACGAAUAGUUUGCAAUAUCAAGGACAAAUCUGAAAUUUAUGGCAAAUUUCUAUCAGGCGCUUCAUGAAAUUUUUUAUUUUGUUACAGACCUGAAAAUUAAUCUAUUAAUUUUAUUUUUAUAAUUUAAAUUUAAUUUUAAAUUUUAAAUUGGUGAAUAUUUAAAUUGAUAUAUUAUUUAAUCUUCCAAAUUUAAAUUGUGAAUAUGUUUUAUUUAAAUAUUUUAAAAUUUUAAAAUGUGAAAUGUCAAAUUUUGUAUGUUAUUUUAAAUUUAAAUUUAUUAUUUUAGCAUCAUCAAAAUUAGUCAGAAUCUUAUCUUAUAUAAUUUUUUUACAAAGAUAAUCAUUUAGAUUAUAUUUAAUAUUUUAGACCACGACAUUUAUAUAAAAGUAUAAUUGAAUUGAAUCAAAAUUAGUUAGAAUUUUACCUUAUAUAAUUUUUAACAGCAUAUGAUAAAUAAAAAGUAUUGUAUUAUAAAUAUUUAUUUUGUAACUGGAUUUAUGUGUAUUUGAUAGUGUUAAUAUUUUAAUAUUAAUUUUUAUAUUUUAAUGAAUUAUAUAUAUAUAUAUAUUACAUAAUUAAAAAUUAUACUUAAAUAGAAAGAAAAGAAAAUGUUAGAAAAAUGGCUCGAGCAAAGAAAAACAAGAAAUUAUUAUAAAAUAAAUUCUAUUUCUAUUUCUUUUUUCACGACAUAUUUAUCAAACACAGUCUUAUUUCUUAAUCUAAAAAUAUUUGAAAUAAAAAACGAGAAACGAAAAACAAAAAAUAAAAAACAGAAAAUGAAAGUUUGAUCAAACGAACUCUUAAUUUUAGUAAAAAGAUGUAUCGUUCAACUAGGUAAAUUCUUACGAGACUUCCAGAUGAAUUCAACCAACAUUUACUCUGUUUGUUAACUACUUGAGAACCGUUCUCUCUUCUCUUUAAAAAGUUGAACAAACAGUAAAUCUUUUGGCCUUACUUUCAUAAACUUCUAUUUUGUCUCUUCAAGCAGUAAUAGUUAUUCAUUAAUUAGAAACUUCUUAAGCUUUUUGGUCCGUACUAAAAUAAAAAUAUAAAUUUGACACCCAACUCACAUAUUAAUAUAUUAUGGGCUACUACACUUGUAAUGAUCUUAGAGGUGAUGUAUAGAUUUAAUUCCAUCUACAACUACCCAUACAAAUAAUAGUUUAUUGAUAAAAUAUCAAAUAAAACAAUAAUAAAAAGGAAAAGGAGAGAGGAACAAAAAUAAUAUACCAAGAAAAAACUGGCUUUAGUUUUUGUAAUUGAAAUAUAAUCAAACUGAAUUAAUUUAAAUAUUCACUAAAAAAAAUGUACAUCUAUGUGUUAGGGCAACCCAAGCCACAUAGAAAAUAAUAAAUUAUAUUAAACAAGUUUUACAAAAUCAUUAAAUUCCACGUGAAACAAUAAUCAAUUCUACUAAAUUUUGUGAUUAAAAUUAAUAACCAAUUAUCAUCCAUGGAGAUGGAUCAUUUUUAAGCAUCUCCACCUGAUCCAGAUGGGUCCUAUACAUACAAAAAAAAUAUAUAUAUUAUAUUAAACGAUAUAAAUAGUAAAAAAAUUGAAAACUAUAGUAAAAAUACUUAAAUAGGUUUUAGAGAAUUUAAUAAAUUUUACUAUAUUAGAAAAAUGACCCUUACAUCAUAAUAGAUAUUGAAUAAUAAUAUCACUCUAUCUUUCAAUUCUAACAACAGUCUCCAUAUGAUUUCAACCAAAAAAAAAAUUUCCCUUAGAACUAAUAUUUAAAAAUGUUCUGGGAAUGUUUUACCCAUAAAUGAGAAAAUAAUAAAGCAUUUAGCUACAAAGAAAGUGCUUUCCUAAAUAAGUAAUGGGUGGGCAGUUUAUAAUCUACUUCUUUUGAGUUGGUGUUAUACUUAAAAAGAUAAUUGUUCUAAGUAACAAAAUUGUUAAAUAUAUUUUAAUCUAUUAAUAAUAAAUUUAAGUAUAGAAUAUUUAUGGAGGUAUAGUCUUUGAUAUUUUACUAUAUUUAGAACCCAAUUAAUACUUAAAAUUUGAAAUAUUUUUAAAUAAAAGCAAAUUCAUGAAAAAUGGUAAAAGAAAGACAAAUAUUUCUUCAUUUUGAAAUAAUAAACCAAAAAAAAUUAAAUAUUUUGUUCAUUUUGCAUUUUUAAAAUUUUUUUAAUUACUCCUAUCUUUUUAAUUAAACUUUUAUUUGAGGUUUAUCUCUAAUAAAAAAUAAUUUGAUUUUUUUUAUUUAUAUUCAACUAUCUUCUAUUUAAAUACGUGAAAAGUUGAACCUCAACAUGGAUUUCAUAUUUUUCAACCUUCUAUUUUAUUUUUUAUUCUAUUUUCAGUGAGAUUUGCAUUUCAAUAUUAUUAUAACAUGAUUUAAUUUAAUUUAUAUCGAAAUAUGCACAUCAUAAUUAAAUAUUUUUAAUUAGAUUUUUUCAUGUUUAUUUUAUGUAUUUAAAUUGCAGUUUAAACACUUUUUUAGUUUAUAUUAUACACUAUAAAUUCUUUUUUUUUUAAUGAUUUUUAUGUCAAGCAAUAUUCUAAAACCUAGAAUCUUUCUAUUUUGUCUCCCUAAAUAAACAAGUAAAAUGAAACACAACUAUCAAGUCUUGUUAAUACAAUUAAGGGAAAUUUACUCAAUAUUAAGAUAAAAUAUUUUCCAUUGGUCCUCAAUAAUAAGAUUUGGAAUUACUAUGUUAACUUAAUUGUUUUUUUAAGAAGAAACAAAAACUUCAAAUAAAUUUAUUAUUAUUAUUUCUUUAUUAUUUAUUUUCUACCCAUAUCUUCAAGAAAAUUAAGUAGAAAUUUUAAAAACUAAAAAACAGUAUAUGCUUUUAAGAACUUAUUUUAACUUUUAAAAUUUUACUAAAAAUUCAACGAAAUCCAUUUAAAAAAAUUGAAAGAAAGAAACACAAUUGUCCUUUCCACAUUUUCUUCUCCAUACUAUAAAAAUUGGUGAAUGUUAAGUGACAAAUUUAAGAUUAAAAAACAAAAAAGUUAGAAUUUAAUCUAUAAUCUCAAAAUAUAGAAUUUGAUCUCUAUAGUUUGACAAAACCUCCAGGUCUAUAUGAGUUGAUAAAAUUUUAUAAAACAUAAAAUUUGAUCUCUAUAGUUUGAUAAAACCUCCAGAUCUAUAUGAGUUGAUAAAAUUUUAUAAAUAAUCCUUACUGUGGGAACUACUAACUGACUAGGGUUUUAUCAAACUUUAACAGCUAACUUCUAAUUAAAAAUCACCGAAACUAAUAAAUCAAAUUUACAAUUUAACCUUAUCAUAUCACAAAACUUUUGGAAACUUAACCUUAUACUAUGCAACUUGUGAUGAUUUGUAUCAAUAGAUUUUACGACCACAUGCAUUUGAUAUAUAAAAUAAUAUGUAUGAAUGGUAGAGAGAGAGAGAGAGAGAGAGAGAUUACCAUGGAAGAAGUAGAAGGAGGAGGAGGUGGGAUGUUAUGGAGCAUAUUGUGCAUCAUAGUUUGCAUGAGCGAAGGCAUCUGAUCUCUAAGUUGAGAAAGCUCAUUCUUCACAUUCAUAAGCUCAGCUUGCAUUGCUUCAUUUUGCUCUUUCAAUAUUCUCACCUCCUCUCCACUGUAUAAACAUGAUUCAUAUCCUUCUGAUCUUCCUCUUCUAUCAUUAUCUAUCCCUAUGCUCACAAUUUCAAACCAAUAAAAGAAGAAAUAUCAACUUUAAUUUAUAACAAUUUAGUCUAUACACAUUCACAGUUUUAAUUUUUCUAAUUCCCUACAUGUACUCUUUUUUGAAUUAAUAAUAAAUUAGUAGUUAUACAGUGAAAAUUUAAACUAAAACCUUCCACCCAUCAAUUCCAUCAACUGUCGUUAGAGGUAAAAAUAUUAAAACUUUAUUGUGAUGUGAUACAUUGUAUAUAAAAGGAUAAAAUACCACUUUUUGAAUUUGUUUGAAAUAUGAAGAAAAACGAGAAAACGGGAAAGAAGAAGCCAAGGAGUUGGUUCAAUAGUGUCCUUUUUCUUAUUCUGAAAAAGAAAAAGAAAAAAGUGAUUGGUACUGUUUUUUCCAUUUUUGUGGAAUAAAAGAAAAGGUUUCAGAAAAUUGUUUGAAGCAAUAUUUUUCGAUUCUUGUUAUCAAAGAACUCAAAUUUAAAAAAUGGAAACCUAACUGGAAGAAUAUUAACAAUAAUCAGAAUAAGAAAUAGAAAAUAGAAAACUUGGAAAACCUUACCAAAUGACUUCAAAUUAUGACAUUAGUUUUUUAAAAAUUGUCUUCAAAAAUAAGAAGGAAAAUUUCUAUUUCUAUUAUCAUUAUUCCUCUUUUUAGUAUAUUCUUUCAAUUUCAUCAAAUUAAACUUUUUCUUUAUAAAUAAAAUUUAGUUUCAUCAAGUUCUUAAAAUAUUUUAAAAAUAAAAAAAUUUUAAGUUAGUUUCAACAAAUAAAAGAAAUAAUUUUUUUGAAUUCAUAGAAAAGUGACAUUUUAAACAAAAUAAAGAAAUUUUGUUGUGUGAUUUUUUUUUUUCACAAAAUAGUUUGUAUUUUUUUAUUAUUCUUAAAAAAACUCCAACUUUAAACUUAAUUAGUUAGUUAUUGCAAUUUCUAUCAUUAUUUAAUCUCUUUAAUUUCAAUAUAAGCUCUAAAAACAAAUUUUAAUAUAACUAAAUACUUCAUUAAAUACGUUUGGGGAAUGAACUAUUUAAAAAUAAAAUAAUAUAAGCUCAUUGUGAAUACUUUUUCAUGAGUUUUCAAAUAAAAACCCAUCCUAGGGUAAAAAGGGUAAUUUAUUUAUAAAUUUGAGAUUAAGAUUGGAACACUUAUUUUAAUUUUGGGGAAAAUUUGUUCAAAAUAGAAAAUUUGACAAAGUAUUUAUGAUUUAUAGAAAAAUAUGUUGUAAUUUAUGUCUUAAAACUCGUAAUUUGUAGUUUAAAAUUAUAUUUCAUUUAAUAAAGUGGUUACUGAGGAUUUAUGAGUGAAAAUUAAAUAUUAUAAUCUUCAAUCCAACAAAAUAACAUCCCAAGGCUAUCACGAGUAAACUUGAACUUCAGGUAGAGACAUCAACAUAAAUCAAAUUCGAGUAUAUAGCCUAAUCAACGGUCUAUAAUAUAUGAAUAAUAAUGUUGCGCACAUUAUUUUUAGUACACUAUGGUUGCAGUCCGUUUUGCAGUUAGUACAAACAAUGUGAUCUUAAAUCGUUCAUGUGGAGAGAUGAAAGUGGAGACAUCUUAUGUAAAGAGUUUGCAUAAGACUAGAAUAAUGAAAUAGUCACUUUUACGUUAUAACACUGUUGACUAACUAACUAUUUCGAUUAUUGAUUACCUAUAUAACUUAAUCUUAAUUCCGAGCUAACAAUGAACUUUUGUUCACAUGAAAUUAUCCCUAGAUCUACAUAGAUGAGGGUAGCUCAACAGUGCUGACCUAAUAAGCCUCCCAUUUCAAGUGUAAGAUUGGAUAGAUAGCUAAGAACAUAGAGUGCAAGACGAAACUCACUCCUACCCGCUUUAGAGUUAGUAGAUAGGUUAUUCCCUUAAGAACUUAAUCUAGGUCUUGAACAAGGGGACUCCACCCUCACAUUGGACCGAGAGAGAUUUAGUUUUUAAGUUAGACAUCAAAACCAAUUGUUUAAUAGUGGAUCACUGAGACCUAAGGAGCAAGAUGUAAUCUUGGGGGUAAAACGAUAUUUUGCCCCAAUCGAGGUUACAAACAACUUGUGAAAGUUUAACUUACCAAUCAUAAUUAUAUCAGAUGGACACAAAUAUAUCUAUAGUGGGGGGAGUGCAACUACGAGACUUUAGUGGAAUGACCUGUUAGUUCACAAAUAUUGAUUAGCUUGGUCUAAAAGAGUUUAACCAGUUAAUCUUGAAUCAUUAGAGUCCAAUGAUUUAUAGGUCCAUUAGAUUCUCUUACAAGCUCAUAUGGAAUUAACUUACAAGAUUAGUUCAAAUAGUUUGAAUUAGGUAAGGAGAGAUAAACCGACAAAUAUAUAUGAUAUAAUAUACAACUAUCAGUUUAGAAGUAGAGUUUUAUAUUUAAAUAUGAUUUAAAUAUAAAAAAUAUAAAUGCAGCUUCUUAUUCGAAAUCUCAAAAACGAUGGAAAUAGUCAAAGUUAAAAAAGUCAAAAUGUUGAUUGUUUACUUUGAAAAGUUAAACUUUGACCAACUAUAGAUUCAAAUGUAAUUUGAAUUUUGAAAAAAUGAAAUGCAGAUUCAUACUCGAGAGGUCAGAAUUAGUCAAGGAGGUCAAAAUGGUAAAAGUCAAAAUAUUGACUUUUGACUUGAGAAAUCAAAGUUUGAUUUGACUUGAAUAGCCGAAUGACUAUUUUGUCCUUUAACUGAAAUUAGUGAAAAAUUUCAACCUUUUUAUUGAAUAAUUCCACUAACAUUCAAUAUAAUGUAAAGUGUUGGACUUAAGUGAAUUUUCACUUCCAAUAGUUACAUGUCUUUUGCCUAUUGAAAAGCUAGUUUUACAAGAUUGAAAAAUCUUUUGACAUUAAAACAAAAAGUGAAAAACUCACCUAAAUUCUCUUAACCCUAAUCUAAUUUCCAUUUCUCUCCCUUUGGUCAAUUCAUUCACUUAUCGGAUCUCACAACUCGAUUAUAAAUCUGGAGAAUAGUAGGUCAACACUAUAGUGGUUGUCCUAGUUUCGUGUUCGUGAAGAGAUUACGAGGAUUGGAAAACUUCAAAAGUCGUAUGAGUUUUCCUUAACCCUAAUUUCACUUAAUUAGAGUAGUAUAUAUUAAUUUCUAAAUGAUUUAGAUACAAUUAAAAUAAAAUUUAAUCCAUCAAAGUAAAGCGCAAUAAAUUUUAUCUUUUAGUAAUUUUUUUACGUGGAGUAUGAAUUUUUUUUUAUUUCUUAAAAUACCCUUAAAUUUUAUAUUAAUUUUUACUUUUUUUUAUCAACUUAAAAAGAGCUUAUGUCUUUGUUUUUUAAUUGUUUUAGUUAGAAGCACUUUAAGUUGCAAUGUAAUAACGCUAAUUUUCUUCUUUUUUUUUGUAUUCUCUGGUUGAAGAGUGGAAAAAAAGGUGUGAGUGACCAAAUUUUUUGAAAGAGUAUUCAUAUAAUUGGGAUCAAAAGAGAGAAAACUAUUAUGUGAUUGAAGCAAUUUCACAUAGUGGAUUUCUUUUUUGUCCAUGGUUUUCUCCAAGUUUAGAGUUUUCCACGUAAAUUCUUAUCAUUUCUGUUUUUAUUGCUUUCUCUUAAUUUCUUUAUUAUUUUUCUAUUUUUUCCUAUAGUAGAAGUGAGAGGUUUUACCCAACAAAUGGUAUUAAACCCUUGGGUUCAUAGUUUCUUGAAUUUCCAAGUAUUCUCUACGGCUGCAACGGUGUCUAACCUAAAACUGGUUGCAAUAUUUGUGAAUACUGUGAGUUGUCACUAUUUGUUAUUUUUGCUAGGAAGUGAAGUAGAUAAGUCAACCCUUAUGAGUUUAGUAAAGUUUGAUGUGGAUAAAUUUAAUGGAAAAUGAACUUCGAUUUGAAGCAAGAGCAAGUUCAGGAUGUGCUGAUAUAAGUUAGCUAGAUUACACAAGUGCAAGUUAAACGGUGAUGAUGUUCUAGUGCAGUUAAAGAAUGAUUCCAACAGAGGUUCAAAGAAGAUAGUUUUUAACUGAAAAUAGGUUGCUGGAGAUGUUGAUAGUUUAAGGACAUAAAAGAUAGACCAGACUCGUCAAAAGGCUCUAAAUCGAAUGCUGAUGAUGUCUUCUGGUAAGGGGAGACAGUGACUUCCUCUAAAGAAGACAAAAUUCAUCUUCGUGGUAUGUCCGCUUUGCCAUGAUAGACAAUGUGAGGUUAGUGGUUCGACAACUUUGCACCUUAAGAGUGGUCUACAGGUGUAUUAACGCGAGGUACAUUUUUUAGUGUGCUGCCUUAAAUGGGCUGAUGUUCCUCCAGAGUACAUAGGUUGUCAAGGGCAAUCUAUAGGUAAGUUUAUUAAUUACUUUACAUGUAUGUUAAACCUACAUAUACAGGAAUCUAAUCCAUAUUUUCUUUCAUUUGUAGCAAUGGUACGUGCUUGAUUUCACAGAUCAAGCACUUAAUUGAUUUAGUGAGCAUCAAAUGCUCAGCAAUUUCAAAGAGUUCAGGGGAGACUACCUAAGGCAUUUUAAAAAGUUUAACAACCUUGAACAAGCACGUGCUAACCCACUGAACAAAUUGGUGAAUAGUUUAAAAGAUUAGAACUUCCUUUGCGAUCACUAUUUAAGUCGACAAUUUUAGGUCAUUUCAAUUUCUAAUGUUCCAUAAUGUUAUUUUUUUUUCUUUUUUUGUAUGUAUCAUUUUUAUUGUUUGAAUGUAGAAGCAAUCAAGGACCAACAAGGAUGCUAGAGCGAAAUAGCCUUACAACCAUAGCAGCGGGUCCAAGUCGUUCCUACAACGACAACAUGAGCUCACUAAAAAACUAGGUCAACUAGUGGACUGUGUGCAGCUGUUCAAACAAACACACACCAAUAGGAGUGGCCAAUUCGUUUCACAGGCGGCCGCAGAUGAGAGUGUAAGUUUAUGAGAACCUUUUGAUUUAUUUUCUACUUUUAAUUGUGAGUUCACAUAAUUAACUGAACACUUUGGGUGCAAAAUCAAAUGUUGGAACUCCAGUCCAACCCACAUCAGAAGAUUCUUAACCACUCUCAAAGGAUGAGAUAUGUGAACCGUUUUGGAUAGACGACCAAGCUACUCAAAAGGUCAUGAUUGGGUCCCAAGCCAAGUUCCGAAAAAUGGUGGCAGUUCUUUGUCUUCAUAUUUGCUAGAAAUACAAUCUAGGGAGAUUUGCGAACUAAGAGCUAGCCUUGAGUGCUUGCAAUCAAAGAUUGAAGAACAAAGAAGUGAGCUUGAAGAAGCUAAGCGAUUGAUUGAAGAACAAUAAAGAGUGUCAGAGAUUCAUGUUUGAAAAAUGCAAGAAAUUGUUCGACAAAUUGAAGAAAUGAAGAAGAUGAUUGAGAAAAUGAGUUGGGCACACAGAGAACCUUGAACACUUUUGAUGUAUAUUUUAAAAUUUUUAAGUUGUUUAAUUUGUUAUCGAUGAUAUAUAAAUUUACUUUCAUGUCGUUGUAGGUGUGGACUUCUUUGAACAUGGCAUACUUUUUUCUUUUUAUGUAAUUGUUCAGUUUAAAACAACAUGUAAUUGUAUUUUCUAAUUAUAUAAAUGAUAGUUUAGUAUUUUAUUGAUUCUAAUAUUUUGUGUUUGUUGUUACUGAAUUUAAAUCAAAUCAAACUAAAAAAAAGUAUCUCACGAUAAAAAAAAAAAAAAAAAAAACAUAAUAUUUGGAAAAAAAUAAUUAAAAUUAUCUCCUGACGCAUAAAGGUGUCGGGAAUAAGAACCCUUCCCUUGACAUUCUAAACACAGUGUCGAGGAAGCCAAUCCUGACGCUGCGUCGAGAUUUCCUUUCUCCCGACUCUGGAUGGACACGUCGAGCGGUACCUUUCACCGCUCGACGUGCCCCAUCCGUUGGAAUGCUCUGUGUCGAGAGAAAAGAACUCUCGACUCCUUCACGUUUGUGUUUCAAGAAUUACUCUCCUAACACAGUACUUCUAACUUUCUUUCCAACAUUGUUUGGCAUAUAUGUCAACACUUUACCGUGUCGGGAGAACCUCUAUUUCUUGUAGUGCUUGGCGAUUAUGCAAGGCAUGUGGUGGAAGUUAUGUCAAUGACUGAAAAACUUCCAGGUAAAUCAAAUAGAUGAAAGUUGAACUACAAAUAUUAGUAAAGUUUAUCAACAUGUGAUGAAAAAGGAAAAUAUUGGAAGGUGGUAGUCCAAGUGGCCUACUUUUAUAGUGAAGUAGAUUAUAAUUCUAUGAUAUGAGAAUUAUGAUUGCAAGUUAAAACAAUCGAUGUUCCAUAAGCUGUAGAUUCUUCAAAUAUCUUGAAGUGAGAAAAUUGUUGGGUUUUUUCUUGGGAAAAAUAUUAAAAAUGCAACUGUCGAACCUAAAAAAAAAAAGUUCAGAAAAAUCAUAGAUUUGUUCUACAUUAAAAGAGUUUAAGAAAGUCGUGAAUUUUUCCUACAAUGAAAUGGUUUAGGAAAGUUAUAGACUAAAAUAAGUCUAUAUCUUUGUUUUUCAAUUAUCUCGAUUAGAAGCAUUUUAAGUUCUGGUGUUAAUUAAAUUUUUUUUGUAUUCUCUAGUUGGAGAGUAGAAAAAGUUGUGGGUAGUCAAAAACUUGGAGAGAGUAUUCUUAUAGCCAGAUCGAGAAAGAAAAAAUUAUUCUUUAAGAUUAUAGCAACUUUACACGUAGUGAAUUUUUUAUUAGUCCAUUAUUUUUAUUGAAGUUGGAAGCUUUGUAUGUAAAUUGUUGAAUUUUCAGUUUUUAGUACUUUCUCAGUUAAUUUUAUGCUUAUUUCCUUAGUAGGAGGGGAGGUUUUUUCCAACCAUGGAAAGGAGAAAUAAUGUAGGCAAUAUGUGAGAUAGAAAUAGUGAGCAAAGAAAUAGUAUAUAAAAAAGUGUAUAAGUACCAGCGGAGAGGUUGGCGACGGCGGCGACGAGGUCGGCGAUGCCUUGGCGGUGAAUAUGAUUUCGGGUCUCCUCAAUUUGAAGGCGGCGUUUUCGAAGUUCCAUAAGUUGUUGGUGUCGAAUUUCUCUUUGCUCCUCGCAACUGUGGAGCGUUUGACCCAACGCUGAAACGCUUCUCUCAAUUCUUCUUCCAAUAUUAUCUUCCAUUUUCCUUCUCUUUGCCUCCACCUUCUCUUUCUUCUCGCUUGACUCUGUUCCUGAUGACGACGACUCUACAUAUAUAAAUAAUUUAUUAUUUAGCAAUUUUUGUAACUAUUUUGUAAGUUUUUUGAACUCCAAUAUGACAUAAAUUUAUAAAUAGACUUUUUUUUUUAUAAUUAUGUUGAAAUAUAUGUUGAUAAAUAUCUUCAAAUAAAUUAUCUAAUAAUCAAUCUUAGUUUCUGUCCAGGAUCUAAAGAAUUCCAGAAAAUAUAUUCCUUUCACCAAUAUAUGCAUUAUAAACAUUGAUGAUAUAAUAGAUUCCACCAAGAGUUUAGUUUCAUAACUUGAAAUAUUAUAUUCAUUAAACAAAAUUUACUAUGGAACAUGCGGUAAGAACUAAUACGAAACUAAAAAUACAAACAAGAAGAAAGAAAAAAGAAAAUAGAAAGAAGAAAUAAUAUUUAAAUAUGGUAAGGCUGAAAAGUGAAGUUUUUGCAUUGCAUGCUUAGAUUGGAGAGACUAUAUUGUAUUAUCAUCAUUGGAAGUAUCUUAGUAAAAGGCGAUUAUCUAAUGGCAAAGCUUUUCAAAGAUAUAUAAUUAAUUAAGUUUGAACCUUAAAAAGGGAUUUGUAUUAUGUUUUUUUUUUUAGAUUACCCAAAAGGAUCUUCCCACGAUCUCAAUCUGAUCACAAUUCCCUCACUGGUCCGCAUCAUUGUCUUUCCUCCAAAAUUUCUCAUUUCCAAUAUUUUACAUUAUUUCUCUCUCUGCCCCUCUUUUUUCAAAAUUUGCCCCCAAUCUUUUAAUAUUUUCAACUCUACCCACAGUUUCCCAACCUUAUUUCUAGAGACUACCACCCAUACCAAUUUCUACUAACACAAUGCUAUUUAUUUAAUUCAAUCACUUGAGACUUGAGUCUUGAGUCUUAUGCCUUAAAUCAUUUCUAAAAUUGCAUUGCAUUGCCAAUUUUUUCAUACAUCUACUUUUAAAACAUUGUCUAAUCUAAAAGUAUGAGCGAGAAUUGAUAUGUACCAUUGUCCUAGAUUUAUUUAAUUUAAGAAUACCAGUGGUCAUUUAAAUCCUUAAAAAUGGUGGGGUUUAACGGCUCUCAUUUAUUCCUAUAAGAAGAGAAUGUGAGGGUUGGAUAAGCAAUUAGGAGGAAAUGAAAUCGGAUGGAUGAGAACUGGAAGGAGCAUGAGAAAUGCAAUAGAGGUGAGCGUAGAUGAUUAGAAAAGGAAUAACGAAACGAAAAGGAAGAAGAAUACGGGAGGAGGGUCCUAUUAAAAAUUGUGGCAGAGUCAAACCCUGCAACUUUGACCCAAAAUAUUAACUCUUCUCCCCCUUUUAUCUUUUUUUUCUUUUAAAGAAAAUAUUAUAAUAAUAUAAAGAAAAGAAAACCGAAAAUAAAUAAAUAAAUAAAACCCCGAAAAUGAAAGGUCCAGGACUUGGGGGACGAUUUAAUAGUAUCAUACACACACAAAGUAAUAAAUAAAUAAAUAAAUAAAACAGAAAAAACAAACAAACUAACCUGAAAGCUGCGGAGAGUUAGUGGCGGUGGGGGGCGGGAGAAGAGCGGAAGGAGGCGGAGCAGGAAGAGGAAGAAGGAGAAUGCCAGUGUUAGAGGAAUUAGAAGGUUUUUGAGAGAACUUCCUCUGAACGACGUCGUUUAAAGCUUGAUAAACUUCAAACGCCAUAUUCGAAGGGAGAUUCUUGUCUUUUCGCUCAUGUUUCUCCAUUUUCCAGUAAGAAGGAAUUUGUUGAUCACACGCGCGGGAUUCAUACUCCCGCACUUUUUUAUAGUCGCGGAGGAGAUUAUCCCACUUGUCAUUGCACUGAUUUUGGCUCCGUUGACAACCGUGGCUCCAGCAGUAAUUUUCCACCCACUUCCACCGGAGCUCUCCGCCCUUCCUCGCCGCCGGAUCCACCGUGCUAGGACCUAAGUUCGCCUUGUUCCGCCGCUCGUCGUCCAACUUCUUCGCCGUUAUUAGAAUCAUUGUUUCUUGGAGAGUCCAGUUUCCUUUUCGGUACUCUCGGACUAUUACCGCUGAAGAUGAAGUUGCUGCCGCCGUGUUCAUUCGGGUACCGCCGGUUGCUCCGCUGUGGAUUACGGGUAAACGCGGAAGAUGUUGUUGGUGGUGGUGGUGUGGUGGCUCCGAUGAUGUUGUCGGAGGAUCCGACAUGGGUUUGGCAUCUCAAGACUCACAAUGGAAAUGGAUAGAGAGAAAUAGAAAGAGAAAGAGGGCAAAAGUUUUUCCUUUCCUCUCUCUCUCUCUCUCUCUCUUCUUGUUAUUAUUAUUGGGUUUAUUAUUUGAAUUUUUUAUAAAGAAAAUAAUGUUGAGAUUUCAAAUACGAGUAACUCCACUACUAUUGCUGACAUAUACAACUUCAUACAUUUUACCUGAAUUAUGACUCUUAAAUUAGUGGUAUCUAAACUUUUUUCAUCAUUUUUUUACUUUUUCUCCUUUCUUUUUCGAGUAAACUUGUAGUUCUAAACAUUAGUGGGUUUAGUUCUCUUAACUCACCUUAUUCUAUAGUUCUCUCUUUCUCAAUUUCUUGUGUUGUUUAUCAUGAGCCUUCAACAAAAUUUAAUUUUUAGUUUUACUUCCUAUCUAUCUAGUUAUCCAAUCAGUGGAUCUAGUACAAUGAUGCAUAUCUUUUAAUUGAUCACCUUCUAAAGAUUACAUAUCUAUAAUUAGAGAAGGACAAUUUAUGUUGUGUAUUUAUAAGUAUAUUUUAUUAUUUUAUCAAGUAUGAUGUAAUGUGGGAAUUGUAUUCCUCACAAUCAUACUAAUAUUCCACAUUUAACAUCAAUUUAUCUUAAUUACUAUACCAUUUUUUUCUCUAGCUAACACUAAAACUUUGUUUUAAAUUGUUUUGUAGCUUUAAAAAUAGUGUUGGGAAGAUGCAAAUAAUUGUUUGGUAAAUUUUAAACAUAAACUGAAAAAUAAUUAUUGAAUUGAGAUAAAAUAUAAAAAAACUUAAUAGCUAGUUAGAAGAGAGUUUUUUUAGGAAGCCAAGUUUUAAAGUACUUUACCUACAUUUUACAAACCAACACAGCAAAAAAAAAAAAAAAAGAAAUCUCUUCUUCUUAUUAGUUUUAACAAACACUACAAAUUGUUAAAAUUCCAUACAAUCACUUUAAAUAUUUGCAAAAUCAAUCUCAAACGAAAACAUUUUGAUGGCAAACCCACUUGUUAUUAACAAUUGAGAUCAGGUGGGUGUGUGAUGGUUAAAAUGAAAGAAACAUCAAGGGUAACUUUCUUUCUGUCUAAGAAUAAAUUGGUUUAGGCAUAACCUAAAGUUCUAUUUAUCUAUAUUCCUAAUUUGAAUCUAUUCCAAAGUUUAAUCUCCAAUACUCUCAAUUCUAUAUUAGGAUUUUUCUAUUGUAUUUUUAAUAAAUAUGGACAGUUACACUGGCAAUCACAUUGAUUUUACUGAUGAGCAUUUAUUUUGUGAUGUUUGAACUUAUAUACUUGUUUCUUUUUUAUUCUUUGAAGGGUUCGGAAUAUUUAUAUUAGUUCAUACGUACUUUUAGGUAAACAAUUGUUUCUGUUUAUACUUCAAAUUCUUAAUUUAUUUUAUCAAUCUGAUUCCAUGAUUUUGAGGUACGUAUUAAGGUGUAUAGAAGUUUCAACGACGCAAACGAUAGCCCAUAUAAAUUAUAUUUGAGAACGAGUUGUUCGAAAGCACUCACUUACUAACAUAUAUAUAAUUUUGAUCAUUGCAUCAAGUUGACUUCAAAAAAAAAAAAAAAAACUAUGAACAUACAUUUAACUAAUACGUAUUGAAGAUGAGAGUAUUAUGAGAAAGUAAAUAGGAGGUGUACAUACUAGUACAUACUAAUAUUAGGUUACACUAUUAUGUUUGAUUUGAUUUUGUAUAUACUUUUAAACUAAUAACAUUGUGUUAAAAUAAACUUAGCUUCUCACUAAUUGACAUGAUUAAUUUUUAUUAUUAAGGAAGAAGCAAUCCUUAAUUAUUGUACUAAACAAAUACUAAUAACAAUUUUAAGGUCUUAAAAGAUUUACAAUAUUGGUGAUUCUUUUAAAAUAUUGGUGAUGUUUUUUUUGAGAAAUUAUUCUUUUAAUUCCAAAGUGUUGAAAAUUAUGAGUGUUUGGUUCUUACAUUUAAAAAUACGUUAAAAAAUCCACAAUAAACCCUUUAUACUUUUGUUUUAGAUAUCUAAAUGAUAUUUUAAUUUAGAACAACAAUUCUAAAAAAUCAUAUCUUUUUAAAACUAUUUUUCUAAUUUUGAAAAUCAUAUAAUUGCUUUUAAAAAAUUAAAUAAAAGAAUAGAUGAAGGAUCCUUUAAUUCUAAUAGUUUUAAAAACUUUAAUGAUUAAAAAGAAACAUAGUGUAAAUUUAAGGAUAAAAUAGAUCUAUUCUUAUAAGUUUGAAGACGAGAAGGUAUAGUUUUAAAACUUAACUACCAAAACCUAUAAAUUCUUCAAAACCUAGAGACUAGAAUGGUAUUUUUCAUUUUUUUUAUUAUAUGGUCGGGUUUAAUUUAAAUAGAUAAUAUAUUACACAUUUAUUCUCUAAGGUUAGACGUUUCAACUUGAUAUAUGGUUAAACUAAAAAGAAAUUUGGAGCAAUUGAAGAUUCUUCAGUAACUAUUUGUUUUUUGGUCUACUGAUUUUGAGCUUUAUACUUUUUUUAGAAAAAUAUAUAUUUAUUUUGAGAAAAAGACUUUAAGUUAAAUUCUAAAAAUGAAAUUAAGUUUUGAAAACUAUUUUUUUUAUGGAAUUGGAAUGGAUAACCAUUUCAGCAAUAAUAAUUAAGGAUAUAGCAAAAUUUUAAAAAAAUUGCAAAUAUAUCAAAACUAUCACUGAUAGACUUGUAUCAUUGAUAGACUUGUAUCGCUGAUACACUUCGUAUGAUCUAUCAGUAAUAGACCAAUAUUUGCAACAUGAUCUAUCGUUGAUAGAAUUUGACAAAUUUUGCUAUAUUUGUAAAUUAUUUAAAAUGUUGCUAUAUAUUUAUUUAUUUUGAAUCUAAUUGCUAAAUUUGUAACUACCUUUUUUUUUUUUAACAAUUUGGCUAUGGUCUUUUUAAAUAAUAGUGAAGAGUAUACAAACACUAAUACUUGAAAAUAAUCAUCAUUAUAUAUACACUGUUUUCGCAUCUCAAUUAAUUUCCGAGAGUUGUAUAAAGAAAUUCUAACUCAUAAUCUUAAAAUUUCUAAGAAACCCAACAAAUAACAAUACUGAGUUAGAAAAUGAGUUAAUGUAGACAUUAAACCAGUGUUUGGGAUAAGAACUGAGUUAGUAUAGUCUUAAAUUAUUAUAGUUUAUAUUAUACGAAUUGUAGAUUAUUUUAUUUUUGGGUUAUAAUAGUAUAUGUUUUGUAAACCUAGAUUAUUUUAAUUUAAUAAAAAAAUACUAAACACUAGAAAAAAAUAAAAUAAAAUAAAAUGAUAAAUAUCAACUAGUAAAAACUAUAUAGCAAAUAGUAAAUAUUGUAACAAAUUCAAAGUUUCAAAAUAAUAUUUACCAUAGUUAAUUGGAGAUUUUUAAAUAGUAUUUACUAUAACAAUAAUAGGUGCGUGAAGAACCUUGAGAAACCCAAGACUAGAGGUGUAAGUCCAACCCGAAUAAUCCGACAAUCCAAAUUACCCAACUCAUAUUAUUUGGAUUGAGUUGGAUUAGUUUAAAAUGUGGGGAUUGAGUUGAGAUAAAAAUUUUGGUUUUUUUCAAAUUGGGUUGGAAGGUUGAAAAAUUCGGUUCAACCCAACCAAACCCAACUUAAAAUUAUUUAUUUAAUAAAAGUAAAGUUAUGAGUAUUUUAUUAAACAGUUGUGUAGAAAGCUAAACGAAAUCAUGUGGAAAGUUGUUCGAUCUCGUUUGAAGAUAAAAAGUUAAACAAUUAUUAAAACGAUAAGGUAGAAAAGUAAACAAUAAUUGGAUUUGGAAUGAAAGAAAAAAAUUAAAUUAAAUCGGAGAAUCCAACCAAACUCAUAUUUUAGGAGUUAGAGUGGAUUAAAAACUUAAUGUAGGUUAUUCGAGUUACCGGCUAAUGUUGCAUGGUUUACUCUUGAUUUUAGGGGGAGAGGUGAGGUGAGGGAAGUAAAGGGUGACGAAUGAAUGAUUGCAGCGACGAAGGUAAGAUAGUGACACGUGGAGAAAGUUGGAGUUGGGUCCAGCAGGAAACAUCACGUGGCGUGAUUUUAUUAUGUGUGGUGUACAGUAACAAAGAGAUCCUUCCAAUACCAAAUCAAUUACAAAAUAUCACGACAAAUUGAAAUCCACUUUUCAAUUAUCGCGAUACCAUUUAACUUCUUUUUCAUAUUUGUUUGUCUCUACCUUUUAUCUUUCUCUUCCGUCAAUGUGAUGUUUCCUUCAUGGAGGCAGCCUUUAAUUUUGGGAAAAUUGCACAGAUACCUUUUUUUUUAUUUUAUUUUUAAAAAACAUUCUCUAAACAAAACUUUGACUUUAGCAACUUAAAACUUUUCUAACUAAGUAAAAUUACAUAACUAACCUAUUUAAUACUCACUCUUGUUAUUUUUUUUUACUUUUUUUCCAAAACCACCGUACCUUUAAACCUAUUUCCAUCCAUAAACAAAUGUGACUACUAAUUAAAAAAAAAAUUGAAAAAGAAAAGAGACAUUUUAGAAAUAAUAAUUAAAGAUAUAGUAACAUCUUUAAAAAAUUGUAAAUAUAGCAAAACUAUCGUUGAUAGGCUUGUAUCGGUGAUAGACUCGUAUUAUCUAUAAGUUGUAGAGAUGUCAAUGUGUGCGGCGAAAACAACAAAAGGUUGCUUGCCUUAAAUUAAGAUAAAUUACUUAUAAUGCAAACAAACUGAUUAGAUGCAAGUCAUAGCUUAACUUCAAGUAUUUGGAUUUCGAGAGGUGAGCUAGUUUAAAAAAACUUAUUAGAUGCACCGAAAGGAAGCUCACCUUAAUUAUGAAGUUAAUAGAUGCUUUGUAUCGCCACAAAAUGUUAGUACACAAUAUGUUUUAAUAAGUUAAUUAAAUAUUCCUACAUCCCAUGUCUAUAACUUAAGUUCAUUUUUCAUCUCACUUCAUCGCUAUGAUCACCUUACACCACCCAAUGCACCUUAGUGUACGUAAUUAGGAUGAAAUAUUGUUCAUAUUCACACUGUAUAGAUAAUACCGCAUAAGUUUAGAUGUGCAUGGGUUCGAUAGAAACAUUAAUUUUCUGUAUUCGACCUUGGACUCGCUAGAAAACCUUUCGUUUCACUUACACUUGAGCAACCAAUAGGAAAACUUGUGUUACACGCAUAUCAUGAGAAGAAAAGCAAUGCAUAGAUAGAAUUUAUCCCUUUUAUCGCAUCAUCUUAGUCUAGACACCUAAUAAGUCGCUCAAUUAGAGUUUAAACAUGAUAUAUCCAACUACACAACUGACAAGAUAACAACCAAGUUUUUGGCGCCAUUGCUGGGGAGCUUAAUGAUUUUACUUUUUGAAUUUAAUUUGUGCUCUAUUAGACAUUCUUUUAGUUUAUACUGUAUAGAGUUUGCAUAUCUCCUAGAUAACAAGUAAACUUUAUAACUAAGGUUUAAUAGAAAUACCCUACGUUUGACCUUGGACUUUCUAGAAACCUAUCUUUUCGUUUACACUUGGGCAAACGAUAGGAAAACUUGUACUGCAUGUUUAUCAUUUGAAAAUAAGCAACACAUCGAUAGGAAGCACAUUUUAUUGCAUAACCUAUCCUAAUCACCUAUUAAGCCAAUCGCUUAGAGCUGAAUGUGACAUACCCAUGAUCAAAGUCACACAAAUACAAAACAAACAAGUCAAUAGGUAAGGGCAACUUAAUAGCGCUGGCUCAAUAAGCCUCCUAUUUUAGGGGUAAGACCUAGCAGAUGACUAGGGAUAUAGGGUGUAAGACAAAAUUCACUUUUAUUUGCUUUAGGGUUAGUAGAUAGGUUGUUUCCUUAAGGGUUGAAUCCAAGUCUUGAACAAGGGCUCAUACCCUCUCAUUGGCCAAGGAAGGAUUCAGUUUCUAGGUUGGACUUUCAACCAACUGUUCAAUAGUGGAUAGUGAGACUUAAGGAGCAAGAUGUAGCCUUGGGAUUAAACUGAUAAUUUUACCAAGUUGAGGUUACGAACAAUCUAUGAAUGAUUAACUUACUGAUCUUGGUUAUAUCAGAUGGAUACAAAUAUAUUUAUAGUGAAGGAGAGUGCAACUACAGGACUUUAGUGGAAUGACCCAUUAGUUAAUGAAUAUUGAAUAGCUAUGUCAAAAGGGUUUAGCUAGUUAAUCUCGAAUCGUUAGAGCCCAUGAUCUAUAGGUCCAUUAGGUUCCCUUGCUAGCUCGUAUGGAAUUAACUUAGAACAAUAUGUUGAAAUAAUUCAAAUUGUUUGAAUUAGGUAAAGAGAGAGAAACUGACAAAUAUAUGUGAUAUAAUCGUUGGUUAUAAGAUAAAGUUUUAUGUUUAAAUGUGAUUUGAAUAUUAAAAAUAUGAAUAUGGAUUCAUAUUCGAAAACUCCAAAUUAAUGGAAAUGGUCAAAGUUGUAAAAAUGACUGACUCUAUAUUCAAAUGUGAUUUGAAUUUUAGAAAAAUGAAUAUGGAUUAAUGCUCGAGAGGUCAAAAUUAGUCAAGAUAAAAAAAUGGUAAAAAUUCAAAAUGUUGGCUUUGACUUAAAUGGUCAAAUGAUCAUAUUGCCCUUCUACUAAAGUUAAUGGGAAAAUCCAACAUUUUGUUGGAUAAUUCCACUAACACUUAGUGGGAUAAGUGGCUACAUGAAAUGUAGACACCUAGCCCACUAAGUUUCACUAAUGGUUAGUGGAAUGUUACGUGUUGAGAUUCAGUUUACUAAUUACAUGCAUUUUUACAUGUAAUUAGGUUAUUUAAAUGCCAUUUUUCAAAUAUUUGAAAACUUUUGAAAUUUUGACAAAUUUUAUUAUUUUCAAAGUUAUACGAAAUUAUUUUUCUUUCUAUCUCAACCCUAAAAUUAUACAUCCAAUUUCCAUAUCUCUCUAUCAAUUUCGUCCCCUAAUCAGGUCCUUAUAACCUGGUUCUAAGUCUAAAGAAUAAUGGAUAAACUCUAGUGGUUGUCCCGAGUUCAUGUUCAUGAGGAUCUACGAGGAUCGAAAAAUCUUCAAAGGCAUGUUUCCUAUAAACCAUAUUUUUGUUUAAUAAGAGUUUUAUAUGCAUGUUAAUCUCUAAAUUGUUUAGAUGUAAUUAGAGUAGAAUUGAUCCAUAAUUCCACUGUGCAUGUCUUGUUUUCCUUAAAAUUGAUCGCAAUGCGAACAAUCACUGGGUGGCAGAUUUGUAUAGACUAUUGCAAGUUAAAUGCGACGAUAAAGAAGAAUCACUUUCUCCUACCUUUCAUUGACCAAAUAUUAGACAUGCUUUUAAGGAAGAAAUUUUACUACUUUCUGGAUGACUAUUCUGGUUACAAUCAGAUUACAAUUACACGGAAAGAUCAGCACAAGACCAUGUUUACAUGUUCCUAUGGUACAUUUGCAAUUUUUUGUAUACCAUUUGGCUUAUGCAAUGCGUUAGGGAUAUUCCAGAGGUACAUGAUGGCUAUAUUCUCAGGCUUCCUAGAGAGAUCAGUUGAGAUAUUUAUGGACCAUAACUUCUCUAUUUUUGGGAACUUCUUCAAAGAAUAUCUGGGCAGUUUGGAAGAUGUAUUAAAGAGAUGCAAAGAGACAUGACUUGUGCUUAACUAGGAGAAGUGUUACUUCAUAGUAAUAGAGGGAAUUGAGCUUGAGCACAAGAUCUCCCUUGCAGAUUAAAGUUGGAUCCUGCGAAGAUUGAUGUUGUGAGUAAGUUGCCAUCGCUUUCGAAUAUUAAGCCUUUGAGGAGCUUUUCAGAACAUGCUGGAUUCCACCGUAGUUUUAUUAAAGGACUAUUUCAAAUUGCUAAACCCUUGAGUAACCUGUUAUGCGUCGAUCAUCUUUUCAACUUUAAUGAAAAAUACCACCAAGCGUUUCAAACUGUGAAAGACACAUUAACCUCAGCGCCUAUCAUCAUCACUUCUAAUUGGUCGCAACCAUUUUAAUUCAUGUGUGACGCAAGUGAUAAGGCGGUAGGGGCUAUGCUGGGUCAAAAGAAAGAUAAAGUGAUCCACCCCAUAUACUAUGCGAGCAAGACUUUAAAUGAAGCUCAAGAGAAUUACACAACCAUAGAGAAGGAAUUGCUCGUAGUAGUAUUCACGAUAGAAAAGUAUAGGAGCUACAUUGUUGGUUCUAAAGUUACGAUACACUUUGAUCAUUCUACAAUAAAAUAUUUAAUAGCGAAAAAAGAUGCCAAGAUGCGGUUAACUAGAUGGGUUUUAUUGCUCCAAGAGUUUGAUUUAGAGAUUAUAGACUACAAGGGUACCGAGAACCAAGUAGCAGAUCACUUAUCGCGUUGAAGCGAUGAACCUUUACAAUGCAAGAAGAAAGAAAUUUAAGAUUGUUUUCCAGAUCAGCAGUUGUUUUGUGUUGAGGAAACAAAACCUUGUUAUGCAGACAUAGUCAACUACUUAGUAUGUAAGACAAGGACACAUGACUUCAACAACCAGCAAAGAAAUAGGUUGUUUGAUAACUUAUAGAAAUAAAAUUAUAGCCUUUUAUGUAAAAGAAUAAAGUCCAACUGCAUAAGAAUGGAAGAAAACAAAGGGAAAUGUAGGUAAUUUGAUUAACUUGUGAAUAACAUGGUGUAAAAGAACCUCAUCCCUGUUUUAUUAUGUUUUAGUGCUUUUAUUACAAGAUUAUAGGAAAAAGAAAUGCAACUCGACAAUAUAAUGAUUAUGCAAGGAGACACAUUCAACCAACAUGGCGACAAGUAAGAAAGCUAGACAAUCUGAUACACUAGCAGACAAAUUUGAUUAACACAAAAUUAAAAAAAAAAAGACAAAAGGACGUUUGUGCGACAUGGGACCUUUCCAUAUACCUACUCCUCAUCCCAACAACAUAUGAAAGAUAUGGCCUUGUGAUCAAUAAGUAUCUAAGACAAUCAACGAUGCUUUUGUACUCCGUAGCAUCAAUUGGUGCUCCUUCCAUGUCUUUGUGAAGUUGUGCCUUGGGUUCCACUAGAUACUUUAUGGCAUUGCAAUCAACCAUUCCAAAUUGGGACAAAAUUAUUUUAGGAUAAGUUGGUUGUUUGAGCAGGAUUCGACCCUUCUGUUGUUCAACUUCAAUUCCUAAGUAGUAAGAAAGAAGGUAAGUCGCUCAUUUCAAAUUCUGCCAUCAUUUGCUGCUUGAACUUAUUGACCUUUUCAAUGUUACUUCCUGUUACAAUGAGAUCGUCAACAUACACUCCAACAAGAACGCAUUCUUCUCCUUCUCUUCUUGUGUAGACUGCUUGCUCUUGAGUGUAUUUUCUAAAACCAAGCUCUUUGAGACUCCUAUCAAGUCGAAUGUUCCAAGCUCGUGGAGCUUGCCUCAAUCCUAGAGAGCCUUCGACAAUCUAUACACCUUGUGUUUUUCAUUUGGAACCUCAAAAUCCUCCGGUUGAGUAACAUAUACUUCUUCUUCCAAUUCUCCAUUGAAAAAUUCUGACUUCACAUCUAGAUGGUGUACCUCCCAACUAUGGUUUGCAGCGAGUGCAAGAAUGACUAGAACGGUGUCAAGUCUUGCAACCAGUGCAAAAACUUCUUCAAAGUCAAUGCCUUGUCUUUGUACAUAGCCUUUAGCAACCAAUCUUGCUUUGUGCUUGACAACUUCUCCAUUAGGGUCUUUCUUUAAUUUGAACACCCAUUUUAGACCAAUGGGUUUGUGUUCUGGUGGAAGCUCGGUCAGACUCCAUGUGUUGUUUUUCUCAAUGGAUUUUAAUUCAUUCUUCAUUGCUUGAUACCAACGGGCAUCUGCAACAGCUUCUUGGUAACAAGUCGGUUCUUCGGACACUACCAUCAUCACCUCAUUCUCUUGUUCAUCACCACCUAUAACUUCUUCUGUGUUGGCAUAGAUGUCAGUGAGAGAUCUUAGACGGAUCGGUGUGUUCGUCGAUGGAGGAAAUGGAUUGGUUUCUCCAAUCGCAGGUAUCUCAGUUGCAUGUGGUACGACAUUUUCAACCCCAGUUUCUGCAUCCUCCAAGUUUUCGAACUCGUCAGAAUAAAAUUAGUCCAUCACCUGAAACUCCGUAAUCUCCUUACCGUCACUAACGACUUCGUUCCAAGCCCAUUCAAGAUUCUCUUGAAAAACAACAUCUCUACUAUUUUGUAGUUUUCCACGACCAAGGUCAUAUAAGCGAUGAGCUUUGCAUCCUUCUUCGACACCAAAAUAUAUCACCGGUAAGCUUCGAUCGUCGAGUUUCUGGAGGUGAGGGGUUGUGUUCUUUACAUAUGUCACACAACCAAAGACUCUCAAGUGUGCAAGACGUGGCUUCAUCCCCAUCCAAGCUUCAAAUGGUAUGCGUUCUCCAAGGGCCUUCAUUGGAAGACAGUUUAACAAAUAAACUGCGUGUCUCACUGCCUCUCCCCAAAAAUUUUCAGGCACGUGCAUGCUUUUGAGGAGUGAUCUCGUCAUCGCCAUUACGGUGCGGUUACGACGCUCUACAAUGCCAUUUUGUUAUGGUGAAUAUGGAGCGAUGAGGUGUCCUUGGAUUCCUUCUUUUUUGCAAAAUUGAGUGAACCCUGCAGAUAAGAACUCACCACCUCGAUCCGUCUGGAGCGUUUUGAUCUUGUAAUCCGUCUUGUUCUCCAUUAAGAGUUUGAAUUUCUUGAAUGCUUCAAAUGCGUCACUUUUUGCCUCCAACAUAUACAACCACAUCCAUCUCGUGGAAUCGUCAACGAUCAACAGAAAAUACUUGUUUCCAGCAAGAGUACAUGGUGAAAUCGGUCUGCAUAUAUCAGCAUGGAGGAGUUCUAAUGGCUUCUCUGCUCUAUAUGUUGAUUGACGGUGGAAAGGCAAUCUGACUUGUUUGGUAAUCACGCACGCUUCACAUAACUUGUUCAGUUGAGUCACUAGUGGUACUCCAACUACCAAUUUCUUCUCCCUUAUGAGCUUCAAGUCAUAAAAAUUUACAUGACCAAGUCUCACGUGCCAUAACCAUGUUGGAUCUUUUAGGCUUGUCAGAAGGCAGACUUGCUUGAGCGUCUUCAAAGUUAUCUUGUAUAAAUAAUUUUGAGUUCGCUUCACCGACAUCAAAAGCUUUCCACUCCUGUCAGACACUUUCAUGACAUCUUCUGUCAUUUGUACCUUGUUUUCAUUUUCUGUCAUUUGUCCGAGGCUUAUGAUGUUACUACAUGACUUUGGAAUGUAAUACACCUCUUGGAGAGCCUUCUGAUCACUGUUCUUGCACUCGAACAUGACCGUUCCUUUUCCCAUGAUCUGAAUGGUUGAUCCAUCGCCAAAUUUCACUCUCCUAGUGAAGCUUUCAUCUAAUUCUUGGAACUUCUCACGGUGGCCAGUCAUGUGGUUACUAGCACCGUUGUUAAGAUACCAAACAUCAUUAUUUUCUUCAUUCUUGUCGUUGCAAUACAUCUCUGGCAACAACCGCUCUUUGUUGAGUAGUAUGACAUCCUUCUGAUCACAUCUAAGGCAUGUCCCCUCCUGGGACACGACCAUCAUCAAACCUGGUUCUUCUUCGACAACACAAGUUAGAUGAGCUUCGUCGUCAUGAUCUUUUCCAUGACAUUCUGACGCGUAAUGUCCCAUCUUGUUGCAAGUGAAAAACUUAAUGUGACUUUUAUCACGAGUGCCAUUUCUAGUGUUGCUAGUGCCUCUCGCACUAUUUUGACGCUCAGUGCCACGACCACGUCCUCGCCAUCUUCCUCGAUCGAUACCACCAAAUCUGCGUCCUUUGUUCAUCGAAGAGUUGUCACCACUAUGUCCUUUUUGUCUAGCUUUCCAUUCGGCAUGGGUAAGUAGGAGUUGUCCAUCAGUGUUGUUAUUGUUUUCUCAGAGUCGUGCUGUCCGUUUCUCGUACGCCUUCAUUCAGCCAAUUGCUUCUUCAAAUGGCAUGAUUUCGAGAUCUUGGAAUUGCUCGAUUCCGGAGACAAUUGGAAGAUAUUUGUCGGGGACGGAAUCGAGAAGCUUCUUGACCAAUGAUGAAUCCUCAAGUGCCACCCGAGGGUGGUGAACUUGUUUGCUAAUCCGCUGAUUUUUCCUGCGAACUCAUUGAUCGUCUCGAUUUCUUUCAUCCGAAGAACAUUAAACUCACUCUUCAAGGUUUGAACUCUCGCCAUCUUCACCCGCUCACUGCCCAAGUACCUUGUCUUGAGACUAUCCCAUAUUUCCUUUGCGGUCUUCUUCUUUGUGAUUUGUAGAAGCACGUCUUUCGGGAUGCAUUGGAGAAUGUAUGCACACGCCUUCUUGUCUUUCUUCACAUCCACUUCGGCUUCUCUCGCUGGCUCUAUUGCUUCCCAAACUCCUUGGGAAUCGAGGAUGGCUUCUGCCUUUAUCGUCCACACCGUGAAGUUGUGUGGAGUUAACUUUGGGUAGAGAAUCGGUAUUCCACCAUUCUUCUUUGUUUGCUGCGAGACGCUUGCCAUCUUUGUUGGAAUAUGCGAUGAGAAGACAACCUGCUCUGAUACCAAAUGUUGGUUUUAAAACAAAGGAUCUGUAAAAUCUCACGCACUCUUUUUGAAGAAAACAAGGAUGAAUACUUUAUAAGAUAUAUUGUCAAGAGGGAGAGAAAAUAAAUGGAACUUCUUGCCUUUAUUCAAUUUAAUGGACUAAUAUUUAUAGUCUAAAAAGGAAGCAAAAAUUAGUAACCCACUAACUCAGUGCUUGCUAAAAUUUUGGGGAUAGUUAAAACUAUAAAUAACCAAAAUAAUAAAUAGAAAAAUAACUUAAUUCUUCAACCUAUUUAAGAAGAUCAUGGCAAAUUAAUAGCUCAUAGAGAGAAUAAAGCGAGAAGAGAGCAUAAAGCGGGAAGAGAGAAUAAAGCGACUUUGUCUCACAGUUCUCCAAAUUUGGGCUACCGUUACUUUGUGCAUUUUGCUUAGCUUUCAUGCGCAAAGUCUGCCUUCUGCUACCGCUGCUACUUAUCACUUUGCGUGUCUCAUUUUGGGCUCCUUCAAAGCCCAUUUCCCACUUCCAUCUCAACUACAACAAUAACAAUUUUAAAGUUUCAUUUUGAAAAGUAGAAAAAUCGUUUUUUUUUUUUUUUUUGCAAAAACCCAAAAUACUCCUAUAUACAUAAAGUGUAAGCUACUUUCUUAAAGUUAAAAUAGAACAAAUAUACUUAUAUAAAUCUUGAAUACAUAUUUGUCCAAUCAAAGUUAGAACAUUUUAUUCAUUUUCUAGACCCGUUGCAACAAUCUUCAAUCUUCGUUUUUGUUUUUCGUUUCUCAUCUUCCAUUUCGAAAAUCUUCCUUCAUCUCCAUUUUCCAUUUCUCUUUUUUGAUCUUAUCUUCUUCGAGUGGGCAAACCCUAAUCUUUCCACCUUGAAGCGGGAAAACCCCAAUCUCUACCCUCUUUCAUUUGAAGUUUCAGUUUCAUCUUCAACUUCAUCAUGCAUUUUUAAGAAGAAACUUAGCUUCAUCAUCCAUUUUCAAGAAGAAGAAUAUACACAUUUGAAGCAUGCAAACACUAUCUUCAUUUUCCAUCUUCCAUAAUUGAUUUUCAAGUCUACAACCUGCAAUCUCAAACGCUUGGGGUGGAAGAACAAAAACCUUCACUCAUAACAAAAAGAUACAAAAGUUAUCUUCCUCGUCUCUUAGGAAAUUUUAGCUGAUUUUAAAAUAUAUAUAUGUUAUAUUAAUUAUUUAAUAUCUUAGCCUAUUCUAUUGGAAAAAUAAAUUUAAUUUUAAAAAAUAAAUUAAAAUCUAAUACGAAAAAUAAUUUUAAUUUCUAAAUUCUGAAGGAUUGAAAGAUUCAACUUAUUUUGAAAUAAAAAAGGGUUAGAGAUUUAAUUUCCAAAUAAAAAAAUUGAGAUCUUAAUACAAAAUCUAAUUUUAAUUUUCAAAUUCAAAUUCAAAUUUCAAAAUUUAAAAAUAGUUUAAGACCUAAUACGAAAACUAAUUUUAAUUUAAAGUUAUUAAAGGUUGACAAAAAGAUUCACCAUAUUUUGAAAUAAUAAAAAUUGAGAUAUAGCCAAUAAAAAUUAAUAAUAUGAUUAUUUUGAAAUGAAAAAACAAAUAAAGUUGUUAAAAUCUUAACACAAUGGUGAAAUAAAAAAAUGAAUAAAGUUGUUGAUAUCUUCUAAAUCCCGAAUAUUAAGAAGAGGUUAUGAUAGGUUUUUCUACAUUAUUAACGCAUUGAAAUUAAUUACAUACUCAUAAAUGCAUAUCAAAAAUUAAUUACACAUAAAAGAUUUUUUAUAAGAAUGCAAAAUUAUACUAAUUACACUUUCAAACCAAUAUUGAUAGAAACUAUAAUUUAUUUAAUGUUAUGAAGUCAAAUGAACAUGGUUUAAAAGUCUUUAUAAACACAAUUAAUGUAAUUGUUUUUAAUUUUAAUUCAUUUACAUCAUUGUAUAUAUACAAUGCUAUAUUUUUAGAAUAAGUUAAUUCAAUGGUUGAAAUUCUCCUAAAUUAAAAAUAAUAAUUGAGUUAUUUUGAAAUCAAUAGUUGAAAUUGUUCGAUUCGAAAAUUAAUAAUUUGGUUAUUUUGAAAUUUAUUUUUAAAUAAAAUUAAUGUUGAGAUUCUCCCAAUUUCAAAAUAAUAAUUUGGUUACAUUGAUAUUCAAGUUAUUAAUCUUAUUUUGAGAUAUAGCAAACAAGUUAAUAUUUUUUAAUUUUGAAAUUCAAUUAAAGUUAUUUUGAUACAAAAUCUAUCGUUGAAAUUCUUAAAUUCUGAAAAAUAAUAAUUUUGUUAUUUUGAAAUUAGUAAGAUUUAAGAAAGUUAUUAAAAUGUUGAAUCAAUUAGUUAAGUCCCGAGAUAUUAAGAAAAAAAUUAUGAUAUGGGCUGUGGUAUCUUUUUCGAGUAAAAACUAAUUAAAGGCUGAUAAAUGAAUAACAUAAAUUAAUUACAUUGUAGAAACAAAAUAAUUACACUUGGUGAAAGGAGGAUAUUUUGGUAUUUUAUAAAAUUUCAUGCAUGUGAAAAAAAUGAUAUUUGCUAAAAUUAAAAAGAAAAAGUAGUUUGGCCAUUUUCCAAAAUGACUCAAAAAAAGGUUGCUAAAUAUAUAUAUAUCAUAACACUCCCCCUCAAGCUAGAGCAAAUAUGUCGAUCGUGCCCAGACUGUUGCAUAGAUAUAUUAUUCUUGCUCCAUUUAAAGCUUUAGUUAUAAUAUCUCCCAAUUGUUCUCCGGUCUUCACAUAUCCUGUGGACACCAACCCAUCUUGGAUUUUCUCAUGAAUGAAGUGACAAUCCACCUCAAUAUGUUUAGUUCGUUCAUGAAAUACUGGAAUAGAUGCAAUAUGAAGUGCAGCUUGAUUAGCACACCAUAAUUUAGCUGCCACGGUAAUACUGAAGCCUUUCUUAGAUAAUAGUUGGUGAAUCCAUACUAUUCACACACAGAUUGUGCAAUAGCUCUAGAUUCUGACUCAGCACUCGAAUGAGAAACAACAUUUUAUUUCUUACUCUUCUACGAUACUAAGUUUCCACCUACAAGACACAAUAUCCAGAAGUUGAUCUUCUAUCCUCACGAGAUCCUGCCCAAUCAGCAUCAGAAAAACAUUCAACUAUCGUAUGUCCAUGAUCUUUGUAUAAGAUCCCACGUCCAGGAGCAGCUUUUAGAUAACACAAAAUCUGCUCUACUGCAACCCAAUGAUCCACUGUAUGGGAAGACAUGAAUUGACUUACAACACUUACGGAAUAGGCAAUGUCUGGUCGAGCCACUGUUAAGUAGUUCGACUUUCCAACUAGUCUCCUAUAUCUCUCAGUAUCUUUACGUAAUUCUCAUUCUUUAACAAGUUGUUGAUCUGACAUUAUUUCCAGUAAUAACAAUAUCAUCAACAUAUACUACUAGUAGAACGAUACCCUUAUCAGAUCGACAAUAGAAAACCGAAUGAUCAAAUGUACUCUUCUUCAUACCAAAGCAUACAAGAGCUUGACUAAACUUACCAAACCACGCACGAGGACUCUGUUUCAAACCAUACAGAGAUUUUCAAAGGCGACAUACUUUAUCACUCUCCCCCUGAGUAACAUACCCAGGUGGUUGUUCAAUAUAAACUUCCUCUUGAAGAUCACCGUGAAGAAAAGCAUUCUUAAUGUCAAGUUGAUGCAAAUGCCAUUUAUGGGUAGCAGCAAUGGAAAGAAAUAGGCGAAUGGAAGUUAAUUUGGCAACUGGAGAGAAUGUAUCUGAAUAAUCAGUUCCAUAGAUUUGAGCAUAACCUUUGGCAACAAGAAGAGCCUUCAAUCAAGCCAUCAGGAUUCAUCUUGACAGCAAACACCCAUUUACAACCAAUGACCUUCUUUCCUGCAGAACGAGAUAUCAAAUCUCAAGUACCAUUAUCAUCUAAAGCAGUCAUCUCCUCAAUCAUUUCAUUUUGCCAAUCAAGAUGAGAUAAAGUUCCAUGAACAAAGUUAGGAAUAGAUGUGGACUCAAGAGACGUAAUAAAAGCAUAUGUGGAGGGAGAUAACUGGUGAUAGGAAAUAACUGGAAUCUGUUUAUUGGUAAGUACACUUGUGUUUACCUUUGCGAAGAGCAAUGGGAAGAUCAUCACUUGGCCCCGGAUCACAUGAUGAAGGAAGCAUUGAUGGAGGACAUGAGUCUGAAGGUUGUGGUGGAGGUCGUCGGGAGUAGACUUGAGAAAUCAACAGGCGGGAAGGAGGCACAUCAAUAGACAAGGAUGGUGUGGGAGAGGUAACCUCAUAUAUAAAAAGAUUGUCAUCCUCCUCCUGACACAAAUUCUAUGGUGAUGAAGUAAAUGGUGUAUCCACAAAAAAUGCAACAUCAGGAGAAACCAAAUACCUUUUAAGGGUAGGACAAUAACAACAAUAACCCUUUUGAACACGUGAAUAACCCAAGAAGAUACACAUCAAGGAUUUGGGAUCUAACUUAGUAUGCUGAGGACGAACGUCGCGAACAAAACAAACACAACCAAAUAUCUUAGGAGCAAUAGGAAACAAAAUCUAACUAGGAAAUAGAACACGGUAGGGAAUCUCCAUUAAGAACAGAGGAAGACAUUCUAUUAAUAAAAAAAACAAGUUGUAGAAACAACAUCCGCCCAAAAGGUUUUUGGAACAUGCAUUUGAAACGAUAAAGCACGGGCAGUUUCAAGUAAAUGCCUAUUUUUUUCGUUCUGCAACACCAUUUUAAGAUGGAGUGUCAGCACAGGAAGACUGAUGAAUAAUGCCAUGUUCACACAAGUAAGAGCCAAGAGAAUGAGAAAAAUAUCCACCAUCAGUACGCAAAGUUUUGAUAGAGACAGUAAAUUGGUUUUUUAUUUCAGUAUGAAAGACACAAAAAUGAGAUAAUAACUCAGAACGAUUUUUCAUUAAAUAUGACCAAGUUAGACGAGAAUGAUCGUCAACAAAAGCCUGUUUGAGAUACAACCGGACACGUACCCUAAAUAUCAAAAUGAACUAACUCAAAUGGAGCAAUUGCUCGUUUAUCGACUCGAGGACUCGAUCUAAGACGAUGAUAUUUAGCAAAUUGACACAAAUCACAAUUUAAAAAGGACAAAGACCCAAAUUCUUGAUAAAGUUUCUUCAACACGAACAAAGAUGGAUGACCUAAACGACAAUGGACUUCAAAAGGAGAGGGAACGACAGGACACGCCACAACUUGUGAUACUUGAUGAUCAAAGAGAUAAAGGUCUCCCAACUCAUAGCCUCUAUCAAUAAUCUUCUUCGUCACAUGAUCCUAAAACAAGCAAUAACUAGAAAAGAACAUGACAACACAAUUUAGGUCAUGAGCAAGUUGACUAGUAGAAAUUAAAUUAAAGGAUAAGUUAGGCAAAUGUAACACAGAAGAGAGAGAAAAUGAUGGGGUAAGGUGAAUAGUGCCAGAGCCAAGAACAGAAGAUGUGAAGUCAUUGGCCAAUGUAACAAAUAGAAAAGGAGCAGGGGACAAUGGUCUAGAAAAUAGGUGAGAAUUACCUGUCAUAUGAGCUGUGACACCAGAGUCUAUGACCCAUUUGGUAGAUGAUGUAAGAAGACACUUUGUAUUACCUAGGGCAAUAGUGGAUGCAACCGGAGUAGAGUUGGCCAUAUUGAAGUCACACACUGAUUAUAGUCCACACAAACAAAGAGAAAAUCAAUCCAAACAGCUGCAAAAUUGAAAAAAGACCCAAAACCAAUAGCGUAACCUUCAGUAUUCGUCAAACCCGAGUGCUAUUUGAUAGACCUAAUGGUACAGACUGACCGAAAACAAUGGUUCGAGACAAGCCCAUAAGAUGGAGGACAAAUCGGACGUCUCACGCGCUCUCACACAUCAGUGCAUGGGUCAAGAUGAAUAGGAUUUCAAUGGUGCGUGAAGGUCACGCGCAGUGUUUUCCGGCGAUCGGCGAAGACAGACUUAGGCGAACGGAGGUGGUGUUUCUGAUGGUAUGGGCGGUGUCGACAAACGGCCAACGGAAAGUAACCUAAACUUAAACCUAAUGGAGGAGGAAGCUAAUGGCCAUUCGAAACCCUAAUGGCUCUGAUACCAUGUAAUCUAGAAUUCAAAGAAGUAUCGUUCUUAUUAUUAUUGAGUCAAAGGAAUGUUACAUAUUUAUAUAGAGAAUAAACUAAACCCUAGAGACUAAAUAAAAUUACAAUAAAGAACAUAUGAGAUAUAUAUAAAUAUAUAUAUAUAUCAUAACAUCUUUAUCUCUUAUUAUUCCUAGAAUUAAAGGAGAUCAGAGGUAAAAACCUAUCUAAUACUUAUUUUCAACAAUCUGUUAAUUUAUCAAAUGUGAAUGAAAGUAAAUCAGAUAAAUCUGGUCACAAUUUUUCCAUAAGAACGAUAACCCUGAGGGAUGGGGUUGCAGAAGAAAAUCGACGAGAAGACCUAGUAGAGAGAUUCACUGAUGUCGAAAUUCAAGCUAGGAGAAAUAAGAGAUUCUAUUUCCAAUAUGAUGAAAGAAUUCCCGUGGGGCCUAAAUGCAAAGUUAAGAAAAAUCCAUAUUGGAGAAGGUUUGCAAUUUCGAUGAAUACUGAAAAGGUUAAGAUUACUAAAGAAGAUGCCUUGGAGAUGAAUAAUGAGAUAAAUUCAGUGGGAAUGGAGGAAGAAGAAAGACCAAUUGUAUAAUUUUAUAUAAAUUCAGCGGUUGGAUUGUCAUCGGAUUAAAAAACUAAGAACAUGAACAUAAGAAGUAAAAGGGAAAAAGUAAGAAGGAUGAUCGAUUACAGAUCUACCCACACUUACAUACCCAAGAAGGUUAUUUCAACUUUGCAAAUAUCAAUGGACAAAACCUCAAACUAUGGAGUUAUAGUGGGAACAAAGAAUACGAUGAAAGGGAAAGGGGUCUGUGAAGCAACAAAAUGGUUAGUGAAUGAAUGGAAGACAGUGGGAAGUUUGCUACCACAAGUGCUUGGAGAAGUGGAUAUCGUAUGGAGAGCGCAAUUGAUGUAUUCAUUGGGAAUAAUCGAAAUGGAAUGGAGAAGCUUAGCCAUGACUGUCUAUAGUGGGAAAAACAUAAUAGAAAUAAGGAGGGAUCCUUGCUCAACAAAGACUAGAGUUAAUUUGAAAAACAUGAUGAAGUUUGGGUCAUAUUUGAAUCAAGGAUAUUUAAUUGGAGGCAGAGUUUUAGAUGGAGAAAUUAUAAUUGCAGAAUUUCGUGGAGUAGAUGUUGUGCCUACAACGAGGGUGUUACCAGCUAAAGCAACCAUUCGAACAGUAUCCCAUGUUUUCCAACUAAAGUGAAUGUUAGGGGAACCUACUGAGGUACAUACGAUAAUCUAUAUAGCUCAGCAAAUCAGGAUUGGCAGGCAGAUCCGAAAGAAGUAUUUGGUUACAAAAAGAAUGCUACAAGCUCGUGGGAAACAUUGAUAAGUUGGAAGCACUAGUCAUUACAUGAAGAUACAUGGAAAGUCUAUGUUGAUCUCCAACAUCAACUUCUGACCCUUUACCUUGAGUACAAGGUGAAAUUGGAGGAGGGGUGUACUAAUAGACAUCCUAUUAUUCCAAUUAUCCUACAAUAUAAUAAAUUGGAUAAGAAGGAGGAAGAACGUGUGAGGGAGGCAGUGAGGGAGAGAAAAGGGAUACCACAAUGGUCCAAAGUUAAAUAGAAAUAUAUUGUAUAAAACAGAGCAGAAAGGAGGGGACAUGAAGAUUUUGGUGAAGGAAUAGUGUGCUGCAUUACUUCUUGAGAGUGAGGAGAAGCAGAGAGCCAAGUUAUUUUGUUCUAAGUUCAUUUUUUUAUUUUUAUAUUAUUUUUUUCUUAAGUUUUUCUGAUUAGGAGAGGCAACUGUUUGUUGAAUGUGAACUCUGGAUAUUGUGAUUCAUCUCUUGAGGAUCACUAGUCUUUUAUAUAUAUUGUAACUUCUAUUUGAGAUAUCAAUAAAAUAGAAACACUACAUUAGUGUUCUAACACCAGCUCAAUCUGAUCCCUAAGCUCAAGGGAAACCACAACAAGAUUUAAAACUAAAAUAGGAUUUCAACUCCCUGUAUGUUCUUAAACAAAGUAGAUUUAAAAGACAAGCCUAAUAGUUAAUCAUCUUUAAGCUCUCUCUUCAGCAUUACCAAAGUUGUAGCACUCCCCUAUGGACUACGAUCUGGUUGGUGGUCAGAACACAACACGUACUAGUAAGUAGCCCACACCUAAAGGGCUACUAAACAACAUACAAGUAACUACUGCAAAUUACGUAACAAUUAUGCUCAAUAAACAUGGAAGGUAACUAACAAUUACAACAGGCUAGGUCAAUGAAUCGACACAUCAUGGAAUGCACACUUCCUAUUCAAGUCCCUUGAGCUCACUCAACACUCAACUUUCACAAUACUUAUUUAGACUGAAUCCUUCAUGACAUGUUGACCCUAAUUGUGUCCAAGGCCACCUACAUCCCAUGCUAGCCCCAAUUGACUUUAUUCAACGUCAUCAACACUGUCUAUCAACUCCAUUGACUUCAUCUAGGGUGAUUGACAGUCUUUAUCAACCUGAUUUCCAAGGGCACCAACAUUUUUUACCCACCUUGAUUGAUUUAUCCCAGGUCAUCAACCUCUUCAUCAACCUUACAUGAUUCCACCAAGGUCCCUUGACAUUUUAAAAAAUUCUCGAUACUUAACUUUCUAAACUUGUUGUACUAACUCUAACUAAAUCAACACAGUCAUCAACGCUAUCCUAUUUAACACUUUAGGCCUAGGAUUCGAAUCAGAAUUCAGAAUCUGGAUUCAGCAACUGAUAGCCCAACUUACUUGUCUUGAGUGCUUCUAAGAGUAAAAAGUUGUCUCCACAAACCAACACAAGACCUUUCAGCAAGUUUUAUCCUCACUCACAUGCUUAGAAAAAUUCUCAAGAGGUCACUCAAAAUAAGAUUGCUCUAAGCUAAACAUGUUUAACUAUAAAGUUCCUAUGAUUGAACCAUUGAAAAAGAGAUGCACCUUGUUGAUAUAGGUGGUAACUUUCAACUUUUUUAAGCUUUUCUUAACUGUUAAAAUCUUAGAAUAUUUAUGAAAAUAUUAUGGAAAUAUUUUCCUUAAUUUCUAAAUCUUUUCCUUUUUUAUUUUCUUGUAUAUACUAUUUAUUCUCCCUUGUACCUAUUGUAUUUUUCAUUAGAAAAUAAUAAGAAGAAAAAUAUCGUGGUUUUUCUUUCGAUACUCGGGUUUUCAUGUAAAGUUGUGUGUUUGUUUGUCUCCCUUUCAAUAUGGUAUUAGAGCGGGAUAUUGAACAAACCCUAAACAAUACAACUAGCGAUGAAAAUCACAUAGAGGAGACAGCCACCAAUUUUAGUGUCGCCGCCUUUAGAAAAUGCCAGAAAACAUAAUUCGACAGAUCUAAUCAUCGUCCACGCUGCCAGAAACUGUUCACGUGCUUCCAAGCGCCACCAAUGCAUCAAUGUUGAAAGUUCACGCGUCGGCCCAUCUUGUUCAAACGCUGCUAGCCAACCUAAUUGUGCCACCCUCGUCUUCAUCUACUGCCUGUAGGGUUCCCCACGAGCCGAUUCGUGUUCUACCACAUACUUUCGGUAGUGAUCAUUGCUUUUGCAGUCAAAUUUGCAUGUCCUGCCUCCCAAUGACCUUAGUUAUUAUCUUGAUGAUAAGAAUCCUCAAAUUCAUUCAACAUUUGAGGUUGGUCAGUUUUCGGCACAUUCAAACCCUAUCGUGCAAGCUUCUUCAUCGGGAAUAACUCAGGAACAACUGAAAGGGCUUCAACAACAGAUUGCAGCAAUUGAGACUACUCUAGGGACAACAUCCAACACUCCUGUAUCGAUGUAUUUUGAGAAUCUGAUAACCUUGUUCCCUACUUUAUCUUCUUCCUAUGAUUCAAGAUAGUUAGAUUGAAAUUACUUGCGCAUUUGGAUGUUAGAUUUUUCCAUCCGUAAGGACUUUCGCCUAUUAAAGUUCUAAUUCUGAGAGUGUUUAGGGUACUUUUUUCUCAUCUCAUCCACUCAUUUCCAUGUUACUUCCUUGAAUGGAUGAUUCUACCAAACAACCCUCAUUAAUUCUAUUUUGAAUUCUAUCCUUUGAUUGUGCAAAACUUUCACUUCCCUCGCAAGAAUUUGGGUACGCUUCUCAUCAUAACUUAGAAUCUUAUUCAACUGUAGGGGCUCAAAGUCCCCAAUGUGAGAUGGAUAUGCUAUGUAUUUACUUUACAGUUUCACUCGAAAAGUUAAUAUGAGCUUAAAAAGUUCCAUUCACUAAAACAUAUACCUAAGCUAGUAUUUUUGCUAUUUUACAUCGCUGGCCUAUGAACUUUUUCAUUUUCAAAAUUAUUCUAUACCGUGUAAAUAUUUUACAGGUUAUUCUAUUUUUUUAAAACCCCUUAAAUUAAAAUAUUAAUUGAUUUUUCAAUUAAUGAAUUGAUAAAUUAAAUAUCUUAUAUUUAAUUUAAGGUUAAUUUUCAAAAAUAUAACAAUUUGACAAAAUAAAUACGGCUCGUAUAACAAAAUGAAAAAAAUCCUUGAAGCUAACCAUUUUUUAAAAAUAUUCUAGGUUUGCUCUUCCUUUUCAUCGUCUUUCUCUUCCUUUUCUGUAAUUUUCUUCGUUUUUUUUUGUUUUUUCUCUUCUUCGACAAAUUUUCUUUUGUUAUCUUUUUUCAAUCUAUUAUUUGGUUCGAAAUUGUGUAUCAAAUAUAAAAGAUCUAUUUUUUAAAAAAAUGUUAUUUGAUUGUUCAAGAUCAUAUAUCAAAUCUAAAGGAUCUUGAAAAACAAUGUCGUUUAAAUUUGAAUAACCAAAUCUAAACGAACAUGUACUAAAUAGUCUUAAAAAAUUAUUUAAUCAAAUCAAAAUGAUCAUCUAACCAAAUCUAAGCCAAAUUAAACCAUCACAUACCAAAAAAAUCUUGAAAAAAAAAUUGUAAAUCAUUUAGAUCUGAAUAUCUAAAUUUAAACGAUCGUGUAUCAAACAAUAGCACAAAUUUAAAAGUUGUAAGUUGUUGACUGGGCAUUUCUAACCUUUUUUAUUGUGGACAUGUAGACUUUCUCGUAAAUACCGUCGCUUUGUUGUAUUUUUUAAAAGAACCCAUGUGUAGUUAUCGUAUUCAAUAUUGAUACAUCCAACCCAACACCUUUUUUCUUUUUCUUGAGUUUUUUCUCACAAUCAACAUUGCUAAAAAGCUCCGUGCAGUGAAUACAUACAACAUAAUCUAUCUAGGAUUCUAAUUAGGAUUACAAAUUAUAGCUAAAGGCCAUAGAAAAUUUCUAUUACUACCAUAAUAAUGCACAUCUACCAAAUUUACGAGCACGACAAACAUACACCAUGCUUAGGAGGGCAAAAGAGGAAAACUCAACUCUUUAUCGUACAAAUAGUAGUCAUAACCAUGCCCCUUCUGUAUGGCGUAUACAUUUUCAACAAGAAAAGAAGAGGAGAGGGAAUGCGAGGGGAAAACAAGAAAAAGGAACUAGCUAAACUUUUACCCAUAGUAUAUAGAAACUGCAGAAAAACCACAAAAUACAGUGACUGACUGACUACUUACACAACUGCCCAACUAUGUAUGGAAAUAGUUCUGGAAAAUGGGGCCUUCUCAGUCCCAAGUGACAGAGAUCAUUGAAUUGGCAAGCCCUGAUUCCUCAAAUGUCAUUUGGGUAUCAUAAUCCAGAGUCUUUGUAGCUCCUGGUAUCGCAUGUGUCAAUUUGAAUGGUUUUGUCUCACCAUCCUCUAACUGAGAAGAACAGAAAGACCAAAGCAACUGCAACAAGAAAAGGGCCUCAGGGUUAAAAUGAAAGACAACUUUUGGCAAAAAGGGUUGAAUUGAGACAUUAAGAGUUUAGUUGAAUUAUAAGUACAUUUGUUUGGCUAUGGUUGAGUUCAAAUAAGUAUUGCUCAUAUUUGUGCAUCAAAUGAUAUAAUUGUCUAACAUUCUAAUGUCUUUUUGCUUCUUAGAAGCUUGAAUAAGUUGUAAUGUUUUAGUAUGGCAUCUAUUAUCAGAUCAGCAAAGUAUGAAUGAAAAGUAACCAUUUGACGUAAAUUCUGAGGCCUAAGUGCGUGAAUCAUAUAAUAACCCUACAAGGUCUGAACAAAAUUGAGAAUGGAAUUGCAGCUCGUAAAAAACAAACACCUGGAUUGGAUCGGUUCGGAGGAAAUUCCUUUGGCAUCUACGUCCAUUAGGAAGACGGACUCCGAUCCUGCAAAGAAGCUUUCUGUCACCUUUGGGUUCUUCAGGCAAUGGUGGAUAAGUUGGGCACUUCUCUUCUUCCUUCUCAGCAACUUUUGUGUCCUUGUCCUCAGAAGACAAUUUGACUGCUUCCUUCAUGCCUUCUAGAGAAACUGCCAAUGCACGUUGCACUUCUUCAUCCUCUUCGUAUUCCACUUCUGCAGAUAAUUGAAAUAGGAAUUUUACGCUCUUUGCAAUAAAAUAGACACCAGCAAACCAUUCACGACCACAAUUAACCGUCCAAAGAAUCACAAGGAUGGACCUCCAACUAUCAGUACAGUGUGUGUGUAUCUGGGAUCAGAAACAAAACUUAUUUACUUUUAUUUGUAUUAAUGUUUCCGUAUGAACUUUUCCUUGUUCCUUUAUUUUUACUUUUGAUAUUGCUUGUCUUCAAGAAAGGCAGUAUCAUAUCUUUUCAUCUAUUCAUGUUGAAAUAUUCCAUGUUAUUCUUGAAUCCAAACUCAAAACUGGUUUGAACUUUCCUUUCACCAAUAUAAAUUGAGAUAUCAAACUGCAAGGAAUCUUCAUCUAAUCAAUACAUCUUUGCCUGUUAGCUGCCUUUGUUUAGAUGAAUUAGUUGAAUCAAUAGUUGUUUGGCUAGUUCAAUUAGACAGAAAGCCGAUUACUUAACAUCAAAUAGGGGUCAUCGGUUUAAGGAUGAUUCAUAGAUGCCCAAAAAUAAGGAUGUCUGUGAAUAAGAUUGCUGGGAAUCAAGGCUGUGCAUGAGAAUGUUAUCUGAAUAUUAUGAAAGAAAAUUAUAUUUAUAUUUAAUUAUAUGACAACUUUAUAAAAUAUUAUAGCUAGUAAACAAUAAAUUUAAUUCAAAGUUUCGAAAAAAAUAACAAUAUUAAUUCUAUUAUUGAUUACAAGUAUUUAUAAAAAUGAGUAAUUUAUAAUUGAAGUUGCAAGAUUACAAUAAUAAAGUAUUAAAUUAAACUAAAUUUACUGUUUAACAAUUAAUUUACUUGGUUUAAUUUUAAAUAAUUAGUUGUUAGUUUAUUUGUUAUUUUUAAGUUAAUAUUCUAAAUAUUUUGAAAUAAUAACAUUCCAUUUUUAUUCAUAGAAGAAAAAUAAUAACGGGAAGAAAAAAGAAAAGGGAAAAAAAAAACUCGAGGGGUAGAGGAAGGAGGCAUGUGGAUGAGUGGGGGACACACCAAACUCAUCCAUUUUUUUCAAUAAAAUUCUUCCUCCCAAAUAAUUGAGUUUUUGACACUGAGGCAUGAACUGGAAAACACACACAUGAUGAACUCAACCACAGUCCCUCUUUUCUUCUUCCUUGAAUCUUGGAAUUUCUCCUGCAUUUUGUUGGGUUUAAAAGAAUCUUCACACUAGAAAAAGCCCAAAGCUAAUUUCUACUUUACUCACUUGUAGAUGCCAAGACCAGAGCCAAAAGCCUUGGAAGAUAAUAUUUUCAAAAGAAAACAAAAGAAAGAAAAAGAGUGAUACAUGUAGAAAGGAUGAAAGAGGAAGCGAAAACAGGAAGAGAUAACUUGGGUUGAAGAGGUCAGGUAGCACUGGAAAAUCGAAAUCCCACUCUUUUUCACGGUUAAAGAAAUCCCUUACUUUUGCUUUAUUAUUAAUGACUGGGAAACAACUUUUCCCAAGGAAAUAACCAAAACCCUUCAACCAAAUGUGGUUUUAUGAUGCCAAAGCCUACUCCAAUCCUCAAAUCCCUUGAAACAAACGGCUAAAUAAAUGUUGUUAUUUAUUUCGGUGGAAUAGAUUGUACCAUUAAUUUUCUAAACUUCUAAAUUAAAAUAAAACACAAAAUACCUCGAACUUUCGGUGGAGUCAAGGAACUCUCCCUUGGACGUUUAUGAGAUAAGGUAACAUGAUGAUCCUUUGGACCUCCAUCCAUGAAGGGCAAUAGAUCCUGCAAGACACAAGAUAAUAUAUUCGCCAGAUAAACCAAACCCAUUAUUGAGAUAAAAGACUAAGUUAAGUUCUCCAGAAACAUUCACACCUCAAGUAGCCGUUCAGGUUGAACCAUUCCAAACCAAGAGUGCAUUUUUUGCCCUGUUAUGGGAUCAAUGACAAGGACAGCAGGAAUUGAUUCUAGUUUAUAAUAUGUGCAAACCUUUUGGCCUUCAGUUGAAUCAUCAUACACCUGAGGGCAAAUAACAUGAUAUGAUUAAAAAAACUGAAACUGAAUAUAACCCAGAAACACCAAUGUUACAUAAACGGAAAAAGAAACGAUAAAUUUUCCAUUACAAGACAGUUCUGCAACUGACGAAAUCAAUCUUACCAGAAGAGGAAAAAAAAAAAAAAAAAAAGAAGGGUAACAGGUGAAACUAAUAUGGGACAAUGGCAGCUCUGACAUGCCAUUCCAUUUUAGGUUUGUUUAGGAAAAUUGAAACUUAAAAGAAUUUUGCAUUGUUUUUAGAGGGGAGAGAACACCGGUGCUCUUGAAUACACAGGUUGGUUCAUAGCUUAUAAUUAAUCCAUGAGUUCUUCUGAACCAAUAUUAUCAAUAAUAAAACCAAGUCUUCGUACAAUUUGUUAGUACAAUUUCAGUUUGAGCUUUGAGUCUUUUAUUUAAUUAGUAGUUUUCAUUUAAUGAGAUGAUCUUAUGCAAUUGUUAUGUUUCAUUUUCAAAAACAAAUAAAAUGGUCUACGUCAACUUUUAUGCAAAGUGUUGAGAUGCCAUGUGCGACUACAAAUAAGAUUUAACUCUUAGAAAAAUUACAGAACGUAUGGAGCUGACCUGCCAAAAAAUAAAAUUGGUAGAAAUAGUUUGAGAAACAGCUUCAUUUGCCCAUGUAUCCCGGUUAAGCUACAGAAGCCAAAUAGGUGUCCCAAGUAAGUGCCUGUUAAAAUGGUAAGCAGUCUACCAAGACGGAAAUCACAAUGGUUCAAAAUAAUACCAUGUGCGAGCUGAAUUCCUUGGUGGACUGCAGAUUUACUAUCAGCCACUUGUCCUGGACGCAGGCAGCACCUUUUGCCUGAAGAAGAUAAAAACCUCCAGUAAAUUGAGGAAUGGCAUAAAUGUACCAACUUGUUGAUUAAAGACAGAACUGCAUCACUACACAAACAGAAGAAUGCUUGAGAUCUUUCAAUAAAAGAAACUUAUAUCAGAAGAACGAGCACCAGAAUAUGGUAUUAAGAUAGAAAUACUGAAAUAGAAUUUUGUUUUUCAAUCAAGAAACUGCACAUUUAUUAAGAGAAAUGAAAGAAUAUACAAGGGCAUACUGUGACAUCCCAGGUUUCAGUCUUCAAGUAGAUUUAAAUUAAUUAUCGAUCUCUAAUUCUGGAAUGUGGAAUCAUUUGAAAUAAUUUGAAAGAGAUAAUUGGUUUACUUGAGUUUAUUUUAACAUCAGAUUUGAAGUUGGAAGAAAGAAGUUUAACCAUAAUUUCAAAAAGGAACACGCCCUAACAACAAUAAUGAUAUCCAAAAGAAACAAACCAAGCUUAUAAUUACACAAAAUCCAACAGACAACUACAACGAGAUUUGUGGUAGGCAAAUUUCAAUUUAAUUACAUAUUGUUUUAAUGAUUCUUUUUUUUCUUUUCAAUUUCCAAAAUAUUUUCGUUUAGUAAUCAUUACUUAGUUAACCAUCAUGGGUUAUCUUAGUGAAUAAAACGAACACAUAGUUUCAACAAAUGAUCAAGAAAUCAUGAGUUCAAUCCAUGAUGGUCACCUACUUGGAAUAAAUAUCCAAAUGUUGUAGGGUCGGACAGGUUGUCCCGUGAUAUUAGUCAAGAUGAAUAUAAGUUGAUCCAGACAAUCACGAAUAUAAAGAAAAAUUAAAAAAAAAUUAUCAUUACUUAGUUAUCUUAGGAUUUUUGCAUUACGAUUCUAGCUCAUUGGCAAUUUAAAUAAAUUGUAAUAUACAAGCUAAAUGAAUUUGAGUUAGUCUCUCUUAAGCAUUGUUUUAAAAUGUCCAAGGCGCAAUAGCCCUACGGAGCCCAGGCACAAUGCACACAGAAAGGAGCGGGAUUUUUUCUUAAGGCGCACUAUAUAUGAAAAAUAUAAAAAUUAUAAAUAUAUAUAUGUACUAUAUACAUGUCAAUUUACUCCAAAACAUAGAUAGAUAGAAAUAAUACUUCUACAAAAAAAAAUAAUAAAAGAUAGAUAAGAUUUAAAUAUAGUCAUUCAACACCAAGUUAAGUGAAAUGACAUAAAAACAAUCACAAAUACAAUUAUAAAAUCCUAAAUAUCGAAGUCAUCUUCACUAAAUAGGUCUUUAUCUUCAUUUUUUCUAUUUUUUGACUUAUAACAAUUUAUAUCUUCUUCGUCAGUCUCAAAGCCAUCCAAACUAAUUGGUGUGGGAGUGGGUUGCGGUGGUAGUUGUGUGGAAGAUGAACAUGAACAUGAAGCGUUAGUCUUAGAAUUAGUUCUUGAGGAACCAACAAGUUAAUUAGUGUUCUAUUUCUUCUAUUUGUCCAUUCAUCAACCAUAAUGGUGCAUCCAACCUUGGCCCACUCUGCCUUUUGGUUCCUCAUCAACUCAUUUGUAGCUUCUAAUUCCAUUUUUGAACACGACACUCUCAACUCAUGUUACAUGUUGGUUUCAAUCAAGGACCGAAUCACCCAAUUGCUUCAACCAUAGGGGCAAAGCUUUCAUAAUUGCAGGCAUUGAGAGGUAUUCCGACAUCAUAAAACCAUCAAGCAAUUCUUUGGAUGGUGUGAUCCCUUAUUUCCUUUUUGUAUGCCUGAUUCAUCGUAGUUUGUUUCUUUGUCAUUCUUUCUAUUCUGCACCUUAGUUCCUGGGUGUGGUGUAAAAUAUGCAUCACUGGACCCAAGUCUUUGCUUCUUUUGAAUUUUACCAGCACUCACCUCAUCAGCUUGAAAGAGGGGAGGAGAGGUAACAUGAAAGAAGAAGAAGAAGAAUGAAGAAUAAGAAGAGGAGAAGAGAAGAGACGUACUGGUUUUUUGGAGAAGAAAUCGUGAACAAGCAAGUUGACCCCCUUUAGUGUAGUCGUCAUAUCAUAUAUAGUGUAAUGAUGAAUUUAUAAUAAAACAGAAACUCAUUUGCAUUUAAAGGAUGCACAUUUUAAAUUAAAUGAAAUUGUUAAAAGAUAGAAAAAACACCCUAUGAGCGUGCUUCAAGCCUUGGCGUUUUGUGGAAUUGUCAGAAGGCGCUCACCUUUUUGUCAUGCACUCAACUUUGCGAGGCGCCACUGUUGCACAUUUUGCCUAGAUGCACACUCGAUCGCGCCUUUCCAAACACUGCUGUUAAGUCUUGUGCCGCCUUAGUACUUAAAAAGCCCCCUUCAAUUACUGUCAGGAGCUUUGACAUAUUUUAAUAAUUCAAAAUGAUUGCUCACCAAACCUGCGGAGCAUUUUGAACCAAGCAUGGGCUUAGGUUCUUGCUUUUAGGUAUUUGACCACAAACGCAAAACACAUUUUUCCUUUGAGUUGAUCUAAAUAUUAGUGGUAUUUAGUGCUCGCAAGUCAAACAUUCACAUAACCAAGAGGCUCUUCAGCCAAUUCACAAACCUUGGGAGACAAACCAUCUAGAGCUUUGCAAAGAACAUGGGCAAGAAGAAAGAGGAGGCAUCUAGGUGAAACAAUAAGAUUUAUAUGAACACACGCCUAAAAGAUGAAGAUUAUUCAAAGGGGAGGACAAUGAAGUCAUAUCACCCACUCCCCAACUAGAAGAUGAAGAUUAUUCAAAGGGGAGGACAAUGAAGUCAUAUCAUCCACUCCCCAACUAGAAGAUGAAGAUUAUUCAAAGUGGAGGACAAUGAAAUAUCAUCCACUCCCCAACUAGACAGAGCUCUUCUCAUCUUAUAACCCAUUUUUUAAUUAAGAAAUUAAAUUUUAAUUGAUUACCAAGAACUGUUAUGAUCAUUAUUUGUCAAGGCAAGGUUGAAAGGAAAUGGAAGAAAAGAACAAAUGGACCGUAAGCAACCAAUAAUCCAUCCAAAAAUAUACACAAGAAGCCUUCUUUGUAGAAAACUAAAUGGAAUUAAGGAAGCAAAUAACAACUUGCAAAAUCGCUUCCUAAUUGUACAGUUGGUCGACCUAUGCUUGAAGGCUAGAGACCCAAAAGAGAUUCUUCCGCCAUUUCUGAACUUGAAGGAUGCUAAAGACUAUUUCCAAACCUUAGAAAUGCUAAUCAUUGGGCUACAGAAACUCAAACCAUAUUUCCCCCCUCAUGUGUCGAUGAUAAAUACCAAUGCCAUAAAUGCUUUAAACAACAUUACACCAGAGAAAAUCCCUUUCAAAUAUAAAUCACCAAUCUCAUUUGACCAAAAGAGCCAUAUUUUUAAAUUUAGCCGCCAUCAAUUUAUGUUUUUGAAACCGAUUCCCAUUUUACUAAAUGACUAACUUGCUUCACUCUAAACCAUCCCAGAAGAAACACUGCAAAAUUCUUCCCACUGCCAAUAAAAACUUUGAGGUAUUCAGAAAAUCGGCAUGCAAUAUCGAGGAUGCUAGAUAAAACUGAGCAGCAAACUGUCAAUUUUUCUCCUCUUGAUAGAUUGGAUGUUUACCACUCAUCUAGCUACUUCUGAAUUUUAUUAACCACAAGCUGCCAAAAUGAACUACUCCUUGAAUAAACCCAUAAAGAGAGACCACCAUAUGUAAAAGGCAAAGAUGUUGAGCGCAACUUAUUGCAUAAUUCCCAUUAAUCUCACAUAAAGAAGAUUUUUCAAGAUUUUUGACAUUGUCACCUAUGUAGAAAUUGUAAUCUAGAAUUCAGAUAAGUAUAUUUCUUAUUCAUAUUGGGUAUAUUAUUGUAAUCUAAAAUUUAUAUUUCUUAUUCAUAUUGGGUAUAUUAUUGUAAUCUAAAAUUCAGUAAGUAUAUUUUUUAUUCAUAUUGAGCAUAUUGAGUCAAAGAAAAGAUGUUUUACCCUUCCAUUAUAAUUUUGGGAAGUUACAUUUUGUUAACUUUUCAACUCCUUAUUAAAAAAAAGGUUUUGAUCCCAUAAGUGAUAUUAGUUAAUGCUCUAGGCAUGUUAUUAGGGUCAUAACAUAACUUUUCCAUCUUCCAUAACUAAUAUUACAUAAUACUAUAUGUUAUUACACAACUAACAACAUUUCUAUCUUCCACUUUAUUUGGAUAUACAUAGAUUAGAUGAUUAAGUUUGCAACGUGUAAGCUCAAGAUGUUAAGAAAUGGAAUUUGAAAUGUGCAAACAAAUCAAAUUCAAAGAUACAUUCGAAAGAUGAUAACAUUGUCUCUUUACUUAAUAAAUUCAUUUUUCAGUCAUUACGAUGCGAAUAUAAAAAUGAUAUAGAUAUGAAAAUAUUGAAAUGACGGUUCUAAUUUUAUAAAGUUAAGUUAUAAUUUUUUCGUGUGUGAUUUUCACGUGCAUCACACGUGUUGUUUACUAGUAUUUAUAUAGAGAAUAAAAUAAACCCUAGACACUGUGUACAAUUACAAUAAAGGACAUAUGAUAUAAAUAUAAAUAUAUAUAUCAUAACACUCCCCUCAAGCUGGAGUAAAUAUGUCGAUCAUGUCCAGCUUGUUGCACAGAUAGCUUAUUCUUGCUCCAUUUAAAGCUUUAGUAAGAAUAUCUCCCAAUUAUUCUUCAGUCUUCACAUAUCCUGUGGACACCAAACCAUCUGGGAUUUCUCACGAAUGAAGUGACAAUUCACCUCAAUAUGUUUAGUUCGUUCAUGAAAUAGUAAAUUAGAUGCAAUAUGAAGUGCAUCUUGAUUAUCACACCAUAAAAUAGCUGGCACAGAAAUACUAAAGCCUAUCUCAGAUAAUAGUUGGUGAAUCCAUACUAUUCCGCACACAGAUUGUGCCACAGCUCUAUAUUCUGACUCAACACCCGAACGAGAAACAACAUUUUGUUUCUUACUCUUCCAUGAUACUAAGUUUCCACCUACAAAGACACAAUAUCCAGAAGUUGGUCUCUUAUCCUCAUGAGACCCCACCCAAUCAGCAUUAGAAAAACAUUCAACUCUCGUAUGUCCAUGAUCUUGGUAUAAGAUCCCACGUUCAGGAGCAACUUUUAGAUAACACAAAACCUGCUCUACUGCAGCCUAAUGAUCCACUACAGGGAAAAACAUGAACUGACUUACAACACUUAUAGAAUAAGCAAUGUUUGGUCGCGUCACUGUUAAGUAGUUCAACUUCCCAACUAAUUUUCUAUAUCUCUCAGGAUUUUUACAUAAUUCUCUUUUAACAAGUUGCUGAUUUAGCAUCAUUAGAGUGUCACUUGGUUUGGCUCCCAAUUUUCCUAUCUCAGACAACAAAUCAAGUACACAUUUUCGUUGAGACAAAUAAAUACCUUACUUGCUUCUCAUUACUUCAAUGCCCAAAAAAAAUUUCAAUUGACUCAAAUCUUUGGUAUAAAACUGACCCAUACCCGAUGCAUCAUUUCUAGUAAUAACAAUAACAUCAACAUAUACAACUAGUAGAACUAUACCAUUAUCAGAUCGGCGAUAGAAAACCGAAUGAUCAGAUGUACUCUUCUUCAUACCAAAGCAUACAAGAGCUUGACUAAACUUACCAAACCACACACGAGGACUUUGUUUCAAACCAUACAAAGAAUUUCGAAGGCAACAUAUUUUAUAACUCUCCCCCUGAGCAACAAACCCAGGUGGUUGUUCCAUAUAAACUUCCUCUUGGAGAUCACCGUGCAGAAAAACAUUCUUAAUGUCAAGUUGAUGCACAGGUUGUUAUGGGUAGCAACCAUGGAAAGAAAUAGGCAAACAAAAGUUAAUUUGGCAACUGGAGAGAAUGUAUCCGAAUAAUCAGUUUCAUAGAUUUGAGCAUAACCUUUGGCAACAAGGCGAGCUUUCAAUCAAGCCACUAUUCCAUCAGGAUUCAUCUCGACAGGAAACACCCAUUUACAACCAAUGGCCUUCUUUCCUAUAGGACGAGAUACCAAAUCCCAAGUAUCAUUAUCAUCUAAAGUAGUCAUUUCCUCAAUCAUUGCAUUUCGCCAGCCAAGAUGAGAGAAAGUUUCGUGAACAGAGUUAGGAAUAGAUGUGUCAAGAGACAUAAUAAAAGCAUUUACAACCAAUGGUCUUUUUUCCUAUAGAACGAGAUACCAAAUCCCAAGUACCAUUAUCAUAUAAAGUAGGCAUCUCCUCAAUCAUUGCAUUUCACCAGCCAGGAUGAGAGAAAGCUUCAUGAACAGAGUUAGGAAUAGAUGUCUCAAGAGACAUAAUAAAAGCAUAUGUGGGGGGAGAUAACUGGUGAUAGGAAACAAAGGAAGAAACGGGGUAAGUACACUUGCGUUUACCAUUGCGAAGAGCAAUGGAAAGAUCAUCACUUGGCUCCAGAACGCAUGAUAAAGGAAGCAUUGAUGGAGGACAAAGUCUGAAGGUUGUGGUGGAGGUCGGGAGUAGACUCGAGAAAUCAACAGGCGGGAAGGAGGCACAUCAAUGGAAGAGGAUGGUGUGGGAGAGGUAACCUCAUAUAUAAAAAGAUUGUCAUCCUCCACCUGACAUGAACUCGAUGGUGAUGAAGUAAAGGGUGUAUCCUCAAAAGAUGCAACAUCAGGCGAAACAAGAUACCUUUUAAGGGUAGGACAAUAACAACGAUACCCCUUUUGAACACGUGAAUAACCCAAGAGGAUACACUUCAAGGAUUUGGGAUCUAACUUAGUAUGACGAGAAUGAACAUCGCGAACAAAACAAACACAACCAAAUAUCUUAAGAGCAAUAGGAAACAAAUUCUUGGUAGAAAAAAGAACACAGUAGGAAAUCUCACCACUAAGAAUAGAGGAAGGCAUUCUAUUAAUCAAAAAACAAGCUGUAGAGACAGCAUCAACCCAAAAGAUUUUUGAAACAUGCAUUUGAAACGAUAAAGCACGGGCAGUUUCAAGUAAAUGCCUAUUUUUUCGCUCUGGAACACCAUUUUGAGAUGGAGUGUCAGCACAAGAAGAUUGAUGAAUAAUGCCAUUUUCACACAAGUAAGAGCCAAGAGAAUGAGAAAAAUAUUCACCCGCAUUAUCAGUACGCAAAGUUAUGAGAGAGAUAUUAAACUGAUUUUAUAUUUCAGUAUGAAAGGCACAAAAAUGAGAUAAUAACUCAGAACGAUUUUUCAUUAAAUAUAACCAAGUUAGACGAGAAUGAUCGUCAACAAAAGUAACAAAAUAACGAAAGCCUGUUUGAGAUACAACUGGACACGGACCCCAAAUAUCAGAAUGAACUAACUCAAAUGGAGCAAUUGCUCGUUUAUCGACUCGAGGACUCGAACUAAGACGAUGAAAUUUCGCAAAUUGACACGAAUCACAAUUUAAAGAGGACAAAGACCUAAAUUCUGGAUAAAGUUUCUUCAACACGAACAAAGAUGGAUGACCUAAACGACAAUGGACUUCAAAAGGAGAGGGAACGACAGGACACGCCACAGCUUGCGAUACUUGAUGAUCAAAGAGAUAAAGGCCUCCCAACUCAUAUCCUCUACCAAUAAUCUUCUUCAUCACACGAUCCUGAAACAAGCAAUAACCAGAAAAGAACAUGACAGCACAAUUUAGGUCAAGAGUAAGUUGACUGUAGAAAUUAAAUUGAAGUUUGGAAAAUGUAGCACAAAAGAGAUAAAGGGACGGGGUAAAGGUGAAAGUGUCAGAGCCAAGAACAAAAGAUGUGGAGUCAUCUGCCAAUGUAACAGAUGGAAAAGGGGCAGAGGCCAACAGUUUAGAAAAUAGGCGAGAAUUACCUGUCAUAUGAGCUGUGGCACCAGGGUCUAUGACCCAUUUGGUAGAUGAUGUAAGAAGACACUUUGUAUUAGCUAGGGCAACAGUGGAUGCAACCAAAGUAGAGGAAGAUGACGCUUGUAAUGAAUCUUGGUAAUUCUGAAAUUUAGCAAACUCUACAGAAAUAGUAAUUGACCCCUCUGGUAUAUCACAUGUGGAGGCUAUCUAAUCAUGUUGAGAUCGUUGACUAUUCUUAUAUAACAAUUUUCGACAAUCAAGUUUCAUAUGGACUGGCUUAAGACAAUAGUUACAAACAAUCUCUACAGAAUUUGGUUUUCAAUGAUCAUUACUAUUCCUCUUAACAUUGUUAUCCAUCGCUAGAGGUGCCCGAGGGUUAUUGUUCUUGCUAAAGAGAGCACUAUUGGGUUGAGGAAUAGACACACUAGUCGGAGAGCUUUCAAUGCGAAGGACACGAGUGAAAGCAUUAUCUAAUGGUGGAAUCUUAGAGUCGGAGAGAAUUUGUGUCUUUGCCAUUCCAAAUUCAGGUAAGUCCAUUCAAAAAGAUCAUAACAGUCAUCUUCUCUCGUUGAGCUUGUUGACAUUUAACAUCAGAACUAAAAGGUAACAACAAACCAAGCUCGACAGUUAUCUUCUUAAGCCGCAUAAAGUAGCUGGUGACAGACUCAGCUUUUUGUUCUGCACAAAAAAAUUGCAUACAAACUUCAAACAUUCUAUGCACUUGCUCUUUACCUGAAUAUAGAAAAUCUAAAUAUUCCAAAAGUUCUUUAACAGACUCAAAGUGAUCAACCAAUCCAGUUAUCUCACUCUCAAUUGAGUUUUUGAUCUGAAGAUAUACAUGGGCAUCAUCACGAAGUCAAUCCUUCCUCUGCUUUGCAUCUUCUAGGGGAUAUUCGGUCAUAUGAUCAUCCAUAUCAGUACUUCUCAAAUAAAAUAAAAUUGUCCGACGCCAAUCGUAAUAAUUAGAUCCAUUUAACUUAUGUUUUGUGAUCUUAGAGGCUAAGGGAAUAACGUUGGAGACUACCAAAUUUUUUAUCUCGGCCAUAUUGAAGUCACACUGAUUGUAGUCCACACAAACAAAGAGAAAAUCAAUCUAAACGGCUGCAAAAUUGGAAAAAGAUCCUACAACAAUGGCGUUACCUUCAGUUUUCGUCAAACACGAAUACUAUUUGAUAGACCUAAUGGUACAGACUAAUCGAAAACAGUGAUUCAAGACAAACCCAGAAGACAGAGAACAAAUCGGAGUUCUCACGCGUCGACGCAUGGGUGAAGUACAGGGAGAUUUCGACGGCAUGUGAAGGUCAAGCGCGAUGUUUUCCGAUGAUCAACAAAGAUAGACUUGGGCGGAUGGAGGUGGCAGUUCUUAUGGUAUCGGCGGCGUCGACAAACAGUCAGCGGAAGGUAACCUAAACUUAAGCCUAAUGAAGGAGGAAGCUAAUGGUCAUUCGAAACUUUAAUGGCUCUGAUACCAUGUAAUCUAUAAUUCCGAUAAGUAUAUUUCUUAUUCAUAUUGAGUCAAAGAAAGUUACAUAUUUAUAUACAAAAUAAAAUAAACCCUAGACACUAUGCACAAUUAUAAUAAAGGACAUAUGAUAUAAAUAUAAAUACAUACAUCAUAACACUCCUUUCUUGAUGUUUCUUUCUUCAAGUUCUUUCGUGUUUCUUUAGCUAAUUCUUGAGUAUCUUGAAUUACCAUUCUAAUAUUUUAAUAUUAGUUAUUCUUUAGUUAAAACUUGUGUAUCUUGAGUUACUAAUCUUGUAUCUUGAGUUAGUCAUAAAUAAACUAACUCAACUCCAAGUUAGUUCUAAAACAACUAACUUCUAACAACUCUUGCAAAAUUUCAGCAUAUAAAAAGGCUUCUCCUCUCAUUAAUAAAGGAUAUCUAAGAAGUAUUACUCAUAAAAAUUUCUAAACAUUGCUUUAUUGCAUCAGUCACCAUUCAAAUAGUUCUUUACUGAAUAAGAAACAAGUUCAUUGAUAAAAGAAAUAAUACAAAAUUAUUUGAAAGGCAUACAAAAGGGCCCCAUUUACAAGAAAAACAUAAGAUGUUUCCAAUUAGCCAUAAGAAGAUUCAAAUUGUGGAUUUUGGGGGCUGUAAUCUUUACACCAAAAAGGGGUAGUGGAAAUAGAUGAUUUGUUAGAAUUUGUAUAUAUGAAAAACUUACCAUGAAUAUUUCUUUUCCUUUUCUUCUUUGCUCUUUACAUUCUAUCUCUCAUUUGUAUCAUUGUAUUUAUUAGAAAAAUAAUAAAACUAAAAACAUCGUGGUUCUUGAAAAUGUGGAAGAAAAGAAUAAUGGUGAUCAGAUUGAGAUCAGGACAGAACCGAUAAUAAUGGAACUGAACAGGGUCAUACAAGAAAACUUGAUGAGUAUGAUCCCUCUCUUGACAUUCCCAUUGAGCUGAGAAAAGGUACCAGGUCUUGUACUAAACAUCUCAUUUGCAACUAUGUUUCCUAUGAUAAUCUCUCUCCACAGUUUAGAGCUUUUAUAGCAAGUCUUAACUCUACCAUAAUACUGAAAAAUAUCUACACUGCUUUAGAGUGUCCUGGAUGAAAGAAUGUUGUCAUGGAAGAAAUGAAGACUCUUGAAAAGAAUAGAACUUGGAAAAUUUGUGCUCUACCCAAGGGACACAAAACUGUGAGAUGCAAAUGGGUGCUCUCAAAUACAAAGCAGAUGGUACACUUGACAGACACAAGACAAGGUUAGUUGCAAAGGGAUUUACUCAAACUUAUGAAAUUGACUAUUCAGAAACUUUUUCUCUAGUUGUUAAGUUGAAUAUUGUUAGUGUCCUGCUAUUUGGUGCUGUCAACAAAGAUUGGCCUCUCUACUAGUUGGAUGUUAAAAAUGUCUUUUUUAAUGGAGACCUUGUGGAGGAAGUCUACAUCGCUUGGAUUUGAAGCCCAGUUUGGUCAACAGGUGUGUAAACUCCAUAAAUCCCUAUAUGGUCUGAAACAGUCUCUCAAAGCAUGGUUUGACAGAUUCACUACCUUUGUCAAGUCCCAAGGAUACAGCCAAAGGCACUCUGAUCAUACUUUAUUUACAAAGGUUUUCAAGACAGGAAAGGUUAUUGAUCUAAUAGUUUAUGUAGAUGAAAUUGUUUUAACUAGAGAUGAUCAGGCAAAAAUCAGUCAACUAAAGCAGAGAAUGGGUGAUGAAUUUGAAGACAAGGAUUUGGGAAAUCUGAAAUAUUUCCUUGAAAUGAAGGUGGUCAAAUCUAAAGAAGGUAUCUCCAUGUCUCAGAGAAAAUACACCUUUGAUUUGCUAACCGAGACAGUUAUGUUGGGAUGUCGUCCUGCUGAUACUCCUAUUGAAUUCAAUUGUAAACUUGGAAACUCUCAUGAUCAAGUUCCAGUUGAUAAAGAACAAUAUCAGCGCCUUGUGGGUAAAUUGAUUUACUUAUCCCAUACUCGUCCUCAUAUUUCCUUUGUUGUGAGUGUUGUCAGCCAGUUUAUGUAAGCUCCUUAUGAGAAACACAUGGAAGCUGUCAACAGAAGCCUGAGAUACUUGAAAACAACACCAGGUAAAGGGUUGAUUUUUAGAAAAACAAACAAAAAGACCAUUGAGGCAUGUACCGACUCGAAUUGGGCAGGAUCUGUUGUUGAUAGAAAAUCUACCUCUAGUUAUUGUUGUAGCUUUGUUUGGGGCAAUCUUGUAACUUGGAGGAGUAAGAAGCAAAGUGUUGUGGCCAGGAGCAGUGUUGAGGCCGAAUAUAGAGCUAUGAGUUUGGGAACAUGUGAGGAAAUUUGGCUUCAGAAAGUCCUAUAUGAUCUUCAUCAAGAAUGUGAGACUCCAUUAAAGCUCUUUUGUGAUAAUAAAGUCUCUAUUAGUAUUGCUAACAACCUAGUUCUACAUGAUAGAACUAAACAUGUUGAGAUUGAUUGGCAUUUCAUCAAAGUAAGACUUGACAGUGGAAGCAUAUGCAUUUCAUACAUCCCUUCUAGCCAUCAGGUUGCUGAUAUUCUCACCAAAGGGCUUCUCAGGCCAAACUUUGAGGGGGAGUUUUAGAAUUUGUAUAUAUAGAAAAAAUAUUUAUGGAAAACUUACCAUAAAUAUUUAUUUUCCUUUUCUUCUUUGCUCUUUACAUUCUAUUUAAGUCCCUCAUUCGUAUCAUUGUAUUUAUCAGAAAAAUAAUAAAGCUAAAAACAUCGUGGUUUUUCUCCCGAUUCUUGGGUUUCCACGUAAGCCUUGGUUUCAAUAUGAUUCUUGGCUUAUUUAGUUCUUUGUAUGAUUUAGCAAUAUCUUUGAAGAUUCUAGCAUUCCUUUCUUCCCAAAUCUUUGAUCACAGGAAAAGUGAAGUCGUGCCAUAAGUGUAAGACUUCCUUUGUAGUUUUGAAGGGACGAUCCAAAAGUGACAUUCAAUGCGAAUGCAAUGAGUGAAGGCAUCGUAAUGCUCAACCCAUGUACAAUCAAAGUAGCAUAGUCAUUGGCUUUCUGAUGGGCAAUACCAAGAGAGAGAUUGGUUAAUCCAUGGGCAUCUGAAUUCAGGCUGCUCCAUAGUGUUGACCAAGGGAGCUUCCAUAUCUUGGGUCAAACAGCUGCUGGAUGAUUGAUGAAUGACAAUGGUUUUGGAUAAGAGUAUCGGCAUGUCAUCCAAUUAAGUAUAUUGAUGCAGUUGGAAUAAAUCAUGUUACUUAUAUUGCUAAGAAUUUCACUAACUCUAUGAAAAAGAAAAGGAAACAAAGGGCAUCCUUGCCCAAUCCCUCUUCAUGCUAAAAUUCUGCCUAGAGAAUUUAGAAUCUCUAGCACACCCAUUAAUCCUAUCAGUCCAUUUCAAAUAGAAACCCUUGAGUGUCAUCACCUCCUCUAGUUCCAAUUCACACAGAUAUUGUUCGGAAGUCAGUUUUCUUUCUUUCUUUCUUUCUUUCUAUUUUUUUUUUUUUUUUGGGUGUGUGUGUGGAGGGGGGAAUUGGAGACAGACAAUGCCUUCUUCCAAGAACAUGGCAUGCAUCCAUUAAGAAGAUCAACCUUAAUAUCGUAAGAUUUUGUAAAGGUCAGACACGACCAAUGUAAAAUAAGGGACUCUAACUCACCUUUUUAAAGGGUUAAAAAUAAAUGAAUAAAUAAAUAAAAUAACUCACCUUUUCAAAGGACCCGGUGAACAUCAAAUGGUAAGGAGGGCGGUAUAAAGAAGCUAAAUUAUCUCGAGAAUUGCCACUUGUGGAUGCUGCACCUUCUCCUGAUUGCCAAACAUCAUGAUGUUUCACUUCAUUUUGCAAGUUCCGAAACCCUAUUGAUGAUCCAGAUUCAUUUGGCAGAUACCCCAUAGUUGUUCUAAACAAACCAAUAACCGCAUUUUAGGCAAUAAAAUUAAUCAAAAAGCACGUUAAAAACUGCAUAUUGCUUCAUAUAGGAGUCACACAAUGCAACAUCAUAAAGUUGUGAAGAACAGAAUAGCUUGUAAAAGCUAAUUUAUACGUACAAGGGAAAAGCUCAAAAAGAUACAAAUGCUGGAAAAAGUUAGCCACACUGUUUUGAUUAAAACUAUUGCAAUUUCUCAAAUACAAUUCAAAAACAGAAGCAAGUUGGUAGUAUAAAUAUAAUUAAUAUUGUCAAGAAAGUUUGAGCUUCUGAGAACUAAUAUAAAAGUAAACAAAAAAAUAUUUUAGAAGAAAUUACCAAUGAUACUCCUGGAAUAAGCUCUUAAAGUGAAUUUUGAUAUUUCCUGAUGAGCAAAUGAGUAUGGUGAUAGCAAGUGUAUGUGGUGGUAGUUUUUUUUCUUUUUUUUUUUUUUUUUUGAAAAGGAAACGAGUCUCUUUUAUAAUAAUGAGACAAAGCUCAAAGUACAUGAGAAUUAUAAAAUGAGCUAGAAAGCUAAGAAUCAUUAGGCGCACCCGAACAUUCAACUAUGUUGAUACCCCCAUGGCCCUCAACAAACCUUACAAAAUUAUCAAAACUUUCCAUUUGAGACCAACACGAAGCCUAUAGCAUUGUCAACCAAUACAAAUGAAUCCAAAGAGACAAUCCAAUAGAAUAAACGGCUAAUCAACAAAAGCAAGAGAACAAAAGAGCCAAUUGGCUCCAUUACCACGGGAAAGGUGGAAACGUCAAAGCUCUCAAAAUCACGUUGAACUCCAGGAAUACUGUAACUGUCAAACUCCUUAGAAGGAUGCACCAAGAUGAAGCAUUUCUACGAGCGAUUUCAUAACGAUCCAACCAACCAAGGGAUUUUAGGAUCCCAACCUAACAACUCGAG